rnacentral:lncRNA from 1 species
UACUGUGGGUCCUGGUGUUUGCAUUUGAAGCCACUCUUGCUCUUAUUCUUUUUAUAGGUUUAAUUAAUACAAUUUAGACUUUGUACUGCCCUCUUAUAGUAAGUUUUGCUUUUAUAACUAUAUCUUAUUUUAAAUAUGAUGAUGGGAAAAUGGAAACAAAUUUGACUUAAAAUCUCAAACUGUAGACCGUGUCACCGAUGUAACAGCUAAAAUGACAUUAUAUGUUUAUUAAAUUCAAAUGGCAAAAAAAAAACUGUUCUUUGAUCAAGUGAUACCAAAGACCAAAGCUGUGUUUGUAAAUGAUAGAAGGAACUAAACUAAUAGAAGAACAGGAAUGGCUAAUAAGAUAACUAGAGUGUAAAAGAGAAAGGAAAAACUUGAAUUUGAAAAAUCUCUACAUUAUUUGGGACAACUUCAACUGUCAUCAAAUUCUUAUAUAUAAAAUUUGUCAACUAGAACAAUACAAGGUAUCAAUUAAAUCCCAUAGCAAUUUCAUUUGGAUUAAUAAUACUCGAGUCUUCAACCAAUAAGUCAACUGGGGGACGGGGGAUUUUGCAGUUAAAAUGGAAAUGAGUGUUUGGAUUACCAUAUCAGGGUUCCAAUCAUUCAUUUCCACUAUCCAAUGUACAAAAUAGAGAAGUUAACACUGCUGGAUUGAAAGAAAAAACACCGGUUACGAUCAGGUGAACUGUAACACUAUAAUAGUCACCUUAUUUUCAACUUACCCAAAAUACUCCUAUACCAAGUAAUAAUAACCUUUCCUUGCUUUUAAUAACUCUUCACCAUCAUUCCUAGACUGUCUUUGAUAUCAUUUGAAAAAGGUUGCCUAUAUCCCUCCUUUUAAUAACGUACUUUCUACUUCUAUUCAGAACGUGUAAUUGACACUUCCCAUUGAUCUUAUUACACAAAAAAAACCUUUGCAGUUUUAAUCAACCACCCACCUAUCUACACAGCUCGUCACAGUGGACGAAAGCUAAGCUGAAUUGCUCUGCUUAUGACAGAAUUUAUUUUAUUGCCUACUAAAGAACACGAAAGAAUGAGAUGGUAAUUGGAAUUUAUCGCACAAAUAAAAGAUGUUUACCAAGUCUGAGCAACUGAGAGGAGAAAACCUACAUAUUCGUUAACUCCUUCUGCAGUACGCUGCCAUCGAGUGUAAGAACCUGAUCUGCACUCGGAUAAAAGCUUCUUUGAGCUAGGGUAAGUCCAGACGAAAGACCAGCUACUGCAAAAGGAUAAGACAACUUACAAGACUAACGUAUGAAGGCCUUAGUAAAACUGUAGAAAUAAAAAUACAAUAAGUGGUUUCUCUUACCAGAUGAAACGUAGACUCGAAAUGGUAUACCGAAAUUCAUAGUUACUGCAAUAAAGGUAUAAUGCUUAUGGUCAUACUAACCCAAUGAGAGUCUGCUCUGUCAGUAUAAUUAAAAUAUGAAGGACUCUUUCUGGUUAUGCAGCUCUAAAACAAGAAGACAAUGACUGCCUCCCCCAUGGAGGGGAGGCCUUAGUAAAACUGUAGAAAUAAAGAUACAACGAGUAGUUUCUCUUACUGCCUGGAAGGUUGACUUGAAAUAUUUUUGCUUUACUGAUAUUCCGAGUUGCUGCAAUAAAGCAAUAAUGCUCAUGGUCAUAAAUCUGCUGAGACUAUGGUAAAAUAAUAAAAAUAUAUAGGAAUCUUCCUGGUUAGAAUAAGAAGUAAGACACUGACCCCCUCUCACUCCAUCAGGAUGUUAACGUGAUAGCUAAAAGAGAAAGAACAACGCUUUUUGUAUUUAUUUCUUAGCUUCGUUAUUCUUACAAUCACUACCACUGCUUGGAUUAGUCACCAGUCCGAUUACUUUCAACACAUUAAACAUACGAUGACCCAAAGCCAAAAAUUUCAUAUAUUAAAGCAAUAUUCACUAAAUCAUUAUAAAUUAGCACCACAAUAAUUAAGAUACUAAAAUCACAAACCAAUACACGCAGCUGUACACCCAGCAAGUGUAUAAACAAUAAAAUCCUUCACAGAUUCCCUGUCGAGCGAGUUAAGAAUAUUAUUUUCCGCAGGUGUCAAAUUUUCCUACAAAAGAAAAAGACAGAUAUUUAGUGAUAAAGCCUACAGCACGGCGUCUGUCAAGUCCAUCAUCAACGAACUUUCACAAUGUGUGCACGAAAACCUUUUCAAUGAAAUUUGAAGCUACAGAAUCAUGUUCUUUUAUGAUGAUCACCAAUUAAAAGAAGCUGAUUUUAACUAAAUUUGUUCCAAACGUAAAAGCAUUUAUCUGGAAGUCCAAAUUGCAAACACCAAUUAAAAUUAAGUGACAAAAACAUUGAAUCUGUGCUCUCAGACGCCAGAAUGAAGAAAUGGCAGUGAAAAGUAGAGUGUAACAGUAAAACUCGGAAUUAACCUGAUCCGAGAUAUGCAUUGACUAUGAUUUGUUAAAAAUGAAUUGAAGGAGAAAGGAAUUUGACAUUGAAACAAAAUAGGGAGGGAAAUUAAAAGCCCUAGCUGUAGAGAAACAAGGAGAAAGGAAGGGAAGAACCUUCUCGAACUCGAGAACUCUUUUAAGAUCGAGCAUUGCGUUAAUCAAACUCAUUACGUCACCUUCUCUUCUUGUUUCCUCUCUGUAUCAGUUUCCCAGUAUUAGUUUCUCCUUCUUAUGAGGAAAAACAGAGUUUAUCAAAGUAUUGCAAGAUCUCCCAAAUGCCUGGGAGUCAUAUUGAUUAGGAUUUGAGUUUGGAAUUUCAGGUAUAGAAUUUUAUUUUAUUUUUUUCAAAAGAUAUUCUUUAUUAUAAUAAAUAUUUUAUAACAUGUAACUUGUAGAAUAAUUAGUAUUCAUAAUUCUUUUUAAAGCAUGUAAUUAUCUAUAUAUGAUGAAUAAUUGAAUUUAUAAUAUAAAAGUGUAUGAAUUAUUGACAAUUUAGUUUAGAAAUUCUGAUAAACAGUGAAGAAGCAUGGCCAUGAGCAUUGGCGUGAGCAUGAGCACGAGCAUUUGCAGCACGAGGAUGAUUGGUAUAGAGAAGGGAGUGUUGGAAUCAUGCAAGACGUUAAGACAAGUGAAGCAAGUGCAUGCUCAGAUCCUCCGUUCAAAGGUGGACCACUCUAAUUCUCUGCUUCUCGAACUCCUUCUUUGUUGUAGCACCCUUCCUUCUUCUUCUUCUUCUUCUCCUUCAGCCCUUCACUAUGCGCUCUCUCUUUUCACCCAAAUUCCAAAUCCGCACACCCGUUUCUCCAACCAACUCUUCCGUCAAUUUUCUCGUGGCCCCACACCGGAGGGCACCCUUCUCCUCUAUGGCCUCCUCCGGAGAAAGGGUACCCUUCUUGACAGGUUCAGCUUCCCCCCUCUGUUGAAGGCCGUUUCCAAACUUUCUGCCUUGAAUAUGGGCUUGGAGGUUCACGGCCUCGUUUCUAAGUUGGGCUUCCAUGAUGACCCUUUUAUUCAAACCGCCUUGAUUGCCAUGUACGCGGCAUGUGGACGUAUUAUAGAUGCCCGUUUGGUGUUUGACAAAAUGUCUCAUAGGGAUGUCGUUACCUGGAAUAUUAUGAUUGAUGGGUACUCCCAGAGUGGUCAUUAUGACCAUGUUUUAAGGCUCUACGAAGAAAUGAAGAUUUCUGGUAUGGAGCUUGAUUCUAUUAUCCUUUGUACCGUGCUUUCUGCUUGUGGUCAUGCGGGAAAUUUAAGCUAUGGCAAAGCAAUUCAUGAGUUCAUUAAGGAUAAUGGUUUUCGUGUUGACUCACAUCUACAGACUGCUCUUGUUAAUAUGUAUGCGAGUUGUGGUGCUAUGUAUCUGGCUAGGGAAGUCUAUGAUCAACUUCCCUCAAAACAUUUGGUUGUUUCUACUGCUAUGCUUUCGGGGUAUGCGAAGAUUGGAUUGGUGAAAGAUGCGCGCGUCAUAUUUGACCAAAUAGUUGACAAGGACUUGGUGUGUUGGAGUGCCAUGAUAUCUGGUUAUGCUGAAAGUGAUCAGCCUCAGGAGGCUCUUGAAUUGUUUGAUGAGAUGCAGCGACAGAGAAUAGUGCCUGAUCAGAUCACGAUGCUCAGUGUCAUUUCUGCUUGUGCUCAUGUUGGUGCGCUUGUUAAAGCCAGAUGGGUGCAUUCAUACGCAGAUAAAAAUGGUUUUGGAAGGGCUCUUCCCAUCAACAAUGCCCUGAUUGAUAUGUAUGCUAAAUGUGGCAACUUGGUCAGAGCAAGAGAGGUAUUUGAGAAUAUGCCAAGAAAAAAUGUGAUAUCUUGGUCCAGCAUGAUCAAUGCUUUCGCCAUUCAUGGGGAUGCUGAUAGUGCCAUAGCUCUUUUCCAUAGGAUGAAAGUACAAAAUAUUGAGCCCAAUGCGGUUACGUUUAUAGGUAUACUUUAUGCAUGCAGUCAUGCAGGCUUGGUUGAGGAGGGCGAGAAAUUCUUUUCCUCCAUGAUCAAUGACCACAACAUUUCUCCCCAACGUGAACAUUAUGGUUGCAUGGUGGACCUAUAUUGCAGAGCCAAACUCUUGAGAAAAGCAUUGGAGCUUAUUGAGACUAUGCCUUUUCCGCCAAAUGUUAUCAUCUGGGGAUCCCUAAUGUCUGCUUGUCAAAAUCACGGUGAGCUUGAAUUAGGGGAAUUUGCUGCAAAACGACUACUUGAGUUAGAGCCUGAUCAUGAUGGGGCCCUUGUAGUUUUGUCAAAUAUUUAUGCCCAAGAAAAAAGGUGGGAUAAUGUCGGACUGGUCAGGAAAUUAAUGAGUCAUAAAGGUAUCUCAAAGGAGAAGGCAUGCAGUAGGAUUGAACUAAAUAACGAGGUGCAUGUGUUUAUGAUGGCAGAUAGAUAUCAUAAGCAAUCAAAUGAAAUAUAUAAAAAGUUAGAUGAGAUAGUGAGUCAACUGAAGCUAGUUGGUUACACACCAAGCUCUUCGGGAAUUUUGGUUGAUUUGGAAGAGGAAGAAAAAAAAGAAAUAGUUCUCUGGCAUAGCGAAAAAUUAGCACUGUGCUACGGGCUAAUUAGUGAGAGAAAAGAAUCAUCAUGCAUUCGUAUAAUUAAAAAUCUUAGAAUUUGUGAGGAUUGUCAUUCCUUUAUGAAACUGGUCUCAAAGGAGUACCGAAUAGAGAUUGUUAUGAGAGACAGGACUAGAUUUCACCAUUUUAACGGUGGAAUUUGUUCUUGUAGAGACUAUUGGUGAAUUAUUCCAAUCUGUAAAUUGAAUUAAACUGGCAUAUCCUCAUUUUGGGCCUGCCCUGUAUAUGCCAGGGCAUGUACUUCAGCUUGGUGAGGGUUAUCUAUUAUAAACUUGAUCAUCAUUUCUAAUUUUGUUUAAAAUUACCAUAAAUUCAUUUUCUUUUGGUUGAAUACCGCUCAUUUGGCAGUAAAUAAUUGAAAAUUUUGACCACGUUACUUUACAGAUACCAUAUCUAUAGUAAUGUUAGACUGACAUCAAACUCGAUCCAACUUGGCACAGGCAUAACAAGCUUACUUUCCAAAUAUGCUUUGUAUGGGAUAAAAGGCGCUUCUAAACCUUCAUUAAGCGGCUAGAAUCUUCUUCCCUCAAGGAUCUACAAAAUUUCCUUUACCAAACCCAUUUCAUAUUGUAAAUCUAAACAAGUUAGUAUUUGACUCCGGCGGAUUUUUUUUUUCUAUUAUUUAUGAACCUUUUUUUCUUAAAAGAAAAAUGUUUAAAAAAUCAAUCGUGACUCUAAAGAAUAGGAGAAAUUGUCAAUCCUGAUUAAUACUACAUAAAUGAAUAGAGGAGAUGUGUAUGUUCUAAAGGAGUUUCCAAUAGUAGCAGUAAGGAUCAAUCGUGUUCCAUUAAUUUAUCAUAAAUACAUAAAUAAUUGCUUUGACGAUCAGGUCUCAGUAGUUUAUGACUUAAUGGUUACGGAAAAUCAUUGCACUUGAAGAAUUGGAAUCCAUGCGUGGUUGCCUAGUGGCGGCUACCAUUCAUCACGACACCACCAACUCCAAAAUGGCAUAGUAGCCUAAUCAUGAUAUUAUGAUUCACACAAGCGUUAAAUCUAAUUAAGUACCUUAAUUAUCACAUUUCAUAAUCCAUCUUUAGCUGCAACAAAUGGAUUUAGUCCUUCGCCAUUUGAUUUGUGUUGCUUUAAUGGACCUUUAUGGAGAUUCUAUGCCUCAACCUCAAGAAAACUAUCGUCAGCCACAUAACAUAACGUAGUAAGAUAAAAGGAAAAUCGCAUACUAUCAUUACAUAAGACAAGUUGAUGAUGACAUUCUCCAUUAUAGCCACAGGGCAGUGAAAAAAAAAAUCAUUUUUUGUGCUUGAAAGUCGAGGGUUACAGAGCGAGAAGUUGACCAUAGGAGCUUCUUUAAUAACAUAUCCCAGAUAAGUUUAUGGACAAGAAAUGAUUGCUGAUAAAAUAAAUAGACAACAAAUGAUAGCGUCAAACCUCUGAACAAUUUGUUUUUCAAUUUAAUAUUAUCGUAUAUAAUCUCGUACCAGUCGCACUAAUAGAUUGGUCCCAUAUUAUUUAGUAAAACUGAGAUGAAAAGGAGUGCUCAAAAACAGCACGUUGAGCCUAACAUCAAAUGCCACUUGACUUGUAAAGUACGUUAGAUUCUUUGACAUCUUUUGGAAAGAAAGAAAGAAUGGAUGUCAAAUUCUGUUUCCAUGCGAAUCAUUUCCAGGUGACUAUUGCAGAAGGAAGUUGAAGAUAACCCACAUGUUUACAACGUUCUUAAUUAACAGAGGGAUUAAUCUUUUAAUCAGAAGCAUUAAGAUAUUUACAUAAUCUUUUUCCAUCUUAAGCAGAAAACGUUUGUGCGGUAUGAUCUAGAGGAACUUUUGGAAGAGAAUGGUUUCUCUGCCGAUCAGUCACGUGUAGAAUAAAGUCGGGAUUAAACAGUUUAUCAUGGAAAUUAGAUGUCUGCUGCCAAGAAAGGAAAACAGAGAAAAAAGAAGGAAAGAGAAGAAAAAGACGGAUGAAGCGAAAAAGCACUCUCUGUACAACAAGACAAAAUGAGAAGCAUAGCCACAAAAAGCUAAGUAUAAACUUUAUUUGAACGAAAGGAAAGAUAGUUAUAUGAUAUUCCCUGUUCCCAACUUGCAGGUUCCUCUGUUUUCAUCAGUGCAAUGUGAAAGUGGAGGAAUUGGUGACUUGAGAAGUGGUGUUUGACCUGCCACUGUACUUGUUUGACGGUGAAGUCAAAUCGCUUGACCUUCUUCUCAGCAUCUGCCUCAUCCCAUCAGCCACUCUAACCGCAGGAUUCGAUUUGAUCUUCCCACAGAAUGACAUGUGAGCUUUCACAGCUUCAUCCAUGGCAAAAGGCAUUUUCCCUCUGUUAAUCUCGUCUCUCACUGCUUCUGAGCACAACCCACAUAACCAUUUCCCGUCAAACUUGGCCUUCACAUCGCGGAUAUAUUCUUGGGUGCAAUCCUCUUUGAGGCCACAGCACUCACACUUGACGGAUUCCACUUCCAUAUCUAGCUGUAAAGACAAGUUCUUUCUGAACUCUUAUCUUCCUUUUAAGGAGGAGAAUGAGAAUCUUCGGAUAAUGGCAGCCACGGGUGGUUCUUUUUUUUUUUGUUUUGGUUGGAUUCGAGCGCAAUGAUGACAGAAACAGUCUUGGUUAUUUACUUUAUGUUGAAAGUUGUGCGCUUUCUGAGUUGGGAUUGAUGGUUUUUUUGCUUCAAGAACUAGUAAGAGUGUGUUGUUCAACUAGAGCUUUUAUGGUGUUUGAGAUGAAAGAGAGAAUGGGAAUUUAAGUAGGGAAGACUGCCAUAAUUUCCUCCAUGUUCUAAGGGACAUGGCGGAUGUGGAAAAUAAAAAGGGAGUGGUCGGAGGGGCCUUGCUUUUGACCCCACUUUGCAUUUAAUAACAAUUAAUAAUGUCACACAUCAUCAUCUAAUCAAACAAAUGAAUUACCUUAACUAAAUACUGCAACUAUCUGAUAUCUGUCUUAUUCCUUGUUAAUAACUCAUCUCCAAGUUUCAGAAAUCAGAAAUUGAGAUAAUCAAGGGUCAAAAUUACAUGAAGGUGGGGCAAUGUGCGGAUGGAUUCUUUUAUAGCAUGUUUAUUUAUGUUGUUUUGUGGUCGCUUUUGGUAGUUUGUCCAGUAGUUCUUCUGAUGUUACGUGAAUUUCAUUCUCACAACUUUAUGAUUAUCAGUUUGAGGGAUUCAUUUUUUGCUGUUCACAAUUCUACUUUAUUGAACUGACACUGAGGCACCUGCUUAAUUAUGGAUAUGAGUUGUCUGAGUGACUCCUUCUUCUUUUCUGUUGACCUUUGCUUUCGGUUUAAAAGAUAAGUGCCUUGUAUUUAGCUUCAUGAUUGUCUAAUCCUUUUUCCUCUCUCGUGUAUGAACCUACUAUAUACGACACCUAUAUUAUACGAUAAUGUAGUCAUUUAUUAAGACUCAGUAUUUCUCUGUUUCAUGCUGGUUCUUUUUUUUUUUCUAAGACUCUCUGCAUCAUAGUUUUUCUCCCCACCAUUAUUGAGAAAUAAAGGAGAAAACUGAGAAACUCCCAAGCACAUGGGGCAAUAGGUAGUCUUGUUCAUCUGGUUAGCUUAAUGAAUUCUAUGAAUUUGGAGUGCUAACUCGUUAUUUUCCUAAGGUAUUUAGUGAGGUAAGACAGUCACAAUCACUGUUAAGAAAUAUCUUCUAGCUUUGUUGACAAGAUGACAUUAAAUGAUAUCACUCUUUACCUAAAAUCUUAAGAUAAUAGGUUAAUAGAUCUCAAUCUUACAUAGUGUUUUAAUUUCUCAUCACUUGAAUUCUCAAUAAUUUCUUUUUAAGGGUGAGUCUCUUUCACAUUGUUACAUUCUAUCUUCAGUGAAAGCAUUUUAAAAUGAAACAUCGGCUCUCUUAAUACUGUUAGAUCUAUAAAAGAGGAGGUUCACUAGAAAGAUCCAAACACUAAUGAGAUCUAAGUAACACCACUUUCUAUCAAAAAUCUUAAGAGAAUGAGUUAAUGAAUCUCAAUUUUAUAUGAUGUUUUACUUUUUCAUUUUUAUCGACUACCAGACUUAAACUCAUCUUAGAUUCCCAUCAGCUUUUUGUAUUAGAAUUUUCGUUACUGAGCUAUGAAGAAUGGACUGGUUGAUUUAGCUUAUGAAAACGGAUUUACAUCUGAGAUAUCACUUCUGAAUGCACCAAACUUGAAAGUUAACAUGGCAUACCUUUUGUUUUCUCUUAUUUUCAACAACUUUAUGUCAUACUAAGCAUUAUUGUUAUUCACUAAAUCGCUAUAAAAGAAAAUUCAAUUGCCAAAUGAAUGUGACAGAACAAUGAAUUGACAACUUGACUACAGAAUGCCGAAAUCUCUACAUGCAAGUUGCAAUAAUAGAACAAAUAUUGUGGAUUGUUUUUAUCUUUUGGCAAAAACAAUUAUGUCUUUUCUAAUUUUAUUUAUUUAUUCUCUUUCAUGUACAGCGAAGAAACAAGAUCUCUUUAUGUGAUUCUAGUCAAAAUGGUAUGUGCAAUGCUGCUUAGCCAGUUAGCCUGCACAUGGCAAACGUACCCUUUGCUUGGUUGUCUUGGCAAAUCAAGUUUGCAGUGUUAAAAUGAAGGAAUUUAAGCAAAUGCAAAAGGUUUAACUUGAAAAUAAUUUUGAAAAUGAAGAUAGAAAAUCGAGGACCCCACUUGCAGUGUUGGCCAUUUCUCCAAUCUGUGAUUAGUUCACUGUCAUGGGUCUCCUUUUAUGUGACGCGACACUGAGUGUAUCCUAACAUCAUUAAAUUGAAGUUAAUGAAUUAUCAGAGGAUUGUGUCAUAGUGGUAGAAUUUCCUGGUGGCCUAGGGCAGGUUGCUAUCUUCUUCUUGAAGGUUGCUUUCAGCAACAUUGUUAAGUUGGGUCUAAUGUUGUUGAUUCAUUUUCACAACCAAAUACAUAGACACACGAGUAUUCUGGAAUUCUGAUGUGUGUAAGAUCGUAAUUGGUCUUACGUUGCCCACCAACUGAAACCUUCACGAAUUGUUUUUAUGAGAAAAGAGAAGCUAUUCAAAGUCGAGUUGGUGCAUGUUGAAAGACAUGAACAUAUAUGAAAGGAAACAUGAGCAUGUGCAACUUUGAAUCCACCCCCUUCACACUUACCCAACUUUUGGUUACAUUCUCAUUCAAAUAUCAACUUAUUGCCUCUUUCUUUCUUUAAAUACCACACUCAACCAAUUUCUUCUUAAUUACUUCUCACUUUUAGUAGAGAUAUGAAAACGGGUAAUCCAGAUCCGGUCUAUUACGAGUUAACCACUUAGUGAAUUAAUUUAAUCUGGUUCAUUUAUUAACGAAUUAAAAAAGUUUGAAUCCUACUUAACCCACUAAAAAUCGAUGGAUAAACGGAUCGGUUCAUUGGUUCACUUAAUUAUAACUUUUUUAUAAUAAAAAAUUAUAAACUUUCUAUAAUUCAAAUCUAAAAUAAUUUCACUCCCAACAUGUGUGUUUAAUUAAUUUGAAAAUAAAAAAUUUAAAUAAUUUUUUUAAGCAAAAAUAAUAAUAAAUAUCUUUUUACAAACUCAGUCUACCACAAGUUCAACCCACAUGAAUCGGAUUUAAAUGAAUUGGAUUGAAAUUUGACUCACAUAAAAAAAAAAAUACAAUUUUUUCGAAUUUAACUCGAUCUAAAACUGUGAUAGGCCAAGUUAACCCGCGGAUUAGAAUCCAUUUUAGUAUGAAUAAUAAUAAUAAUAAUAGUAAUAAUAGUAAUAAUAAUUUUAUUCUAUUUAUCUUAAAAAAUAACACACAGCACAUGGUUAUUUAUAAUAACAGUUUCAUUUAAAGUCUUUAUUAUUUGUGUGUUGUUUAUCAGCUCUGAUUUUAAGACACAUCAGAAAAAUAAUAUUAAAAAAAUAGUAUCCUCACUCCAAACAUCUAACGUUUCCUACAAAAUAUAACUAUUUUAACUAAGAAUGAGUAUUAAUAUCAUAUAUAAUAUAAUAUAAUAUAACUUUUCUUAAACACAAAAAGAGAAAGGAUGAGUAGUUAUCCUAUAACUAUACCUACCUUGUUACUUGUAUCAUAUAUAAUUAUUGUAAUAAAAUUAUUCAAGUAAUCUUAUAAUUCUUAUUUUAUUUAUAUUUAAAAAAUUGCUUUGAUUUAAAUAUUUAUCAUAAUUAUUCCAAUUUUUAUUUUGUUUUUAAGUUAAUACAAAUAUAAAUAACAAUAAGGUAAUUAUUAUUAUUUUCAAUUUUAAAAUUAAUGGUUAAGUAAAAAUAAUAAUUGACGAUAAUUUUUCUUUUCACUCUCGUGUCCCAUCAAAAGUUGAAUAAUUGGAAUGAUCAAGGAAUUUCUGGAACCUUUGAAUUGCAUAUUGAUUAUAUAUGAUACACUUAUCAUUGUACAACCUUUUUUCAGGAUAAAUAGUGAAAGAAAGAAAGACAAAAUAGAAAAAUAAAAAUGAAUGAAAAAAAAAAUAACUUUAUUGCAUCAUUAUCUUAAGUUAAUCAUUAUAAUCUGAUGGGAUUAAUACCUAAUUUUUCAAAUAGAACUAGCUUAUUACCACUAAACUUCAAAUCAAUAAUCAUCAGUGUUCCUUUAAUAUCUUUCUCUGAUAUCAUUAACAUCACUCUCUCAAAAUUAAUCUUUUCUCCAAUGAACUUCACCUAACUCCUUUAUAUAAUAUAUAUUACCUAUAUACAUUAUAUUAUAUUAUAUGUAAAUAAAGAAAUGUUUUUAUUCGUAUUUAUUUUCUAUUUUAUUAUUUAAAUAAACAUUUUUUAAAUUAAAAUAAAUAUUUUAUCAAUUCUAUUUCUUAAUUGAUUGAUUUUAUAAAUUUAAUUGUUUUUCUGACUUGAUAGUUUUUUAAAUUUAAUCCUUUUUUAAUUAUAAAACUAUCCAAAAAAAAAUAAAAUACAAUAAAGUUACAAAAUUAUUUUAAUUUUACAAUUAUGAUAACAAUGAUUUUAUUAUUUUUAUUAUCGUAAAGAAACAUGAAGACGUGAAUGUGAUACAUAUGCUUUUACUAGUAUAUAUAAUAAAAAUUAAUAUUUGGUUAAUCAUUUUAUACUUUACAUUUGAGUAUUUAUGUAUGUAUUAUAAAUAUUGUUAGUAUCUUAUAAUUAUUAGAAAAAAUCAAUCAGAAGUUGAAAAUAUUUAUUUUAGAAGUAUGUUUAACAUAAUAAUAAUACAUGUUUGAAAAUUCUCAACCCGAUUAAUCAAUCUGGAGUCCUUGUACUUUAAAUUUUGUAUAGUUUAAAAAAAUUGUAAAAUUGAUACAAAAUUAAUAUAUAUAUAUAUAUAUAUAUAUAUAUAUAUAUAUAUAUAUAUAUAUAUAUAUAUAUAUAUAUAUAUAUAUAAAGUCAUCUAUAUUGAACCGGCCCAGAAAAAAUGAGCCCGUAGACAAGUGGACCGGCCUCAUUUUAUAAGGCCUAUUCUCAGAAGCGAGGCUCUCAUGCAAAAUGUUUACAAAUUCCACAGAUUUGAGUGUUAACUCAUUAUUGGUUAAAUUUGAUAAAAAAAAAAUACUUAAGUUUUGGUUUGAUCAAUUUUUUUUCCUAUAAACGUAAAUAAUGGGUAAAUUUGAUACUGGUAAAAAUUAAUGAGUUUUUUUGAAAAAUUGUAUAUAGUAGUUAAAAUAAGUAAUUAAACAUACAUGUAAAUAUUGAUAAAAAAAUGUUACUUUAACAAACUGAAUUUGCAAAACUUGUUGGAUUAAUAAAUAAAUGUUGGUAUAUGGUUCUUCAUCUUUAUAAUAAUGAAAAUCGAUUUUGUUAUUAUUGUAUGUAGUUUAUUUUAAUAGAACAUGUUUAGCAAUUUACAGAGAAACAUAACAUUAAUAAGAUUAAGUUUAACCACAUAAAAUAUUAACUCUAGUGACAACUUAAAAUCUUAAAAACAAUGAAUUUAUUAAUUUUCAUUCUUAUACAAUAUUUUUUAUUUUAUUUUUAUUCAAUGUAGAAUUAGACUUACACUUAAAUUCCUAACACUAUACAUCAUACAAGGAAACAAAAAAAUUGUUCAUUUCAAGGAAAAUAAGUUUUUUUUUUAUAUAAAAAUGAACAAACUUGUUUAAAUAUUUGCUUGACAACAUAUAAUUUAUUAGACAAAAUGAGGAUUUGAUUUGAUAUUAUGGAUAUAAGUUUGUCUCUAAGGAUUUUUCUUUAGAAAAAAAAAUCACAAAAUUAGAAUUAGUUUGUAAAUAAAUUAAUUUAAGAAAACUCGUUUCUUUUAUCAUAUCUAAAACUUUAUUCUUUUAACUCAAGCAAAUAAGUUUAUAAAAUCUUGUAACUUAUUCAAAUAAGUUUAUAAAAAAAUCAUUUUAUCUAUUUAUUUCUCUUGUGAGUACUUUUGAUAAGUUUCUCACAACAACAGCAUCAACUUCAAUUCAAUCUUUUUUACUGAAACAACUAGAGUUCAUACUUUUUAGUUGAUUCCUCAUGAACCCUUUUCAGAAUGCAUGAUCGUUGUUAUGUCCUAUGAAGUAUGCAAACAAUAUUUGCACAUCAUUAGAAAUAGAAUCAUUUAUGUGGAAAGACAAUAAAACACAAUGCUCACAUAUGUAAAAGGGUGAUGAACAGUUGCUACUUAGAGAAACGACAUAUCUGUAAAUGUGUCUGCAUAAUUGGUAACAAGUGAAAGGAAGGCUUCCAUUGUUAACUUCUUGGGUUGGAGAAGGUACAAUAAUGUGCAUAGAUGUCAAACUUGAUAAGAACAACACUAAUCAAAAUUCAUUCCAAAAUAUAUAAAUACUGGUAUUUAGGUUAUUGGUUACAUUGAUUAUACAUUUAUUGACCGUAAUAGUUAGUUACAUUGAUUGCUUAUUUAUUGAUAGUAAUAUUAAUCAAACAAACUAACUUUAGCAUAAGAGUGUUUUAUGCAAAAAGUACCUGAGUUCGACCGAAUCACAAUUAGAGUAAAGUGAAAAAAUAACUUAGUCCUAAAAGUAAAUAUAACACGACACACAUUGAUAUUUAUUAGACACGUUUAACAAAGAUGUAAUGGUCUUGAAAGAGUGAACUUUUGUAGUUUUUUGAAAAAGAAAAAAAUAAAAAUAAAAAUAGAUAGUGUCAAACGAAUGUAAAAAAAUUACAUGUAUCAAAAUAUCAUUUUUUUAAGUCCUAAACUUGGAGUUUGAAAGUCAUGUGGAGAAGUAAAUCUAAUCUAAUAUAGACUCCUUAAACCAAAACAAUAUGAAAUGUAAAUAUAUGUUAUUAUUGGUGGGCUUAAUAAAAAUUAUAAAAGAGGGAGAUAAGAGAAAACGACACUUAUGUAGUGUUUUGAAAAGGAGAAUCCUUUUCAAAAACAAAAAAGGUAUAAAGUAGCAAAAACGAGUUUUCCAGAUAAAUAGAAUCCACUUAGAAAUCCAAAAUACUAGAUUACCUAAAAGAAAACCACUAAAUUAGAUAUUAUAUAUUAUAGAAGAAAAAAACUAUUUUGACAUUUUUAUUUUCACUUUUUUUACUAUUAAGAAAAACGGUGUGAAAUGAGUAUAACUCAACAACAUUCAAGUGUUGAUAAUAUAGAAUCUUCACUUUUGAAUUUUGGGGUGAGUGAUAGAGAAAUUAAUAAAAUGGGACAGGGGCCAUGAGGACAAAAUGUGCUUCAGUACAAAAACUACCAAUCAACCAAAUCAAGGUACGACCAUAAUUGUUAGUGUCUUCUUCUUUUAAUUCUCCCUUUCGAGUAAUUUCUUCUAGUUGAUACGAUGAGAUUGGUCUUACGUGCGGUAAUUAUAGUAUGUAUUAUUAUUAUUAUUAUUGUCGAAAACUUUAAGAGCAAUGCAAAACCAAAUAGCAUGCUCCUAAUUCAUCGUUUCCAUAAAAAUCUUCUCUACAGUAUUUCAGCCUUUCAUUUUCAAUCCUUUCCACCUUCUUCUACCCAGAAAGAGAGAAACAGAAAGAACAAAACCAGGUACAGUGGAUCCAGGAUCUUUAAGGACCACUUUAUGUCCCAAAAAUGAAUCAACUAACAAAAAUCAAAGAGUUAUUAUUACUAGUUCUUUGAAGCAAACCAAAUAAGGAAAGAAGGAAGGAAGGAAACUGAUCUAUGUCCCAUAUCAAUCUCCAGCUUUCAAUUUCUUCAUCCUCUCUUCCAACAGCAUUCCCUCGUCACGGCAUUCACGGCUGCAAAAUGCCCUCUCGCCCCUGAAUUUUAAACCACACAACCACACUCAUAAGCUCAUCCAACAUAUUUUCACUUAAUUUUGUUCAAAAUCUGUCUUUUAUCCAAUCAUCAUCUGUCAAUACUAGAUUCAAAGUUUCCCAUCAGUAUCUUCUUCUCAGUUUGUAAGCUAUUGGAUUAAAAAAACAGUCAUUCUCUAAUCCAACUUCAAACUUCAACUCACUGAUUCAUGUUAACGUUUAAUAUAAACUUUGAUUAUACAGAUUGUUCAGAUAAAAACGCAAAUUCUAAUUCAAAAAACUUCAUCAGAGUGUUUUCCAUGAAUCAAAUGUGUCUUGACAUUCUACUGGGAGAGGCCAAAGAUGAAAGUCACUAAAUUAUACAUCCAUUGUAUUAAAUUUAACUCUGCCAAGUGAUCUGAAGCCAAUGCAAAAGGUCAACAAUAUAAUACAGUUAUGAUAAUAUCACUUUAAAUUUCAUGCAGAGAUUAAAAGUUGUAGUCCACAAACACGUCAAAUUUUCUGUCAAUCCUACAUCUUAAUUAGAUAUGCGCAUCCAAAUCAAGUAGCAAAACUUUAAAAGGUUGUCACAACUGCAUAAAUUACAGUGGUGUUUAUGGGGAUGGAUGGAUAUACAGAAAAAAAAAAAAAAUACCUGUAUAUGUAGAUGUCCAUAUCCUGACCAAGAUUUUUAUUGCAGUAAAAACAGAAACUCAUGAAGCUUUCGGUGGAAAAACUGGUGUGGGGAGGUAGAAACACAUUUUCCAUCGGAGAGGAAGAACAUCCAAAAUCAAAACAGCCACUCUCAACGAUGCAGUUAUCAAAUAUGUGAGUAGUUCUUGGGUUAGGCCCGUGAGAAAUCACUCGAGUGUAAUCCUCUGAAAGCUCCAUUUCACUGGCAGAGAUAGAUCCCGUGAAAACUUUCGAAGAUUUGGAGGGUUCGAGGGUUGAAUUAGCGGAACCAAACACAGAUUUAGGUGAUUGAGGAGAGACUGUCGGAUGAGGCAGUGGAGGAUUCUGAAUCUUAAGCUGGGAUCCAAAGAGAAUCAUUCUGGUUUGUGACUUUGAUGUUACUUCUCCAGGUCUAUUGUCGUCAACAAGAGCAUCAACAAGACCCUUUGAAUCCAAUUUAUCCCAAUAACGCUUGUGUUCGCCAACUGGGGUUCUGGGGCUGUUUGCUUCUGACCUGAAAGGGUUUUUCAAGCCAGACAAAGGCUUACUGUCGAGUAUAGAGGUUGGACUCAUCGCAGUCUCAGUUUCACACAACACUUUGGAUGUGAAAUUGGCGAAUAGCUUAGGAGAACUGAAGAAAGAUGAUACCAGUUUCUUGUAUUUUUCUGAGAUAGACGGUGAGGAACUACAAAACGCCAUCAAAAUUAGAGCUUGUCAAUCAAUAGAGGUUGCUCUGGGUGGAUCUCUCUACCACUACAGUUCAUUUUAAUUCUACAUGAAAACAAUCAGAACAGUUAAACACCACCCCAAAAAAUUAAAACAUACGGGUUAUGUUAUGCAUGUAAAAGUAGGUGAGUGUGUGCAGGAAAGAGAGAGAGAGAGAGAGAGAGAGAGAGAGAUUGUAGUAAUCACCUGAAGGGACACUACCAUAACUUCGAGAAGACAACAUCAAAAAACCAAUUCUGUGUUUUUAUCUGCAGUGUUGGAGAGUUGUACAACUAACCAGUGUACUACACUCUACAACACAUGUGCAAAACUGCAGUCAAAUAAAUUCACUUUGGUUUGCAGAGUCAGAAGGCAGAAAUCGGCAACAAGUUUCAAUGAAAAAACUUGUGUUUCUCUCUCUCAACCCUCUUGUUUAAAGAUUAUAGUAACAGUGUUAAAUUGAUUAGAAAAUCUGGGGAGAAGAAAAAGGAAAAAAAAUUCCGGCUUUGUCGUGGUGGUCUGAGGUAAUAGAAUCAAAAGGGGAGUGAGAAACGACAUGCAAAGAGAGUCUCAGUGGUCAUGAUCAAGGGACCAGAGGUGCAUGCAUCAGACAUCAGAAACAAAGAAGGGUUGUUUGUAUUUUUGCUAGCUUUCAAUUUAGUUUGCGUUGGUGUGUGUGAGUGCCAUUAUUUCCCAAACAGAUGAGAAAUAGAAGAAGGGUGACUAGAGAGAGUAAAACCAAAAGGAAAAGCAAAAAUGGUCCCUAAAUUCGGAUUUGAACAAUAAUGGCGAGAAGAGAGAGAGAAAAAGGAAUUGAAGGUUUGGUAGUGGAGUUAUGUUGUUCUGUGUUUGGGAUGAUGAAUUCCUGAAAAAAUGGCCCAUAGAUAGGAGGAGACUCAGUGAGGCAAAAACAGAAAGCGGUUUCGUUUCUUCUGAUAAAGACGCUGUGCAUAAGAAUCAGUGGUUUUUAUCACAAAAUUAAAAAAAAAAAAAAAAAACAUUGACUUUCCUCUCACCACUGCCUCUCUGCAAUUAACUUUCUUUGGCAUGGGGUGGCUUUCUGUGUCAAUCACAUUAACGCAUCACACCUCUCUCAUGUACAUAUUUUUUACUCUUAUAACUUCAAAAAUAUUAAAUUCAUUUCAUUACGUUUAAAUAUAUUAAUAAUAAUAAUAUUAUGUUUUGUGAAAACAGACCACCUCACCUGAUAAGUUCACUACGGGUUUAGUUAGUUUAUCAGUUAGUCAGAAGAAAAAUUCGGCUCAACCCAUCAUACCAAUUGGUAGGUUAAAUAGGUUGAACUCAUUUAAAUUAUAAUUUUUAAAAUAAAAUAAAAUUUAAAGUUUUUGUAAUUUAAAUAUAAAUAAAUUUUAUUUUCAUGAUGUUAAACUCAAAAUAAUAAAAAAAAUACAAUACAAUGAGUAAGAUGGUAUUUUUCAGGAUUUUAUAAGAUUAUGAAUUAAUAAAAAUAAAAUUAGUUGAUCAAUUUGCUUCACCACGAGUUCAACUCAUAUGAAUAGGAUUGAAAAUUAACCUGCAUAAAGAAAAAGUAUUUUUUUUAAUCCAACUUAAUCUAAAUUCAUGAUAAGCUAAGUUAAUCCACAAGUUGUAACCUAUUUUGAUUGUUAUAGUUUUAUACAAUAAAUAUAUUAAAUAACCUAAUUUAAUGAUAUUUUUUAAAUGUUUUUUAUUAUGAAAUAAUCCAAAUUUAUAUUAUUUAUUUAGGUAUUAUAACUGUGAAUAUUAUUUAUCAUAGUGUUAAUAAUAGAAAUAUAAUGUCACAAUUUAUUGAUCUAUAGAUAUAAUUAAUGUUUUUUUUAAUGAAUAUUCACUCUCAUCAUAUUUUAUCAUAAAUACUAAUUAUAAAAAUUUAAUUCUUUUACCGAAUUAUGUGUCAAUAUUCUGAAUUCAAAUAAAAAUUUGUAUUAUAACAAAAAUAUAUUCUAUCCAAAUUAAUCUGUUAACGUCUUAUGAAACAUUAUCUUUUAAUAUUUAAAAUAGAGGUUAAGCUUUAUCCUGUAAGACCCAAUUUAGAAUGUCUUUUAUAUUAAUUAUUUUCACUGAAACAUUAUUAAUUAUAAAUCUUUUUUAUUUCAAGAGACGGUUAUAUUCAUUAAUGUUUUAGCUGGUUUAACUUUGUUUCGUCUUUAAUAAAAGAAAAAAAAAUGUGUUGGGAGUUUACUUCAGCAGUUAAGACGUAUGGCCAAUCAAAUUAAACUAAUAUUUAUAUUAAUUAUUAAAUCUAAUAACGUUUAAAAAUUAAAACAGGAAUAUUAGUUUUAGAAGUAAUUCUGAAAAGUAUGUUUAAGCUCAAAGCAAAUUUAAUUGUAAUAAUUACAUUAGCUAUUUUUUUACCUAAUAAGUUAUUUGAAUAUCUGUAAAUUCCCUUUACAAUAUAAGUAUGAGUACCUUUCUCUUUAACACUCUCCACACACAGCACAUGAAUUAUAAAAUCUGAGUUUAUUUAAGCUAACAUAAUUUAACAUGUUAUGUUUCUCAAAUUUCAUUAAAAUAUAAUACUAAUAAUUUAAUUAUUUUUAUUUUAUUAAUGAUAAUGAUUAAAUAUGUACGUAUCAAAGAUGUCAUAUUCGAGAAUUCAUUGUAUGCAGUCCGUUUGCAGCAUUUGUACUCUAGUCAACAAAUAUACAUUACUUUUUCUAGAUAGCAUGUAAUUGGUGUUAGAUUCUACAUGAUUAUUAUUCAUAAACAUGAUUAAUUAUGAAUGUCUAAAACACAUUUUCAUUAUGUCUUCACCACUAUGACAUUUUUUUUAUUCUUUUACUAAAAGAUCAAUUACCAUUUUUUUAUACUCUUUAAAAUUAAUUGUAUAUAUUAACAAACCAUUUUUUUUCCUAUUUUUCAUUUAAUUCAAAUAGUUUUAUUUUUUAUUUUAUUUAUUUAUGAUUAUUAUUUUCCAUUCCAUUCAAUUCAAAGAAUUUUAUAUAUUUUUAUUUAUUUUUAAAAUCUUUCAAUUUCCAUAACCUUUUAAGUACAUGAAUAAUGACAGCAAAAGCUCGAUUAUGGUCCACGAAUGAAAUAUCUUCAGCUGGAAAUUGAUAUAAUUGUCUAUACAUUUAUCACAAAGAUGUGGUGUGAAAAAGCAUUGCACAACUCAUUAUUUCUCUGGUCUUACUGUAAAUGAUUAGCAUAAGGAAGAAAUUUAAAGGAAAUGGGAGGAACAAAAGGAUUAAAUAUGUCGAGCUUUAAUAAUUAAUAAAUAAACAUAGUUAUUCAAUCAUUAAAACUAAAAUAUCGAACAUAAUAUAUUUGUUUAAAUUCAUCAUUUAUGGUUUAAGAGACGUUGGCUUGAUGGCUGAUACAUAAGUACAUUAUUUUUUAUACCUGUUUUAUUUUAACUAUGUAAACAUUAAGAUCAAUAAUCAAUUAUGUAUAAGUUUACAAAGAAGGUUCAAAAAACUGAACGUAUAAAGAUAAUCAAUUAUGUAUAAAUAAAUAUAAUAAAAAGCUUAUUUUUAUAUUAUAAUAUAAUAAAAAUUAAAAUAAUUUUUUUUAUAAUAAUACGUGUGUUUACAUCUUUCACAUUAAAUGAUACUAAUUAAAAAUUACAAUAUCAACCAACAUAACACAUAAAUUUAACAUUCAAACUAAAUAUUAUUAAACAAUGAUAUAAUGUUUAAAAAAUUAAAUUAUUAAUUUAAAUAAUUAAAAGUAAUAAAUAUUAUGGUAAAAAGCUCAUGAAAAAAUGAUAAACAAAUAAGGGUUAAAUAUGUUUUUAGUCCCUAUACUUUGGGGCGAUUUUAGUUUCAAUCUCUCUUUCAAAUUAAGGUACAAUUUAGUCCUUCAACUUUAGAAAACUCUGGAUUUAGUCAUUUUUACCAAAUUUUUUUAACUUUAUUGGCUGUUUGAAACGCGUUUCUUAGUUAAUAUUAAAGCAAAAAUGUGUCAAACAGUGUAAACAAUCCAAAUACUAUAAUGAAACAUGCUUGAAACAGCAAAAAAAGUUAAAAAAAUUUGGUAAAAAUGAUUAAAACCAGAGUUUUCUAAAGUUGAAGGACUAAAUUGUACCUUAGUUUGAAAGAGGGACUAAAACCAAAAUCGCCCCAAAGUAUAGGGACUAAAAACAUAUUUAAUCCAACAAAUAAUAAAAUAUUGUUAUUGAUAGAUUACAAGACAAAUUUAUAUAAUUUAGGAAUUAAAUGAAUUGGAUUUAAUUUAAUCCAUUUUUUUUUUAAAGAAAAUAUAAGUUUAUCUAAUUAACCCAGAUUAAACUGAGUCAAAAUGCAACCCAUAUGUUAUAUAUAUAUAUAUAUAUAUAUAUAUAUAUAUAUAUAUAUAUAUAUAUAUAUAUAUAUAUAGACUUGUCAAAUAGGUUCCUAUAAUAGGUCUUGACCCUAUCUCAUGUGGGUUAGGGCCAAAAAAGCUUUUUAUUAAAAAAGCUCCAAGGGCUAAAAAGCCCCAAAGCCCUGUGGGUCAGGGCCAACCCAUGGGCUUUCAUUUUUACAAAAAAAAAAUUAAAUAUUCAAUAAUAAAUUACAUUUUUAUAGAGAAAAGAAACACUUAUAUUAAGUGUUAUAACUUGAAGAAUUUAAAUUAUGAAACACACAAACUCAAUUAGAGAAAAAACUAUCAACUUAUAUAGCAGCCAGAAUCACAAAUAGUAAAGAAUGAUUGUCAAAAAAACUUGAAUGUGAAGAUUGGUGGCAAUGUUUAUUUUAGAUGCUCUAUAAUCAGGCAUAGUCAGUUGAUUUACUCCAAUACCUUAUUAACAUCAGUAUCUGAGAAGUAAUUUUGCCUACUAUAAUUAUUGCAUAUUUGAAACAGAUAUGUCCAAUGAGAAAAAAAAGAAGAGAUAUUGUAUACAUCCAGAAUUGGAAACUAAAAAAAGAGAUAUUUUUAAAAUAUAUGAUUAUUUAAUAUUAAUUUUAAUUCAAUAAUGACUAUAAAUUGUUUUAAUUAAAAUAUAUGUGUGCUUGAGUUUUUUUUUUAAAGAAAAAAAUAAAAAGAACAUUAUUAUCAUAAUUAUAAAAAUGAAUAUAAAUAAUUUUUAUUAAUUUUAUAAAUAAUUUUAUGUUAAAAUUAAUUUUUUAAUUUAUCAAAAUAGUAAGUUUUAGAAAUAAUUAAAUAAUUAAUAAUGUUUAAUUUACAAAAUAUUACCAACAGAAAUUAAUAAGAUAAUAAUUUUAAUUAAAAUAUAUAUUUAAUAAGAUAAUAACGUUGAAGCUAAUUUUAGUUUAUGAAAAAUAAUUAUUUUUAUUUUUCUAUUUUUCAAAUGUAAUCAUUUAAAAAAAACACUACACCAACGGUCUCAAAACUAACAAAUAUUAUUUUGUGAAAAAAUAAUGUUUUGACAAAGUUUAUAUAUAUAAUUAAUUGACAACUUGUUUAUAAUAAUAAUAUUAUAACAAUAAAAUUCAAACGUUAGAAAGAAAUAUUUAUUAUAAUAAUAAUAAGAUUUAAUAUAAUAUAAUAUUUAUAAUAUGAGAGAGAGAUUAUAUUAUUUCUAAACUUUAAUUAAAGUUUUAGAGUGGGAUUAAAAUUUAAUUAAGUUUUAGAGUGGGCUAAACCCACUUUAACCCUGACCCUAACCCACUUGAGAGGGGGUUUUAGGGGUUGGAGCUUUUUUCUGACCCCCUAAGGAGACUUCUUAAAAUAGGACUUUUUCAACAGUAGGUUGGGUUGGGACUAACCCUGAGACCAUGGGUUAGUUUGACACCUCUAUCUGCACAUCAUUAUACAAGCAUAUUCAAAGUUUGUUUUUUGUUGCUGAAAAUUUAAUUUUCAUACCAAUAUAUCAUAUCAGAGCGCUUUGCUAAUUUUUUUUUUUUUUUGUUUCCAGUUAUGCAGGAACUUUUAAAUAUUUAUUUAGGUGUUUAUCAUUUGGCAAGAUUUUGAGUCACAAUGACUGUUUUUAUGUUUAGAGUAUGUCCUAAUAACUAAACAUCAAUAUUUUACUGCUAUCACAACGUCUUUAUUAUUCAAGUUCAUUGCAUUAGAAAAAGUAUAUAUCUUCAUAAUUGUACAUUUGAACGUUAUUAAGAGACAAUUUUCUAAUAAAAAAAUACAUGGAUGAUCAGUUGUGAGUGAAGUGAAAGUAUAUCAAGAAUUUUUUUCAAUUAAAAAAAAUAUUACAGUGAGUGGUUUUGGAUGUGAAUACUCGUUCCAAUUUGGGUCGAGUUAUUUCAAACACAUUUACUGAUAGUCUAAUAAUCUUUGUUUUCAUUCUAUCGUUGGAAUAUCUGUCAAAGGUUAUCUAAUUUUUAAAUCGGCCAUACGGGAUUCAGAACAAUGAUAUUAAAUAUACAGUAAAUACGAUCACCUAACUUUUACUUUUGAUCUUUAUUUAUAAUUUUUGAGACGAGUCUAAGAUUAAUGACUUAUUAAUAUGGACAAAAUCUCAACUUAUUACCACUAAUUAUUAUUUAUCUUAAUUCUGUAGAAAAAACUUGUCUUAGAUAUUUUUCCUUCUCCAAAAUCGUCCGACCCAUUCAGUAUGAAUUAAUACGCAGGAUCGUCCAACCCCUAGAACACUUCUUAUUGAGAACUAUACAAAUAUGACAUAUAUGUAAAAAGAACCUUUUACUUUUUUUUUAACUAAUAAAAAAUUGAUGUCUAUUGUCAGUUAAGAACUCAUUUUCAUCGGUACAAAGUGAUUGAUUUACAUUAAAUAUAAAAUAAUGGAUUUUAAUUUAUCAAUAGUAUUUUUAAAGGUUGACUUAAAAUAUAAUAUUUAAUAAUAAGGUAAUUCUAUAUUGAAAUCUGCUAAAGUUGACUCUAUGUAGUAUCAACCAAUCUAAAUUAAAUUUAGAUAACGUUAAUUAACACCUUCUGUUAUAAUAAGUUGUUACUGAUAAAUAGUUUGUGCAUUGUUAACUGAUAAUUCUGGGCAACCUAUUUAUGCAGACAUUUUCACCAACCUAAAGCUAUGAUCUCAUUUUCCAAAAGGACGGUGCAAUGCUACAACAAUCAAAUACAUCAUCCCUUUCAAUCGAAGUCAUGGAUCCAUCACGUUUCUAUACGAAAAAUAAUACAUGAUUUACUUACCUUGCGUGUAAAUUCAAGCGUAUUGGCAAAUCUGGGAAACAUUCCUGCAGGAAUCACCGACAACGGAAGAACACAGCCAAAAUAAGGGUUUGAAUGAUCAAAUUCAGCAAACUAAGGAAGUUAUUUGAAGUAAUUAGAAGAAAACAAAACACAAUAACCUACUUCUCCUUGUUUUAUUUAGGGCUACAUGGUGGGUGCUCCUUCCUUCCAUCAUUCACUCGAUUUGCAGUUACAUUAACCGGCAAUGGAGAGCUAGGGAACGGGAUCGAAGAAAGAGAUGGAGAUUGACAAGAAGAGAAGAGAGCACGCACGGCAAAGGUAUGUGGUGACAUAAUUGCAGUAUGUGCUCCCUUUCUUCUGUCAAUCACUCUGAAAGCUCAUCGUGUUAGGUUUUGGUUGAGCGAUGUGCAUGCCCUAGGCCCAAUAAUAUAUAUAUGCCUUUUUGUGUAGUGCUCUCCUUUUGAUUUGUUUUUCCUUCUCACUAAUUUGAAUUUUCUGGGAAAAAGAUGUGUGAGAUGGGACGAUGGAACGUUAUGGAAGGAGAAAAGGUGAGGGGCCGUUUGGUUUAGGUGUCGAAUUAGGAUUCGUCUGAGGAAGUUAAAUUAAAAACGGGAAAAUAUAUUUUUAAUCGUUUUAAAUAUACGAACCAAUAAAAUAGUAACAUUAGUAUUAAAAAAUUGUUAAAAUAUCACUAUUUUUAAAAAUGGUUUUAGAGAAUGUAGCUUCUGAUUUCUAUAUAUCACUGUUAAACUCUUGUAAGGUUCCUAUUUUGGAUGAUUCUCUAAUUCUAUAUUCUUGAUAAUAUUUUUUUUUAUAACAUUUUAAUGCUAUUUAUAUGUUAUUUUGUAAUUAGUCUAAAAAUUACUUUAUCGUAAAUAAUAUUAAAAUAUUAUAAAAGAAAUGUUGUGAAAGUAUUAUUAUUCUAGUAAUAAACUCCAAAAUUAUGAAUGUUAGUUUUAUGUAGUGUUGUGCUGUGCUAGGAUGCAUUAGGGAUGUGCACUUUCACGGUGUUACAAAUCAUAAACUUUUAUGACUUUGUAAUAGUUUUGAUGGGUUUUGCAGAUUUUUUUUUAAUGCAUGUAAAACUUCAUCAGUAUCAUCCUUGAGACAAUUAACAUAUUAUAAUCACAGUGGAAAAUAAUGUCAAAUAUUUUAACAAAGAAAAAGAAUGCGUCCAAAACAAAACAUAAAUGGACUGAAUUUAAUAUUUAAUGACAAUUUCACGUCCAAAACAUUCUGUAUCCAACUUCCAUGUAUCCCACUUAUGACAAAACUUAUACUUAACUUUUAUCCAACUUCUAUGUAAAAAACACCAUUAAUAAAGUUGUUCAGAAAAUUUCAAUAAAACUGUUCUUAUCAAGCCUAAAAGUGUAGUUUUAUUUUUUCCUCUAAAACUUUUCACAUAAUUUAAACAAUUUGUUUUGUUUAUUUUUUAAGGAGUGGAAAUUGAUUUUUUUUUGUUUUUAUUUUGUAAGAGUGGCAAUUGAAUAAUGCUUGAAAAACUAAAAAUACUUUGAUUUUAAAAAAUAUUUAUCUUCCUUACCUAAAUAAUACCUAUAUAAUAUUUAAUAUUAUAAUGAAAUAAUUAAAAAGUUUAUUGUAAAAAAAAAUCUAUAGAAAAAUAUUUUUAAAUAAUAAAAUUUAAAUGAACUAAUCAAAAUUUAUGUUUAGAUCGUUAAAAAAAAGAGAGUAAGUUUUUGAAAAAUUUAAGAUUAAAAGAUAAGUUGACGUUAUUAUUAUUACUAUUGUUAUUACUUUAUAAUGAGUUAUUUACUUUAAUCUUAUUUAUGAUAACAAAAGAUAAUACAAUUAUAAUUAUAAAAGUAAAUAUAAAAAAACUUGUAUGAUAAAAUAUAUUUUUUUAUUGUAGAAAAUUAUUUUGGUUUUAAAAAAUAAUUAAAUUUUAAAAAGUUAAUAUAAAGAAAGUGAAAAAUUAGGAUUUUAUCCCAGUCAAAUCAAGGGACAUUUGAGGUAUUUAAAAAAAGAUGGGGAUGCAGAAAACAAAACGAGGGGCAUGAAGAAAGCUCUAAAUACGAAAUAGUUUGAGUGGGUUUAGCCCAAACAAUGCCCAAGCCCAAUAAGGGUUUUAAGGAAUAUAAAGUGAGUUAACUAAUAGUAGCUGCGCUUGGAGACGAGGCUAGGGUUUCAGUCGGCUGCGGAGAAGACCAGACUUGACAAGACCUUGAAGCAGCAGAAGAGCAACUAUGGCGGUCGGAAAGAAUAAGAGGAUUUCGAAGGGAAAGAAGGGUGGCAAGAAGAAGGCGUUAGUGCCCAUUUUCUUCGUUUUUUUCUCUUUAACUGUUCUGUUGCAAUCUCUUUUUUUGACUAUGUUCUUCUUCUUCUUCUUCCAUCAAUCCGCAGCGCCGAUCCCUUUUCCAAGAAGGAUUGGUACGAUAUCAAGGCCCCUUCUGUGUUCCAGGUCAAGAAUGUGGGCAAGACCCUCGUCACUCGUACCCAGGGCACCAAGGUUUUUAUAUCUAUUUUCACCAUCGUGUGUGUGUGUAUAUAUAUAUAUAUAUAUAUAUAUAUAUAUAUAUAUAUACACACACACACACACACUUCAAUCUGUUUUUGUCCAUCUAGCAAUAUAGAUUCAUUUUUAUAGAUGGCAUUGCAUAUCUGAAGUGUUGGAUCUUCAUAUAGUAAUUUAUACAAAAGAAGAGUAGAAUUUUGUGUAGGCAUUUGCAUGAUGAAAAGUUAGAUGUUGUGCUGGCUGUUCUUUUUUAUCUCUACAACCUCGGUUGUUGUUUUAGUGUCUUAAUCAAUAUUUUCUUUUAGUAUUCUAGGCUAUUCUUUUGCUUGUAUUAUUUUAUGACUUUGUCCAUGAUCUGGAGUAUUGUAGUUGUAAUAAUAUUUGGGAAGUGUUAUUCUGCGUACGUGUGCACUUCAAAUUUCUAAGCUUAUCGUGGGCUUGUGUAGUUGGUGGUGGGUUUACUGACUGUUUCAAAUAAUAGAUUGCUUCGGAAGGACUCAAACACAGAGUGUUUGAGGUCUCAUUGGCUGAUCUUCAAGGGGAUGAGGACCAUGCCUUCAAGAAGAUCCGUUUGAGAGCCGAGGAUGUUCAAGGAAAGAAUGUUUUGACAAACUUUUGGGUAAGCUGGGGGCCGAAGUUAUUUUUUACACCCGACUCAGAUGAUUUCAAUUAAUUUGGGACUGUAUCUUUUUAGGGAAUGGAUUUCACAACCGACAAGCUGAGGUCUUUGGUCCGAAAAUGGCAAACUUUGAUCGAAGCUCAUGUAGAUGUGAAGACCACUGAUAAUUACACUCUGAGGAUGUUCUGCAUUGGCUUUACUAAGAGGCGAGCCAACCAAGUGAAGAGGACUUGCUAUGCACAAUCGAGCCAAAUUAGACAGGUACCAACUCCUUAGAGGUUGUAUGCUAAAGUUUUUUUUGUUUUCAAUUUAGUUUUAAAAUAUGCAGGGAUAUGUUUUCAUGUUAAAUUGAACAUGUUUUAAUUUCAUUUCUCUCUAUUGUACCUAAGAAAGUAAUAUAAAUUUUGAAGGAUGUGAACCAUGUUAUUAUAUCAACAUUUUCUUUUUGUAUGCACUUCAGCACAUGUGCUUGUAUCCUAAAUUGCCUUCCAUAUUUAUGAACAUGUUUUCUGAAAGUAUCUUCUCUUGUUUUCUUUUGUUUAAUAUAUUGUUUAAGGGAUGAAUUGUUACAUAUAUGAGAUUAUUAAACUCACUGUUGUCGGUUUAGAUCCGCAGGAAAAUGAGAGAGAUAAUGGUUAACCAGGCAACAGCCUGUGAUUUGAAAGAACUGGUCCGCAAGUUCAUCCCUGAGAUGAUUGGGAAAGAGAUUGAGAAAGCAACAUCAAGCAUCUAUCCCCUACAAAAUGUGUUCAUUCGUAAAGUUAAGAUCCUGAAAGCUCCAAAGUUUGACCUUGGCAAAUUGAUGGAGGUACGUCCUUUUUGUUUGAAUUUUUAGUCAUUGAAGCAUUCAGUCAAGCAUUGCUGGAUUUGUCUUUGAUCGGUAUCGCCAAAAUGGUUUAGUCAAAAGAUUUUCUUACGCAUCAUGGGAUUCCCAAUUUUCUAUAUUGCCUUGUUGAUUUUUGACCUUAGUUAUGAGUAAUAUUGUUGGGAAUGAAGCAAUUUCAGCAUAAAAGUUUUACUAUUUUUAGUGUACAAUCGUGUGGUUUAUUCUUGUACGAAUAUCAUAAACAAAACUUUGGUAGGUUUUGUAAUAUUUUACUGUGUUUAUACUUGUAGGUUCAUGGGGAUUACUCGGAAGACGUUGGAACAAAGGUUGACAGACCUGCUGAUGAAACAAUACUUGAGGGAACAACUGAAGUAGUUGGAGCUUGAACUGGCUCAUAAUGAAUUUUUGUUUGUUUAGAAUCCCUGUUGCAUUUACUAAUAUUUAUACUUAAAUUUUGUUUUGGCAUUUAGAAGAGCAUUUGUUUUUUCGAUAUGGAUUUUUGGUUUUUAAGCUUUAUUGGAGACGCUAAAAUUUCUCUGCCUAUUCCAUGUGCUUCCCUAUGAUAAUUUGUGCAAUCUUUGUAUAUUACUUUUCCAUCGACUGUGCAAUGGGAUGAGAUGUGUGGCUGCGUAUCUGAAUUGAACAUCCAACCAUUUGCAAACCUUCGGCUACUUUGCAACAUUCUUUUAGCCUUUUACUUCACCUUCUCAGCUGUUAGUUCCUCAGACAUUCGACGAAACAUUUUUCAAUCGGUAUACACAUAAACCUAAUUUUAACCAACCUUUUGAUAUGUAUGUUUGGAAUGAAUGAUCCUGUCUCUGUAACCGUUAGUCGGUGUUCAUUAAACAAUAAGUUUGUGGUCGUAUUAACUGUGUUGGGUUGAUUUUUCUUAUUUCUAUGUUUUGCUUUUUCUAUUUUUAGGUGAUAUUUUGAUCCUAAUAAAAUUAAAAUAAUUUUUAUUUUUUUAUUUUAUUUAAGUAUUACUCAGAACCGUUAUUUAACAUAUUAACAAACCUAAACCCUUAUUUACUUAUUAACAAAACCUAACACUUCUAUAGCAUAUUAACAAACCUAAUCAGAACAAACUAAAUGCUUAAUGAUAUUUUCAAUGUUCCCUUAUCAAUUAAAGUGUUCCUCAAGAAUACUUUAAUCGAUUUUUGUUCAAGUUUUAACUUGUUAAAAUAUCUAAGAAAACAACAACUCUAUAAAGCAUACGUAAGUACAUUUGAGACAGUAAAGAAUCUUCUUUCAAGAUGUGUUCGAGCAUUCCUCUUGAAUUCAUUAAUACAUAUCCUCAAAAAAUUAGGUGGGAAUUUUAGUUCUCGUAAAAUAGAUCUUAGUUCAAACUAGUUUGUAGCUGCAAAUUAAUUCGGAAUCAACCAGAGUGGAUAAGGGUUCCAGAAGCUCUUAAUUGUAUGCUUUAGGCAUUAUAGAUUGUGAUCAGCAGCAAUAAAUCUCCUUACAGAAAGAAACGCUUCUUAAUUUUGCAAGUGAAUUACACCAAUAAAAACGAUAGGAAGAGUAAAACAAAUUAAGUAGAUGAAAGGUGGGGAUCAGUAGAGAGAACACUGAACAUCACCAUAUCUCUGGUUUUUCCUUUGAGGAACACAUACUUCCUAAGAAUUCCCUCCCUCUGAAAACCAGCUUUUUCCAGCACUCUCUGAGACCCAACAUUCAGCACAUCAACAAGAGCUUCAAUCCUCUCCAAGUUUGGCAACGAUUGCUCACNNNNNNNNNNNNNNNNNNNNNNNNNNNNNNNNNNNNNNNNNNNNNNNNNNNNNNNNNNNNNNNNNNNNNNNNNNNNNNNNNNNNNNNNNNNNNNNNNNNNNNNNNNNNNNNNNNNNNNNNNNNNNNNNNNNNNNNNNNNNNNNNNNNNNNNNNNNNNNNNNNNNNNNNNNNNNNNNNNNNNNNNNNNNNNNNNNNNNNNNNNNNNNNNNNNNNNNNNNNNCAUCAUCCAGGUCAGAGAGCUCAAGGGGUCGAAGAGAUAUUCGACUCAAAUCGACACUUUCUUCUUUUUCUUCUGAUUUCUCCAUUGGGUUGAUAAUGGGGUUCUGAAUUUUACAAUAUCUAUGAAACACCGAAAAGAAACUUGAACGGAAGAAGAAGAAAACGAAAGGUAUUAUAUAGCUCGAGAAUGGGAGUAGGGAUUGAAGGAAGGCUGCAGUAAGCCAUGGUUGACUUCCCUAGCCGCCCAAGACUAUGCUUUCUUCUGAACUAUGAAAAACAUAUUUUUUAAUAUUUUGAAAAAGAUGGAAGAGUUGGGAAAAUCCACAAUAACUCACAAUUAAUUUAAAUUUCCUUCACCAGUUUAAUGCUUUAGCAAAAUUAAUUAAUUUCUUUAAUUAAUAGAUAUGAGGUAGGUAGGAAUUGUUAUAAUCUCAAUAAAUAAAAAGUGUGUGGUGUUAAUAUUAUUGAUUUUAUUUUAUAAUGAUAAUAAUAGCGUAAAAGCCAUUAAAACAAUUUUAAUUCAGAGAGAAGCGAGUCGAUUUUCUGGUAAUGAUGAAAAAGGAGAGUCGAUUCCUUUCUGGUGUUUGAAAUCUUUUCUUGACAUAAUCGAUUAUCCGAUUCUCAGAAUUUAUUUUUAGCUUUCGAUUUUAUUACUUUUCUCAUGUUCGGUCCAUUCAGAAGAUAGUUCACUGUGGAGAUAAAAUAUUAAUAAAAUCUGAAUUUAAUCAUAUAGGAAUUAAUAUCAUUCUUUAUUUAAAAAUUUUAAAAUAAUGGACUAAUGGAUGUUUCAGUGUAGAGAUACAAAUAUUAAUAAAAUUUGAAUUCAAUCAUAUAGACAUUAACACAUUUUUUAUUCAAAAUUUCAAACUAAUAAAUUAAUAAAUCUUUUAUUUUUACCUUUAUCUUCAUAUAAUAUAUAAUGCUCUACAUUUUUUUUUUAUCUAAUAUCAUACUCAUACUUAUAUUCUCUAUCUUUUUCCUCACAUAUCCCUUCUUUUUUUUCCCACUUUUGUAGUGAUUUCUGAGAAGGGUCACUGACAAAUUAGUUAUCAAAUCGCUGUAAAUUCAUUGAUCCAAAUAAUAUCGAUUUUUGUUUUACUGUCUGCGUGUAAUUUUUUAUAAAAAUGUGAAUUAUAUUAUACUUAAUAAUUAUUAUCAAAACUGUGAAACAAAAUAGAAGAUAAAUUUUGUGCGAACAAUAUAAUUAUUUAUAUUAAAAGAUAUAUAACUGAAUUUUAGUUUUGAUUUUAUUAUUAAUGAAUCCAGUAAAUUAAAAAAAAACAAAAAAUCUAUUAAAUAUAUAAAAAUUAUUUUAUAGUUAUAAUUAUAUUAAUUAUGUAUUUAUUUUUAUUAUAUUAAUAAUAAUAAUAAAUUUUCAAUAUAUUAUUUUAAUGAUAAAAUAAUAAUGAUAAGAUCUGCUAGUAACAUCGCCAUGGUUGAUUUUCCUAGCGACCGAAGUCAUGCAAUGCUUACUUGUGAAACAAGAAAAUAUAUUUUUUAAUAUUUUCAAAAGGAUUGAAGAGAUACAAAAAUUUAAGGCUUAAUAUCCUUGAUGAUCCCUAUUUUCGUCAAGUUUGUUCACUUUGGUCCCGUGUUUUUUUCUGUUUAAUGUUGUCCUAAAGAGUGUAAAUUUUGUUCAAUUUGGUCCUUUUUGUUAACGCCGUUUAAAUUGUUAACGGCCAGAUUUCCACAUGUGCAAUUAGGGAGUGAACUGUCAUUUAUGUUCUGAAGUGAACUAGAUCAGUCAUCUUCAUGGAUCACAUUCAGAAAUAAUUAACAGAAAUGAGGACUAGAUUGAACAACUUUCAUUCAUUACAAAACAUAGAGCCACAUUACCAUCUUCUCCAACCUUCAGCCCAACCAAAAAUAGAAACCCUACUUUCUUUCUAAAAAUCUAACCCUAGCGCCGCCACACCUACACCCUCAGGCCACCACCGCAAUCACCACAUACCUGCAAACGAAACCCAGAAGACCAUUACCAUGAUGCAGCUGCAACCACCUCCACGCACCACCAUCUUCAUCGCGCGCCUUCACCAUCAUCUUCUUCCCAGUUCGCGCUGCCACCAUAGUGAUUGAGGGUUUCGAUUUGGGGGUUUUUGUUGUGUUAUCUGGUUUUUGUAAAUUGGAAUGUAUGACUUUCGUUUCAAAAUUGAUUUGGGAAAUUCUUGGUUUUUUUCUGUUUUGUGAGUGGUUAGGGAUUUUGUUCUUCCCUGCAGGUAUGGGUUUUGCGAAGUGGGGGAUGAGGGUUCAAAUUGGGAAUGUUAGGGUUUUUAAACUUGGGGUUUCGUGGUGGUUGUUGUUGGAUGCACGGGUGGCGCCAAUGAAGGUGCUGGUAGGUGGCCAUGGGUGGUUGUUGGACAGAGAAAAUGAUGGAGGUGAGAAGAUAGUGGCUGGUCUGGCGACAGUGGUUAGGGUUAGAUGGUGGCUAGGGUUUUUGUGUAAGGGGAAAUUAGGGUUUCUGGAGGUAGGAGAUGAUGUUGACGUGUCAAGGGUGAUAUGUCAUUGAUUGUACAACUGGACAGUUGGCCAUUAACGAUUUAAACAACGUUAACAAAAAGGACCAAAUUAAACAAAAUUUACACUCUUUAGAAUAACAUUGGACAGAAAAAAAAACAUAGGGACCAAAGUGAACAAAUUUAACAAAAAUAGAGACAAUCAGGAGUAUUAAGCCAAAAUUUAAAUAACUCAAUUAAUUCAAACUUCCUUUACAAGUUUAAAGUUUUAGAAAAAUUACUAAAUUUCUUUCAUAGAAAUUAUUAUAAUCUCAAUAAAUAAAAAGUGUUUAUUGGUGUUGAUGUUAUUGAUUUUAUUUUAUAAUAAUAAAUAAUAAUAAUAAUAAUAAUAAUAAUAAUAAUAAUAAUAAUCCCACAAGAAGAUAUAACGUUGAAUAAUUCUUGAAUGAUGAAGAAUACUUCCUGAUCCCACAAGAAGUAUUGCAACAUGGAAAAUCUUGGAGCAAAACGAAAAAACAAUUCAACACAAAGCUAAGAAGAAUUCAACAAUUCAAACUUUAGACAGAGGAAUGAAGGUGAGGAUCGGUAGAGAGAACACUGAACAUCACCCUAUCUCUGGAUUUUCCUUUGUGGAACACAUACUUCCUAAGAACUCCCUCCCUCUGGAAACCAGCUUUUUCCAGCACUCUCUGAGACCCAACAUUCAGCACAUCAACAAGAGCUUCAAUCCUCUCCAAGUUUGGCAACGAUUGCUCACCGAAAGCAACCUUAACCACUUCUUUCACAACCACCGUGGCAACCCCUUUACCCCAGUAUUUNNAACCNAUAACAUAGCCAAGUUCCAUGGAUCUGUUCCUGCUUUGAUCAUGCUCUGANUUGGAGGAAAGAGAAACACACCCAAUAGCACGAUCGUUCAGGCAUAUUGCUCUGCACCACGCCAACUUGCUGGCUAUGUUUUGGAUGAAAUUGAUGCCCUCUUCUUUGCUACUAUAAGGAUCCCAAGUGCAGAAAGNUGCCACCUUUUCAUNGGAGGUCCACACCAAGACAUCAUCCAGGUCAGAGAGCUCAAGGGGUCGAAGAGAUAUUCGACUCAAAUCGACACUUUCUUCUUUUUCUUCUGAUUUCUCCAUUGGGUUGAUAUGGGGUUCUGAAUUUUACAGUAUCUAUGAAACACUGAAAAGGAACUUGAAUGGAAGAAGAAGAAAACGAUGGGUAUGAUAUAGUUUUAGAAUGGGAGUAGGGAUUAAAGAAAGGCUGCAGUAAGCUAUGGUUGACUUCCCUAGCCGCCCAAGACCAUGCUUACAUCUGAACUAUGAAAAACAUAUUUUUUAAUAUUUUAAAAAAGAUUGAAGAGAUAGGAAGAUCCGCAAUAACUCACAAUUAAUUUAAAUUUCCUUCACCAGUUUAAUGCUUUAGCAAUAUUAAAAGAAUUUCUUUCAUUAAUAGAUAUGAGGUAGGUAGAAGUUGUUAUAAUCUCAAUAAAUAAAAAAGUGUUUGGUGUUAAUAUUAUUGGUUUUAUUUUAUAAUAAUAAUAAUAGCCUCAAAGCCAUAAAAAAAAUUAAUUUAGUUUUAGUAAGUCAAUUAAUACUACCUCAUUUUGUCUUAUUAUUUUAUCUUUAUUUAACUGUUAUUUUUCAAGUCAAUGUUAAUUAAUCAUCUGAAGAAAAGAUUUAUCAUUGUUUUGAAACAAUUUCUGAAAUUUACGGAUCAUAGUUUUAAUAACAACGCAGAAGACAAGUGAUAGAGUGCAAACUAAGGAUUGCAUGGAGAGUUUUAUUGAUUAUUACAAUGCAAUUCUUGAUACAAGUCACUCGUACAAUUCUCAUGGAAGCUAAAACAUACAUACAGAUUUGCAAUAAGUUGCUACGAUCAGAUAAGUCUAAAUUGAAUAGUCUCUUAUUUCUUAUGACAAACCUUCAAUUUCACUAGCUAUGUUAACAAUUGAUAUGCUACUUGUAGAAACAUCCCAAACAAAGAAAUUACUCACAACAUACUUAUUCCUCAUUAGUUGAAGGCUUUGAACAUCCACAAGCACACCCCUUGCGCCGCCUUCUGCUAUUUUUCCUCCCAAUGCGAAUAAAAUCCUUCAGCAACACACCUGUUGUUGGUCUACAGAUUCUGUUGUUCUUCAUAUCAGCCAGUUUGAGCAGAAUAUAUUGGAUGUUCUGCACUUCAAACUGCAACCUUCCUAUUUGCUCAGAACCUCUUCGAGCCUGUUCUGAUAACUUCUUCCUUAUCACUUGUACUUGCUGCUUUUCCAACUUUCUUGUGUUUGUGUCUGAAGGUGAGGCUGUGCACAGUUCAAAAUCUCUUGCCAGUUGAUCAUACAUGCCAAUUUGUUGCGUGACGGCUUCCUCAACAUCUUCUAUGUGUCUUUUCACAGCUUCAUACUCAAUCUCGUUUACCUUAUUGCUUUUCUUCUUUGUCUCCGGCUUUUUCUUCAAGUCUUGCAGAGUCAUUUUAAGAAUGGCCAGCUUCUGAGAAUCGGAGGCAAGCCUCUCCAAGAUCCUCCUCUUGCCAUCUUCACUUGUCUCUUUUCCAGUCUUCCAUAGCUCUAGCUUGUCAACCCCUAGUUCCUUCUCUCUCUCCAGUUCUGAAGAGUAAUUUUGACAUUUUUCUGAGUCAUGCCAUGUGAUUACAUCUUCUACUGAAGUAGAAUCCAGUUUAGCAUCUUCAGUAACAUCAUGCUGAUCAGUUUCACAUAGCUCAAGCAUAUGGUCAUUGCUUCUACUGAGCUCUCUCUUACAAUACUUGUUGUAGUCCGGAUCAUCCUUGUAGUUAUCGAGAGGAAUGUCUAUCAUUAUCAACCGUUUUUGAGAUUUUGUUCUCCAUGCAUUAUGGCCACGUGUGCUGUUAUCUUUCUUAAUUUUCAUCACCAGCUUUUUGUUGUCAAUUUCUGGAUAAGUAGCAGCUUCCAGAUUUGAGUGCUCUGUCAUUUCUGAUACUGCUUCUCCUUCCACGUUUCCUGUCAGAUUUUCUUGCUUCAUACGUCUUUCAAGUUCUUCCAUCAUCAACUUCUCAACUCCUCUAAUCCUUUUCUGGAUGCUUAGCAAAUCUUCAACCACAUCUGGUUUUAAAAUACUUUCAUUUCCUUUUAAACUUUGAUGGGUAUUUUCUUGGAGACAAGUCUCAGAGGCCACAUCCUGGAUAAACAUUCAAGGUAGACGUGGAUAAGUAGAAAAUGUAAGUGAACUACAUAAGCUGUUUUUACAAGAGAAAAGGAGGAAAAAAAAAAUACAAGUACAUAAUAUCUAGUUCAAAGAGGAUGCUACCUUCUUCCCCCUGUUGCCUACAGCAAAAGAAUUUUUGGUGCAAAGCAAGUAAGUGUGCUCUAGAGAUGCAAAAUCCUCUUUUAAAGAAGUAACUGUUGGAGUAUAUGCAGAUAAUUGCCCCUUCAGCCCUCUAUUUUCGUUUUCCAGUAAACUGACCCUUUCUAUCAUCUGUUCAAUCACCAAGUCUUUUCCAGCACCUUCAUCGUCAAGUCUCUUGCAGACUCCAGUAAGUUCAGUGACCUUGCUUUUCAACAGUUCUUCACUAAUUGAUGAAAUCUGAAGCUGCAAAUAAAACGCAGCAGCCUCAGCCUCCCAAAGCUGAAAUUCAUUUGUUUUGGCCAACAACUCAGAAUUCAGUGUUUGCUCCUUAGCCUUGUGUUGUUCAACUUCUUGAGAUAACGAUUUCAUCACCGACUUCAAGCUUCUAUUUUCUUCAUGAAGGUGUUCAAUUUCUUUUUUCUUAUUCAUGCAAUUUUCUGAUAGAUCAAGAAUCUGCCUGUCAAGGUUUAAUCUGGUCAAUCUUGAUUCUUCUUGAUCCAUCUUCAGCUCCUCAAUAUAUCUGCAAAACUCUUCAUUUAAUGUCUCUGCAGCCCUCAGCCUUUUUAUCAUUUCUAGAAGCUCUACGUCCUUCUUCUCGAGAAGAUUCUCUGAAUUCUUAACUUGAUGACUUAAACGGCAAUUUGCACCUUUUAUUUCCUGCAGCUCUUUAUCCAUCCUCUCAGUAGACUCAUUCAGAUAAACAUUCUCGGCUUCUUUCACCUCAAUCUUUUUCCUUAACAUAUCAAGUUCCUGAUGAAGGUCACUGUUUAAACGGCUAAGAUUACUGCUGAGAUAUUCAGAAAGUGCUUUUUGCUCAAUGACUUUGUCGGAGACAAGGUGUUCAUAAACUAAGUUGAGGUUGCUUAGGGCUAGUACCUCUCGUAGGAUCAUGCUGUUUUCAUCUUCAGCCACGGAAAUUGCAUCUUUUAGGUCCAAAACACUCCUAAGCAGUAAAUUCUUUUCCUCAAGGAUCUUACUAUUUUCUUCCUGAAACAAUUGAUUUGUUCUUUGCAAAUCAUUCAACUCUGCACGUACAGCAGCCAAUUUGGACUUUGAUGCAUUGGCUCUUUCUUCUCCAUUGGCCACUGCAGUCCUCAGUUGGCUGUUCUUCUCCAGGAGCUCAACCUUCUCUUUCUGCAACAUUGCGUUCUUCUCUCUCAGGCUCUCAAACUCUUGCAGCAUGAUAUUUUUCUCUGACUCCAUUUUUUCUCUCUCAGAUCGAUUUUGCUGAAGGAGAUGCUGCUUCUCCUCUUGGCUUUUCACACAAGAACUUUUGAAGCUCUCAAUGAUGUCCAAAAUAUGCAAUAUUGGUAUUUCCUCUUGCUUGGUUCCUUUGUCAUGACCAUCACAUGAAUCAAUCUGAAGAGCCCCACACACUUGAUGAAUAGCCAUUUUAAGCUUUCUAAUUUCAUUUAACAAAACCUCUUCUUCUAUCAGUUGCAUAAAGUUUUCGGCCUCCAACUCCGAGAUAACUUUGUUACAAAAUUUUGAUGCCUCAGCAUGCUUUUCACAUUCAGAUAUCAAGGCCAAAUUCUUCUCCUUCAGAUCUUCUAUACAACUUUGCAAAAUGAACAUCUCGACCUGAGCAUUUACAGCUCUGUCAACUUCUUUUUCAAAUUCUAUCUUCCCCAAACGAAGUUCUUCCUGUAGUGCAUGAAAAAUAUUCUCCAAAUUUGUCAGUCGAACUUCACUUAACUGUUUAUGAUUAGCAUGCUUUUCCGUUUGCACCAAAAUUGAAGCAUGGAGCUCCCGUACUUGAUGGCAUGUGCUUUCUUUGUCCUUCUCCGAGUCGGCAUAUUUUUCUUCUAGUUUUGUGAACAUCUUUUCCAGGUUACUUAGCUUUAACUCAACGCUUUCCAACUGAGAUACUAGAAUGCUUCUUUCGUUUAGAAGAUCGUACUUCUCAUCGUUUAACAACUUGCAAAACUCUUCCAAGUCACUUGAUUUUGCCUUCAAACCUUCCAGCUCGAACUUUGAAUCAGACAGGGACUUCUCCAGCAAGGCAUUCUUCUCCAAUAGCUUCUGCAUACUUUCGGUGACUAUUUGUAACUGUGAAAGUAAAGCUGAUUUCUCAUCAACGACAGUGGAUUUUUCUUCCCGGAGAACAUGGCAAGACUCUUGAAAUUUCUUCACUGUUGCUUUUAAUCCAUCCAGUUCAUCAUUUAAACUUGAAAGGGAAAAUUCCAUGAAGGCGUUCUGUAGCAAAAGUUCAUCCAUAUCCUUUGACUUUUCACGAAGAGCUUCUUUCUCAUUACGCUCCACUUUGCAGACCUCCUUUAGAUUUGCGUUCUCGUUUUGUAAAUCUUUCACAGAUGCUGCAAAACCUUUAGGAUCCAAACCUAAAGUCUGUAGUUGUUCCAGCAUAGCAUGGUAUCUAUUAUUCAAGUACUGGAUAUCAUUCUUUAUUUGAUGAGCUUCCUGCUGGAGGGCAUCGUUUUCUUCAGAGUUUGCAACGAAUUCUCGUUCAAGCUUCUCUUUGAUCUCCUUUAAUUUAGUGAUUUCCAUUUGCUGUCUUCUGAAUAAUGACCUAGUGGAAGAGAAAGUAAGUUCACUCAGCAUUCUAUUUUCUUCCACGCUCUCUUGCAUUUCAUCCUUAAAACCUGGUUUGGAAAGCUCCAAGUUCUUCAACAACUGAAGCCCAUAUUUAAGCUCCAUAACAAGAGUUCCUUGCUCCUGUUGUGACUUGGAGUACACCUUUUGCAGAGUCUGCAGAGUGGAUUCAAUUUCAAGAAAGUGAGAGUGCUCUUCGUGCAUUAGAGUCUCCAGCCUCUCUAACUCAGCAUGCUUCUCUAAAAGUGCCUGAUCCUUCAUGGCUAUCUUCUGCAAGAGAUUUUCAGCCUCCAGUCGAAGAGAUUGAUUUGAUUUCUCCAACGUAUCACAAUUUUCUUCUGCAGCCUUAAGCUUUUCAGUGCCUUUCUCAAUCUCCCUGCUGAGCUUUUCGGAAUUUUCUUGGGCACGUGAAAUAUCAUUCUCCAUUUUAGAUAUUUUCUCCAAGCAUCGAUGGUAAAGGACAGCUAAUGAUUCUUUCUCUUCAGUCAAUUCAGCAAGAUUUUUUCUCAGUGCUUUAAUUUCUGCUUCUGCUCUUCCAAGUUGCUCACUUAACAUCCGGGAGUUCUCUUCACCAUGGGUUAUCCUGGCUUCCAGAAGAGAGAUCUUUUCAAGAUUCUGCUUAUAUUUAAGAAGACCAGCAUCUUUCUGAGCUUCCAAUUGGCCGAGUUCUUGCCUUAGCUUUUUUGCUUCGAUUUCAGCCGUAGAAUAUUUCUCAUCAAAUUCCUUGGCGUCCAUCUGCGCCAGAGAUAGCAUAUUCUCUAGUUUAGCUAUACUUUCUAGACACUGGUUGUACUGAACUUGACCAGCAUCCUUCUCAGAUUUUAACUGUGCCAGAGCUUCCUUCAGAACUUUAGUUUCAAUUUCAGCUUUACUCGCUCUUUCAUCAAGGCCUCCUGCAUUUUGUUGUGCCUUAUUAAGAUUGCUUUCCAUUUCAGAUAACUUCUCCAUACUAUUCUGAUACUGAAGAAAGAUGGCAUCCUUGUCAGACUGUAUUUUUGCCAGGGCUUUCCUCAAGGUUUGAACUUCACCAUCUGCUUUCUCUGAAUGCUCAGACUCAGAAUAUAAUGCAGAAGGAACUCCUGGUGUGUGUGAUUCAACACACGGUGAAUCAUCAUUCAGCAUGUAUUGUGCUUGGUUGGGAAAUGCUUCUGCCAUGGUUUUAUGGGCAUGACGUAGCUCCCCCAUUGCAUGAUCGUAUCUCUCUGCUAGAGCACGGUAUGCUCGGUAGAACUCCUCCACUAAUUUCAUGAGCUCCGGCCGCUUCUUGUAGUACAUUUCUGCCCUCCUUGCAAAUGAAUCUGCUUCCUCAUCAAUGAGCUUGAUCAUGGCUUUCACUUUGGCAUCUAUGUCUGUAAAAAAAUAGCACCACUUCAGUCAAUGUACUAACCAAGAUAUGCAUCAUGGUCCCUAACCAGCUUCAUUUCCUUAUUACUCGCACUUACAUAUGAUAGCAUCUUCCACAAAACAUAACAGCCAGAUUCAUUAUUUAAAAGAUGUCUGCAUCCUCUUUUGUUUAUGUCUUCCUUUCAACAUUGUCUUAUUUCACAUGUUCAUAUAAUUUCUUAGAUGGCAUAUUUUGCACAACUUUUAAUGCCACAAAGUCGAACAACGAGUCCAAAAAAAUAAAAUGUAAAAGUGGUUCAAUCUUGGUUUGUGUAUAGAACAGGCAUCCCAUGAAAAGGAAAUAUUGUCUUCGUAUUCAGAUCCUUGGAUUCGCUAUGUGUUAUUAUUAUUUCAAUUUUACAAAAGAGGUUACAAGAAAAAUUAAUCUCAUAUCUGAUUUACUGAAUUUGGAGUUACACUUGCUUUUCACUUUUUAAAAAUAACUAGAAAAAGUUUAAGAACCAUAUUCAUAUAUACAUACUCAUCAACUGGUUUGAGCCUCAAUAUCCAUCAUUAAUUUAAACGUAAUGAGUUCUGAUUUAAUGAUUAUGUUGGCAUCCAAACAGCAAAAUGAAAAGUGAAUAUAAUAUUCCUGCUGGGUAGUUGAUGGCUCACACUUUUGUCUUUUAGAAGACUGAUGGUGCUAAUGAUUUUAUUUUAUGACAAUAUGAUAGAGGAUUUUUUGAUUUUGACACAAUAUGAUAUUACCAACCAACGAUAGAUCGGCUAAAGAUGCUAUAAUGAAAUUAGGUCAUCUUAAUCCUAAGCCUGUGAGAGAAAACUAACGGUCAUCUUCAAAAAAUUAAGAAUGCUAAUCAUAAUUAUAAACACGUACACUUUUUCUAUUAUUUGAUUUUUCUUCAUAGAGAAAGAGAAAGAGAGAGAGGAAGAAGACACACCUGCAAGGUUUUCCUGAAGCCAUUUUGAAUUCUUUGGUAGGUGGCUAUCCCACCACCAAGAAUAUGAGCGCCGGGACUCAGAAUGAGACAAGGUUGCCAUGACUCCAGAAAAUUAUGAGAACACAAAUAGUUUUGAUUUGCCAAAAGCCUAAUACUAGAUACAGGCUAGACUAUAAGAUCAUAUAUUUCCACCACAAGCGUCUUUCUAAUUUGAGACUCUUCAGGACUGUUUCACCAUUCUGUGUACCUAUCAUCAAAUGAAUGUCAACAUAAGUACAUUUGAUAAGGAGUGCUCCAGAUUCAUCAGAAGUCCAACUUUAUUCCCAUGGCUUACUGUAUAGAAAGUUGCAAACUCUUUCCGUUCUAUUACCGGGCAGAUUGGACACAGCUUUAGCUGAUCAGUGAAAGGAACCUCUUGUUUCAGCUGCUCAGACAAUUUGAUAUUGGGGAGAACUGCCACAAAGAAGGGAACUAGAAAGAGUAAACAAGAGGGUAACAGAAUAGCACGGAAUAUGGAAUGCCUGAUAGAAGCAUCAAUCCUUCACGAUGAUCAAUUCAACUGUAUUAGAUAAAACAAAUACUUCUUAAUGUAAAAGGGUUCCAAAAUCCAGCCACAAAUGCAAUAUACAUUUUCUAAAUUUGGUAUCUAAAGGAUUGAUGAAAAAAUUGACCUCAGGGAAGAGCAAAUUCUAUAAUCAAAAUAUGCACCCAUGAAAGACCAACAAAAUGUCAGCAGAGGAAGUAUACAAAUAAAAUAUCAGGUAGGCGGAUCAUAGUAAAAAUGAUUGAUGAUCAUGAAUAGUUAAAGGAGAAAAGAGAAAUGCACAGUAAAAGUUGCAGUCACGGAAAAGAAAGGGUGCAUCAAAAGGUAGUGGUGAAGAUAAAAACGAUUUAUGAGUUGAGCAAAAGCCUGUAUGAGAUCAUGUACUCACCAAGCGAAUGAUCUUGAUUAACUACCACUUCAAGGAACAAAAUACCAUCAAACGAAGCAAAUGGGUGUCUAGAAAAGCAUAAAAAGCAUGGUUCUUUGGAGCAAUUGGGAUGAAACAGAGCCAAGAAAGGUGGAAUCUGAGGCCUGGAUCUUCACCAGCAGCUGUGAUGCUGAAAACAGAACCCCCAGCAGCUGCAAAACUUCUAUCUUACCCCAUUUUCUCAAUCUGGAAGACACAAAGUGGCAAUCUUUGAAGUGGGGUAUUGGCAAUAUAGAAUUGUGUCGUGUCGGCUCUGACACAUAUGACUCGUCAACUGUAAAAAGGAGAAUGUACAAACACAGAGCACGGAAAAGAGUGCUGUGGUUUAGUUAAUAAUCAUGUUGUUUUGGAGAGAUUAUUAUAAUAAUUAGCGUUACAGUAUCCUCUAAGGAAAGGAUGCGUGCGAAUGCAUAGAAGAAGAAUCCACCAUUUCAACCAACGUUAAUGGGAUCCAAAAUCAUGAUUAUGUUUUAAUCACUGCAAUUAAACAUUAUAAAAUUGGAUAACGAUAUUUUCACAAUAUUCUUUUAUAACAUUUUAUCCCAUUCUUCUUUGUGACAGUCAUGAUUGAAUUAUUAUUCACCUCUCCUCACUCUGAAAAUUUCAAACAAAAACAGUGCAUAUCAUCUCCGGGAAUCAAGGGAUUUCUUUUUUAAAAAGAAAAUCAUUUUUUUAAAUUUAAAUUAUUUAUUUGUUGUAUACAUAAAUACAUUCACACGUUAUUAAAGAAAGAAAAAAUGUUUUCUUUCCUGCAAUUUUAAAGAGACUUUCCUACUACACAAUUUUGUCUAUAUUCGUGAACCUUCAAUUAUAGAAAUUAUAAUUUUUAAAUUAUGUUCCAAUAGUAAAAGAUCUAACUAGGAAAUAUUCAUAUAAAAUUUCCACAAAUUUUUAUCAAGGUAUCAAAUAAUUUAAUACAAUAAUAUGCUUUUUUAAAUAAUUAUUUAUGGAUUAUUGUAAUCAUUUUUGGAAAACAUUGAUUUCUUGCAAUCUUUUAUUGUAAAACUCAAACCAAAUAUAAGAAGUAUUUUUUAUUUUAUUUAUAUUUUAGAUCCCUAGAAUUUACUAAUAUUUCCUUAAUUUAAAUAUUUUUAAUAUAUAUUGUUUUUCUUCCUCUAACUAAUUUACUUGCGUCUUUUAAGUACAAACUAUUAUUAGAUAAAGUACUUGGAUCCUACUGAGAUAUAUGCAUGUGGUACUUUGCAAUCAAACUAUUUGUACACAAGGGUAAGAAAUUAACUGUAAUUACCAUUAAGUUUAUCAUGAGGAAGGUUAAAACACAAAAAAUUGUCCGAUUAUUUAAAACAGUGCUAUGAUUAGUUUAAAUAAUUAUUUAUGGAUUAUUAUAUUAAAUAAUUUCAUUUAUUUUUCAAACUCAAUCUGGUCCGAAUUCGUGAUGAACCGGAUUGGUUCACGGAUUACAAUUCUACUUAGAAGAAUUAGUCUCUUAUCCCAUGAAAUUAUAAAUUUUACAGGCUUAAUAACUUCAUUAUAUCCAUUGCCGUUGAAAGGUUGAUGAUAAGUUAAAUAAAGCUUUAGAAUGGUAGUUGGUUUUCAAAUGAAUUCCCUAACGAAAGGCAAACAUUAAAUUGUUUAAUUAUUUCGGUAGAUACAUAAGUUAGAACUCCAACCUAGAUCAAUUUAUAGAAAAAUGAUAUUUUGAUGUAUAAAUUUUCUUACAUUCGUUUAGUGGGUGUAAUUUUUAUGAGUUGAAUUAAAUUUAAUUUUUUUAACAAUAUAGUUAAAUUUAUAUUAUAAUGUUUUGAUUUUCAAGCAUAUUGAGUGUUAUUGACAAGAAAUUAAUAGUUUGUAAGUAAUGUUUAAUGAAUGUAGAAGACAAUGUUAAAGUUGUGGCAAUGAUGUUUGUUUCUUGCGGGGUUGAAGGUAGAAAUAAUGAUUAGUUGGUUCCAGCUACGUGUUUUUUUGUUUUUGACCGAACCGACAAUAAAUGGGGAUUGGAUUGGAAUAUAAAGUUUGUAAGUUUUGGUGCUUCAUAUAUAUUUAUUCGUAUAUAUAGAAUGACAAAAAUUGGAAUAAAGAAAAGUGGGAUUCUAAAGUCAAAAGGUAUGGUGGUUGUAAGAGUUUGUCUUUUGUAAAAUACAAUUCAUUAAACAAUUAUUAGACCUACUACUAUGAAUACACAUUACAAAUAAUUGUGGUUUAUGAAGAAUACAGUGUCGUGAGACUUCAGCGUUAGAGUGUUUUUUAUAAUACGCGUCUGUUCGAUUUGAAGAAGAAAGAAGGAAGAAGAAUGAACUUGGGAGAACAAAACGAUCGCUCAGUCUACAACGUAUUCGUCUGGCCUUCAAGAUUCGUUUGGUCUUAGAGACAAGGAAGAAGGUUUGUUCGGUCUUCAACUUGGAACAUUUUGAACUACAUCCGUCCACUUUGAGUGCUUAUGUCCAUCCUAAACUGUGUCCAUCCGGUCUUAAAGUUAACAUAGAGUGUUUUGAACAAGAAGUCCCAUAUUUAAUCGAAACAACACACAAUCAAGUUGAAUUUGCAAUUGGAUAAUGAUAUACUUUGAUAAUAUUUUUUUGAUAAUAUUUUAACACUACUUAUGUGUUAUUCUAUGAUUGGUCAAUGUUAGUGUUUAUAAUUAUUAGUAUUGAUUGUGAAGUAAUUUUGAACUAAUCACAUAAUGACAAGUAAACAAUUUUAAAAUAUUGUCAACAAAAUAUUUUAAAAGUAUCAUUAUUCUUUACAAUUUUAUGACACUAUUCAUUUUUGUUUUCAAACCAGGAUUAAGAAUGUUUUUGUUUUGAAUGAUGUAAAGUAAUGUAGAAGAAUUCUGCAUUCCAUUUAAACCGGUACGGUAAGUACAUGUAUAAAUGGAUUUCGAAUCAGAAAUUUCACAUUAAAUGUAAUAAUAUGUAAGAAGAUUUCGAAGAUUUCAUGUUAAGUAGAAGGAAGGCAGAGUUACAGUAAAUAAGUGGUUUAAAUCUUAAAUAAGGUUUUGUUUUAGAGAUGUCACAUUUACUAAAAAUAAUAUAAAUUUAAAAUGUAUAAAUUAGAUAUUAAAUAAAGUUUUGUUUUAGAUAUCACGUUAAAUAUAAAUAAUAAAAAUUUAGAAUAUAUAAAUUAAAUAUAAAUUUUAUUUUAUUAACUAGUUUUAUAGAAUUGAAUUUGAUUUAAAAUUGAUUUUACGUAAUGUAUUAUAUGAUCAUCCGAUCAAUUACAACUUGAAUCGUCAACUAUUAUAGACGACAUAAUCAUUAAGUCCAAAUAGUUACGUAAAAAACUGGAUGAUUAAUAAAAUUAUAUGAAUGACUCAUUUAAUUCAGACGGUUGAUCAUCUAAUAGAUCUUUCGAUCAUCUAAUAGAUCGUCCAGUCAUACAUCAAAUCGGAUGAUCAAUUAAAUUAUUCAGAUGACAAGUUGUUGAGCUCGGACAAUCACCUAACAAAUGUCUUGGCAUAUAUUAGUCUGGAUGAUCAACCAAACCACCUGGGUGACUAAUUGUUAAACCCAGACAAUCACCUGACAGACUAUCUGAUCAUACAUGAGACCGAUCAGUCUAAACAGUACGAAAACAUAUCAAUCUUAAAAUCGAUUAACUAAAGAUUAAAAUAUAAUUAUUCACAUUUGAGUCGUAGUCAUGAAGACUUUAAUUAAAAGAUCAUCAUAAAAUUUAUAAAUAAAAUUUGAAGAAUAAGGUAUGUUACAUAUUAAUUAAAACAUUCAUUAUUAUCUGUCUUAAAAUAUCAAAAUACCUUUAAUAGAUACCAUCCAAACUGUUUAAACACACGAGACCUCUCAUUGAACAAAACCUAAACUUUAAAUGACACAAUAAAUACUAGAUAGUUAACCUUAACCUGAUACCAAAAACACACAACAAAUUUACUAUACUAAAGUUUAAGUUAAAGAUAAUCUCAUAUGACUAAUAUAGUAAUAUAUGAAGUGAUUCAUGAGCGAAAACUCGUUCAAUUCAGGAUGGACUCUAAAAGAAAGGAAGAAAAAUGUUCCUUUUUAAUGAUUUAUUUUGGUGGUAACUCUUGAUUUGAUGUUACUAGCCAACCAAAGUGAAAUGGUUAGAAGAGAGGUUGGAAAGGACGACCCACAUGAUGUGAUUUUACUCCUCACAUUUCCCAUUCUCUCUAAACAUCAUUGGUUGUACGCAAACCUUUGUCAAGAACACACAUAUUGGAGAAAUUUAGGUUAUCUCUCUUCUUAAUUUCAACUUCUAAGACCAGCCCAACUCUCACCUACCUCAACACCUACAAGUCUUUCAAUUUCCAAAUCUAGAAGCCACCCUCUUCAUUGCAUCGUCCCAUUAUAGAACUCACAAUACAUUCAAAUCUAAAUCUAUUUUUUCCUUUUAUCAGUUGCACCCACUUUAUCUUUCAUGGCUCUUUUAUUUUUUCAAGGGUGGUAUUAUAUGAAAAUAUAUAUUUUUACACAAUUUUUUUUUAAUAAUUUUAAUAAAAAAAAAUGACACAUUAAAAUAGUUAAUAUUUGUAAGAGAAUAAUUACGUUGAAGUCAAAGAGAUUUUAAGGAACAGUCAAAGCCAAUCCCAUAUUCAUUCAACAUUCAACAUAGCUCAUCAUUGGUCUACAGAAAUUUUCGAAACCUUAUUCAAUUCAAAAUUUUCAAUAUUGUUGGUAAAUAGAAGAUUUAGUGUUAUCUUAGGAAGGAGCAAUCUGAGGCAAUGUUUUGAUGGUGGAGAUUUCUGAAAGAAAGCUUGCUCACACCACGAACACUGAAAUAGUGAAAUCUCACCUCUCGUAAUAGCUAUUUCAACUAACAGAUGAGUAUGUAUGAGUGAACCCAACCACCUUUUCUCUCAAAUCAUUCAGACCAAAGCCACUUUUUCUGUAAUAUGUAACUAUGAUGUCCAUCAAAACAUUCAGACAAUCCACAAAACAAAUAACUAAAUUACUAAAUAGUUUUAGUGCUGGUAGUUAAGAAGUGUAUUUGCAACCCACAAAUGUACUCCUUUUAUCUUUUCAUAUGCAAAACUUUCAAUUUAUUCUCUCACACUCAAUAUAUAUACAUAUUAUAUGUAUUAAUGUUUUGAUAGGAUUAAGAUCGCUAAUAUAAAAACAUUUAAAGUUCUUCUAAUUUUAGUCUGGGAAGGGUGCAUGAAAAAAACAUUCCAACAUUCAAACAUUCCAACAUUCAAGUUAGUAACUUUUUAUAAUAAUCUUGUAAUAAAGAUUAAUCAUUAGAGUUAAAUUACCUGUUUAAUCUGUUAGACAAAUAUUUAUAAACAUUACAAUGAGCUUACUGUUACGUCUGACUUAUUAAUCACCAAUAAAUGACAUUAUUCCUAUUAAUUAAUAAUAAAUGACAAUUAUAUUCAUUAAUUUUCCUAUCCUGACAUAAUAAUCCUACCACACAAUUAUAAUUUUAAGUAUGAAUUUAAGUUACAUAUUGGAUAAAAAUAAGAAAAUAAAACCAUUAAAGAUCUAUUAAUCUAUUUUAGAUAGAAAAUAAUAUUAAUUUCUUAUGUGGUUAAACUCAAAUUUUAUUAAAAUCAUACAUUUUUAAUAAGUUUUAAAUUUAAUUUAACCUCCCACAACUUAUUUAUAAAAUAAAAUUUGUAUCUAUAUAUUUAAAUGAUUUCAUUUAUAGUGAAAGUGAAACUUCUUUGUUACAAUUUAGCAACAUAUUUGUUAGAAUAAAAAUAGAAACAAAUGUUUCAAUUAUAAUACCCAUUUUAGGAAAACUAUCAUGUCUUAGUUGUUAAAAUGUCACAUUUUGAAGGCGUAAAAGAAGACUGUGAAGUGUGCACUAGUUUCCUGAAAAUUCUGUAGAAAGACAAGUUAAAAAGAUAAGUUGUGGUCCAAAGCUAAGUUUCUUUUUUAUUCUCUUCUUUUUCAAGCACCAUUUUUACAUGAAUAAUAAAUGCAAAACUUUCUCAUAAAUAAAUACAAGAACAAUGAAAGAAUAAAAAAUAUGGAGGAGGUCAAAACCAUCAAAGAGCACUUACAAAUUAUGAUUUUUUUAUCCUUAUAUUUGUUCCUAAAUUCAGAUAAGAAUAGAGGUAUUAAUUUUAUUUAAAUAUUUUAAUUUAAAGAGAUUAUUAAAUAAGGAAAAAAGUUAAUAUGAGAAAAUUUGUUGUAUUAAUAUUUUAUAAGCGUUGUCAUUUUUUGAAUAAAAAAAAAUAAAAAAUGUCUAUUUAUUUUUUUGAAAUGGACUUAAUAAUAAUUAGGAAAGAAAAAAUUGUCUGAGUUAUAAAUUUUGUUUUUAAUAAAAGUUAGUAAUAGAUGUGUAGUAAAAAAAUAAAGAAUAAGAUAAGUUCAUUGAAAAAAUAAUUAUUUAGUUUAGAGCACACAUUCCAUGAUUCAAGCAACCAUACUAAUAACUUAGCUGAAUAUUAGGAAAUAGCAAAUUCAUUAACGUUAAGAAUGGAUUCAAAACAAAGCAAAUUGACUUACUCAAUAAAACAAAUAUGAAAGCUUCUUCAAGAUAUAUGCAACAUCUAAAAACUAAGUGUUUUUUGCUUUAAAUUUGAUGAUGAAAGAAUGCCCUGUAUAUGGAGGAGACAAAAGAGCAGAAUCAAAAUCAAAAGUAGAUGUGUAUAGUUUUAUGCAAUGGAUUCAACAAUUUAUGCACUUGACAGUCACAAAAUUUCAGUCUUCUGUUUAUACCUGGAAGUCAAAACAGACAGUAGUAGUAGGAUUCAACAGAUUAUAUUAAGAUGCAUCCUCAGGAACUUAAUCAUAAAGAAAUGGCCAAAAUCACAACAGAAAAAUGUAAAGAUUAAUCCCCGGGAAUGAUUAUAACUAUUACUUAAAUAGUACAUUAUCCAAGGAAUGCAACAUAUUAUUACCAAAGUAAAACGGAGAUCAAUAUAUAUAAAAAGACUAAGGCGUAGCUUCUAUUGCAACAAACUAAGAACAUGAUUAACAGGGAAGAAGAGAGAGACUAACUUAGAACCCAUUCUAAGGGUGAGGGGUGAGAGAAGGAAAUGAAGGAAUGGAUUGUAAUAUCAACUUUCUGCCACCUCUGCGACUAGGAGAUGAUCCCAUGUCACAGCUGGGAGAGGAGAUCCUCUUGCCAUUUGGAGAAGAAGUUUUAAUGCAUGUGAUAGGAGAGGUAUCACCUAGUAGAAUAUCCUGCAUUUCAUCAUCUGGGACACUUUGAAAAUGCUUGGAUUGAGACCAAAGAGAGUUUGUUUUCCCAAGCUUUUGGCUGGCAAACAAUGCAGAGCCUGAGAUGGUGGUAACGAAGGAUCUUGGUGCCUUUCCCUUUGAUGAAAAGGGCAACGGAACAAAAGGCCUGUCCCACGGAAAUGAAAUAACAUAUAAGAGACUAUUCUUUUGUUCAUUAUCUCAACUGUACAAAAGUCAGCAUUCCAAACCUGGAGAGUCGUAAUGGUGUUGACAUAGCAGCAGAAUCAGGAUGAUCUUCAGCAGUGUUCUGAAUUUCUAUUUUCUGUGAAGCUUUUUCUGGCAUACCCUUGUCAGUUGCUUCCGUUUCUUCUUGCUCAGUUUCUAUGCUUACAGGAGCAGAACCUGAACCAAAAAUAAGGAAUUGUGUCAAUUCAUAACUACAGGAAUAUUAUUUACCAUUUAAGAAACAAUCGAAAUGCUGAAGACAUUUCUAACUGAUGAAAUUGAUAGUCAACUAGUUCAUCCUGACUGAAAACUUACCAUCUUUUCUGCCGAAAGCAUUCUUGCAUCCUUCACAUCUACAGCCAAUGGAGCAACCGACACCACCCUUCAAAUAAAAAAAAAAAACAUUUGUAAUUCAUAUUAUAACUUAAAUUGAAAGCAUACAAGAUGGGAUGAUGAUGGACAAGGGUGCAAACCUGAUAACAUUCACAAUAUUUCUUUAGGCAGCUGGAUUUUUUGCAGUUGCAUCCUCUUUUGUGUCGUGCUGAAGCCGGAGUUUUAUUUGGAUCAUCCUGCAAGAAGAUAAUAAUUAACACCCAACAAAAGGUGGUUUAAAUUGCACACGUGAAAAACCAAGUUUAUUUUCUAACCCCAAUUUCAGGAACAGAAUCAGAACUUCUGAUGACUUUAGGAGCAAAUGCAAGAGGGUUUCGAGAUUCAAUCUGCUUGCGAGUUUGAAGAACAGUGUCUUCAUGAACAGGUUUGUUGAAGCAAUCCUGACAGGAGCAGGGUUCUAUGCAGUAGACACCAGCAGCAAAGCACUCGCAGUAACUGAUACAAAAAGAAAAGGUAAAUAAGGGCAAUUUCAAAUUUUGACUACUUUGAGGUCAUUUUCUUUUCCUUUCAUGCAAUGAGAGCUUCAUAAAGUUAGGACAUUAACCGAUGUACCAUAUUCCAAUUCUGCAACCCAAGAAUGAAUAUAAAUAAGAUUCUUUUCAAACUUACAGCUUCAAACACUUUGACUUCUUGCAGUUGCAGCGUUUACAGCCCUCAGUUUCUCCAGGUGUCUCCAACUUACGCCUGCAAAUCAAACUUGAUAUGAGCUAAUGAAGAAAGGAAAAGUUCAAAACAACGAAAUGCACAGGGAAUCAACAACUGCACUUGCUUUUUCUUUCUGGGGCUAUUCUUAUUGAAGUCUUCACCAGCCAUGUAAACUGAUGGCUGGGAACAAUCUUCGGUAGGCUGAAGCCCAUUGUCUGAUGAAUCCAAAUCUCUUUCAGAUGAUACAGGAACCAACGAUAGAUGCUGCUGUUCUUGGCUUGUAGAGAUUUGCAAAGAAGUAGAGUUGGGCAGACUGAGUUGUCUUCCAGAAGACAAAUUUUCAAUUUGUAUUCCCUUGUAUUCUUUUAAGGCAGCAAGUGCAUUCAGGUGUAGACCAAUUCCCUGCAAAAUCCCCCUCUGAUUGAGUUUUGCUGGAAGAAGUUGCUUUUCAUUGGCAACAUUCCUCUCAUCAGACUCGGAUGUACUUGAACUGCCUUUUGAAUUAUCAUCAGAGUUCUUCUUUUGCACAUUGGCCAUCUCAAAGUCCAGACAACGCCUCCGUAUGGCACGGUGCGUGACAGAAACAAGCUGAAACCAAAACCCAACAGUGCUUACAGAUUAGUUUGAUAUAUUCAUUUAUAAACAAGCAGGAAGAAGACAGUUUCAAAUGUAUAAAGCACCGAUCGGCUAUAACUACAUUAAUAAAGUCACAACAAAACGAGGGAACCAACUAUAACAUGCAAUCAUACACUUAAAAAUGUGGAAACAGUGCAUCAUUGUACAGAUGAAUUUUUUCUGUUGAAAAAUAUUUAAUUGCCGAUAUACAUAUUUCAUACCAAAAUCAAAACAACAGAUUUCACAUGCCUACCUGAUCAUUUGCGUUCUCGUUAUAAUUGCUAGUUACCAAAACAACAUCGGCAAGAUUAUCCCGUGUUUGAUCCGUGUCCGUGGCUGCGAUCGUUGGCUGAGAACAGUGAUCUCCUAUUUCAUGUUCAGAACCUGAAGCAACCGAAUCAACAAUGAACAUUUUCCUACCAUUAUGGACAGCAGAAAGUGGCAGCACAGACAUAAAAUCGCUCAGUCGUAUAGAAGGAUCCAACGGUUUGUUCAUCAGACCCUUAAAAGCUUCUGCUUCACCUGGGGAAUUAAAAAUUAGCAUAUCAGAGCCAUCAGGAAUUAAACUAUCCCAAUAACAGUCUGGAUCUUCACUUUUUGGCUCCAUCUGACAUAUUUCCUGAAGAUGAACUUCACUCUCGACUGAAUCAGUUUUACACCCUUCCUGAACGUAGCCAGCAUCUGCUGCUGCCUCACCGGGCAGUUCCAAAAGAGUGUUAUCCUCAUGAUCACAAAUUGAGGGAUCAUAGCCAGGGCUACCGCAAGUGUCAUACUUUAAACUUUGCUGCGGCUCAACUGAGAAUUUUAUGUGCUCGCUAGAUAGCUCAAUUGAAGCCCUUUUUUCAGUGUUCUCCUGCGAUUCACUCUUGUUAUGAUGGGCACGCUUAGAAUCUGCAAGAGUCUCUUCUUCACUUGUGUGAACUUUAUUUACAUCUUCGGAAGAAACCUUAGGCUUCCAUGUGCCCAAUGGGAUAUGUCUAAAGACGAACAAUUGCCAAGAACAAUAGAUGGAUCACUAUAUAUAUAACUCAAUGUUACCAAAAAACGACAUAAAAAUCAGAAAUUUUCAAAAUUACCGUCUGAGGAAUCUAGAUUCCUUGAGACAGCUGACGUGGGGUGAUGUGAAAACGGAUGGAGGUGACGAAAAGCUCAGUGAAUUGAAAGUCUGACUAAUGGGAACAGACUUCACGGGCUUUAUAGGAGACAAACUGUUGAUAUAAUUGAAAACAGGUGAAUCCUGCAAAUGGAAAAUGUUAAAAAAAAUAUAUAUAUAUACUGGAUAAAUUGAAGGAUACACACAGGAAUAAGGUAACUUGAGCUACCAAAAAUAAAAAUAAAAAGGGAGAAAAUCAUUCCAUAAUUUGCCGACAACUACAACAAAUCAGAAUAAUUUACAAAUCAUUCUUAACAGACCAGAUCUGACAAGAAUUACUCGUUGAACAUUAUAAAACAAUACGAGAAUGUACUACGUAACUGAUUGUAGAAACUGUUUGUGAAGCUUGUGGUGAAACAUCAUUCUUAAAAAUGUAAAGCCAGUCAAAACCCGUUUUAGCGAAUUAACCGUCUUUAUGAAUGCAAAUGCAAAAAAUAAAUAAAAGAAAACUCGUGGAAUUUUCUCAAUUUGAUGGCACUUACAAAACCUUGUUAAAAAACGAGUACAGCAACCCGCAAAGUUUAGACUUGUAUCAACAAAAGCAUAAGAAGAAGAGAGAAAAAGAAUAGUAGAACACUCCCACAAAAACAAAAAACUGUAAAAAUGACCUCUAAAAUGAAGUUGAAGAAAGAUCUAAAGAAGUGAAAAAAUUCGUUCCAAAAAGAGAAACUUUGACACUAUGACUUGAACAAAAUCUGAAAGAUACGACAUUUAGGUAAGAUGGAGAAACGUUUGAAGCAAAAGAAAAGAGUGGAAGCGAAAAUUGAGAAGAAAGACAGUGCAGAAUGAGAGGCAUGCAGAAAAAAGUAGAGAAAGGAAGUGUUUAACAAGAGAAAGAGAUGAAAUUGAAAUGGUGAAGGUUUAGAGAAUGAAAGAAGAAGCAAACCUCAAACUUAGAGAGGGUAGCACUGAUCUGGUUCCUCUCUGGGGUGUCCAUAUCAAAAAUGGCAGCACCAGAACAUCAGUUUCUCCCAAGAAAGUGGGGUGUGAUAAGGAAACAAGAAGAAGAAGAAGAUGAGGAUGAUUCAAGAAGCGGGAAGGCGGGAGAAGAAAGAUUUUGUGGUGGGGACCACAACCCCUUCUUCCACAGCUGUCCCUUCCUCUAUCUCUCUCUUUUCUUUCUUUCUUCUCUUUUGCUUCCUUCUUUUCUCUCUCACUCUCUCUUCUUUUCUAUUUUGUCGCUAAAGCAACACAUAAACAGUUAACCACCCACAUCCUCAAUCUGGAUUUUCUCCUUGUUUCUUUCUACCCUCUCUCCUUUUCUUUUCAUUCAUUCCAAUAAUAACUGCUGCAUUAUGUAUUAUGUAUUAUGUAUUAUGUUGCAGAUGUUGUAGAUCUUCCAUUAUCGAAUGCCUUCAACCCUGUUAAUUUCCUUCUGCCAUAAUCUUGUAACUGCUCCCAACUCAUUCUAUAAACAAAAAGUUUCUGAAAAAAAAAAUCUUUUUUUUUAUUUUCUUAUCAUGCCAAAAACAUCGUAAGAUGUUCAUAAUAUAUUUACGUGUCCGACGUAUUUAUACGCGAAACCCGACAUUUAAUUUUCAAGCUAUCUGAGAAACCAUUUAAUUAAGAAACGUUUCAGCCUCAUGAAAAUUCAUGAUUGACUAUUUAAUUCAAAAAAUGUUUGAUGAAGGUGACCAACUAGGACAGACAUGGUACAAUUACUCAAUAAAUAUUUGUUACCGUUUUAUGUUUCUGAAAAUUAUAGUAAUAAUUAAAUAUAUCUUUUUCGUACAUUAAAACAAUAUAAAUUCUUUUUUUUUUUAACGGAAUAAGAGGGAUUGAAUAUCAGACCUCCGUUAAAUUAAUGACGACAAAAUAAGCAGCGUCUAUUCUGUAUCAGAUAAGAUGACACUCUCACACUCACACGAAUACGAAAACGAAGGCAUUUAAUUAAGGCAUUGCGUUUUAGCGCGCUGAGAAUUUGAAAAGGGAGUGUUCUGGUGUGGGUGAGGCACAGGGAAAUUGGUGAACACUCGCCUACGUGCUACGCUGAUCAUGCAUACCUGAAUCUUGGAAAGUUGAAAGUCAAUGACGUACCUUCUGAAGUGUGGAGUACGCAACCCCAUAACACGCACUUCCACGCAUGGAAUUUAGAAUCCACCGUUUGUUUGGAUGACAACUAACCUAAGACGUUGUUCUCCGUUCGUUGGACCGUUCCCGUCAAACUUUUUUACUGUUGACCAAUGGAAUCCCAUUGUCGUGUGGAUGUCAUCGUAAAACGUCAAAUAUAUUUAAUGUUAUUAAAUAUUCGGUAUUUUCAAUUAUUUCAUAAUUAAAUCUUUAGAUUUUUAGGUUAUUUUGAUUAAAUAAACAUUAAAAAUGGUUAGAGUAAGUUAUAACUACUAGAAAAAUACUAUUAAUAUGAUUCAUCACGUUUCGGUAUAUUUAAUAGUUUUGUAUGGUUUAAAAAUUAAGAUUAAAAAAAUUAAAUAAUUUUUUUUAAAAUUUUAUAAGAUUUUCUUACAUAAUUUUUGAUGAGAGGUGUAGGGUAUAUGGUUUGGUGGUGUGAUGAUAAUGAUAGAAUGUGCAUUUAUGUGAGGCAGUGAUGAAAAAUUAAGAUGUUCAUGCUUGACAUAUGAGUCUAUACCUUAUCGUGAGGUGGUCCAUGUAAGUAACAUAUAUGGUAUAAUACGCACAAGAUCACGUGAUUGAUCCCGCCACCAUGAAUACGAAAAACAAGGUAUUAAAUAAAGAUAAUAAUGAUGAAAGAAAGAGUGGCAGUAGCAUUAAACUAAGAAUGAUAUGUGGUAUUGGUCUUUUUAGAUGCCUUAACUCACCUGACAAACCAACCAUAUUCAGCGCAACCUUGCUUUCUUUUUACCCUCUUAAAACCAACACACACUUUUUAGUCUUUUCCAUAUUAAAUACCAUUUCUUAUUAAAAAAAUAUGAUAAAAAUAAAACAGCUGACAUAAAGACCGAAAGUGUUUUCUUAAAAAUUUCACAUAUGGUUCCUGACAGACAACAUUCUGAUAAGAUAAUGUCUUUGUGGUGCCAGACCAACAUACGUAAUAAUCUAUCACUAUUUUUUAUGCCUCUCUCAGAGACACACCCAAAUUCAGUUUUUGCUUUAACUAAUUAUUUUUAGUACUUUUAUUUCACUUGGUUUACACUUGCGGAGGAAGCUUCUCUUCUCGUACAUCUAAAUUAUUACUUUCUUUUUCAUAAGUGAUACAUUUUAAAGUAAAAUUUGCUGAAAUAAUAAAUUUUAAAAAGAUUUACAAAAAUAAAUUUCGAAAUCAAGAAAUUAUAUUUUUAAUACACAAUUUUUAAUCAACUUUACAAAAUCAUUUGUAUAGAAGUUGUAAAUCAGUAUACAUGACUUUUUUUUCUAUUUUUUAUUUUUUAUUAAAAUAUAUUCUUUGACUUACUUAUAUUUUUCACAUUUAUUUAAUAUUAUUAUUUUUUUUUUUUUUUGAAAAAAUAUAAACUUUACACUUUUAUAAUCGUUUUAACUUUAUAUCAUGUGUCAAAUGAAUGUAUAUCAUGAUGCUAUUACUCUUUUCUAUUUUCACAAAGCGUAAAAAUAUAGAUAAAAUUAUUUAUUUAUAUUUAUAUAUAUAUACAUACAAUAAUACACAAAAGAAGAUACAAAGUGGCGCCGUAUCAGUUUUGCACUCUGAGUCUCAGCUAUACUCCUAAGAGUGAAGACGGCCCAAUACAGGAAUUGCCUUAUUUACAAUUAACUCAUGCAAAAUUACAAAAUUACAGAAAUACUCAAAAUCACAUAUUAAGGAAAAGGCGAACCCAUGUAAUGCCGAAACAAAGGGUUGUAUUAUUUUCACACCCAACAAAUUUUACUCUCUAUAGUUGUUCUCCUGAACAUUAAAAUAUAUACAUACAUAUAUAUAUAUAUAUAUAUAUAUAUAUAUAUAUAAUAGUACAGAAAAAUUCAACAAAAAAGUCUAGAUUCACAAAUUUUAUCCUUCAAAUAUGUAUUCUUUGGCAACUCAAUUUUAAGAUAUUUUGAUACCUUUUUUGUAUUUAUCAAAAAAGAAAGUUAUUGAAAGAUAAAAUAGUGUGUAAAAUUUGUUGGAUGUGAAAAUAAUAUUAGGAAUGUUAGUAAGAGAAAUGAUAUUUUGACAGACAUCAAAUUUUCAUAUUUAUUUGACACUACUAUUUAUUAUUAUAAUUAUAAUGUGUGUGAAAUUAAUCAUUGCUGACGUUGUAAUAUAUGAUCAACGUCUGGCGGGUUCAACGCCGACGGUCUUCAAUGUCUCGGCAGUUCGAGGACUGCAUGGAAGAAAGCGAAAAAUAAGCAGGUGAUGAAUGAAUAUAUAAAGAAUGAAAGAUAGUUAGGUUUACCGGGUGAAAGGAUUAGGGUGGACGGGAUCGUUGAGUGUGGCCUUGCUUUCCUGAAUGUGAGAGACUUUCCUUAAGAACGAACCGUCGAUGAAUUUGGCGGCGGAGUUCAUGGUGCGAUCGGGAUCGGAAACCUCCGGCACUGUUUCUCUUCUUUUCUUGUUCACGUGAACUUGUGGAGACCGCACCAGUUGUUGAUACCCUGUGUGCGACGCAAUCGCCAAAGCCACACACACCAUUCCGCCCACUAUAUACACUGGUGCAAGCUCUGCCUUCACGCUCAUUCUACCAUCCAUUACAAAAUACAUUCAUAUCAAACACUUUACACAUAUCAAACACUUUCUAUAUAUAUAUACAUUCUUUCACUUCAUAUCCAUACCCAGAGCUCGAGUUAUGAUGCUCAGCAUCCAUCACUCGCGACACCGGUUUCAUUUUUGGAGUGGUCGGACUGGUAAAUGCUCGCCUUCCACUUCCCAAUUCAAUCAACGUCAAUGGAAAAUUUUUCUGCAUGUAAGUAAUAUCAUACCAAUUACAUUUUCGUUUUUUGCAUUCUUGACGUAUUUUGCCUUCAAAAACAAUAGGGUUAGCUAAAACAUUUGCUAAAAGAUGGAAAAGGAAUUAACUUACAGCUGCCCUGAAAGCCAUUUUUUGUUCCUGUGGAAUGAAAACGAAGGUGAUAUGAUUUGUAUUGAUUCUCCUCUGUGGGAAGGAACCCAUAUUUAUAUUAUGAGGAACAUGCAGAAAAGGAAUAACACAAGGCCACGUGGUGGGGUAUUAUAGGAUACUGUUUUUGACCGCAUGCAGAACACAGUUUCCAAUUGCUGCAAGGGAGGCUGUGGAUAAUCCAAACUGCUAUUUAAUCGCCGUAACCGUUAACGUUUGGGUAUAUGUAUAGAUUAACUAAAUAUAUACAAGGUGGUCGUGUCAGUUGAAUCCGUCAAACUUCACGAUUUCUAUCAUAGCUGACCAACCAUGCAUGUAUUACCUAUAAGACAGCUUGAAAGUUGUAAUUGUUAUUACACUUUAUUAAAAUAUUUCGUUUUUAAUGAUAAAGAAUGUUUAUAUGCAGUCUUAACUAAAUAAUUGUUUUUUUUUUUUAUCAAAAUAGUAUUUCCUCCACUAUUUUAUUAAAACUGAAUUAAAAAACGUUGUUAUGUAUUAUGCAAGUGCUAAAUUUGAUAGGGUGCAGAAAGUAAUACGCAAGUGGUAAAUGUUUACUGAACAUGGGCCUAACGUUAAACAACCAUCUCCUUACUAAAAACACCACGUUUGAGCCCAAAAUUAAAAGCGAUGUUAGAAAGGGAAAUUGAGAAAACGUGAUUGUUGAGAUGAGGAUAACAGGAUGGAAAAUCGCAUAAACCAAUAAUAUUUGUUCUUUUAUUUUGGUAUAUAAUAAUAUUCCUAAGUAUAGUCCUUGGUGUUAUGAAAUUUGAUGUGCAGAAUAUGAUGGGUUGUCGUGUUGUAUACUCUGUCAGAUUCUGAAAAGCACUUCUUGAUAAAUAUUGUUCUUUCCUUGUACCAUUUUCCAAUGAUCAAUAGUUCUCUGUAUUCAAACCUUGGAAGACGCAUUCUGUAGCAAGUUUCUAUAUGUUAGUAACUAUCAUUUUCAACCUUAGUUCAUCAUUCUCAUACAUACAUAUAUAUAUAUAUAUACAUAUAUAUAUAUAUAUAUAUAUAUAUAUAUAUAUAUAUAUAUAUUAUAUUAUAUGUGUGUUUGUAAUAUGCAAUGAAAUAUUCAAUGUUAUGAUGCGAUAUUAUAGUUUGGGUAUUGACAUUUGGAUCUCGUGUGUCCAAUUAUUUAAUCAAUUCUCUUUUGUACUUUAUCUUUGAUUUAAUAACCACUAUUAUGGAUUACAAUUAAACCCAUUGACUUUUUAAAUUGAUGCAUCAAAGCAUGCCCCUGUUGACUUUGACCUGGUAAUUUCAUUAAAUAUUCUCAAAUUUAUGUUACAGGUGACUAAAGUAAGUCAAAUAAUAUAUUAGGUCAGAUAUUACACUCUUUACUAAAAAAAUAUAAUUCAAUAAAUAUAUUAUAUGCAGAUUUAACGUGCUAUGAACUUUAAAAUAACAUUAACUAACUAUAUAAGCAAAGAAAAUUUCAAAAUGCACCACAAUCGAAUCUUAAAAAACUGAAAAAGUAUAUGAGAGAGAACAAGUGAAAGGAAUAAAUUAAUAAUAUAUUUGGUUUUCAUACAUUUUGAAAGUGAAAAGUUUUUUAAUAAUUAUUUUUUCACAAUAUUUAUCGAUUUGUUUUAAAUAUUUUUUUGAAUAUAAAUUCAAACAUAUUAAUAAGACGUAUCAAAAUGUUGUUAAAAAAAUUGUGAAAAUAUCAUCGAUUCUUAAAAUUUAAUGAUUGUAAUUGAUAUAUCUCAACAAACAUAGUUUGACCAUUAUUGGCUAUGUAAGUUUGCUAUACAAAUGCUGUCCUAUAGAUAAGUAUGUUGAAUUUUGAAGAAAAUAAGAAAUAAAAAUAAUUCUCGUUUAUUAUGUAAUAAAACAUAAAAUUAAUGUUGUUUUUAUAAGACUAACAAAAACAAUAAACUUUAUCAAUUAAACUAAAAUUAUGGUAUUGUUUUCAUCUGACACUGACACUGUACAUAGUUAAUCUAAAUAUUGAUACACGUAAAAGUAUGUAAUUGAGAAAAAAUGUAAUUAAAGACAUUAAAAUUUGCAAAACGAUAAAUAAAUAAAAUUAAAAAUUAAAAAAUGUAAUGUUUAAAAAGAUUCUAAGUAGUAUUUGCUUAAAGGAAAUGAUAAAUACAUGCCUAAUAAUAAAAUAACAUUAAUGCAAUAUUCAAACCAUCAUUAAAGAUAUUAUUAAAUUCACUAUCACUUCCUGAUUUCUAAUUAUAAAAAUAAGAAUAGUCUUAAACACUUCUUAAAAAUAAUUAAUAAAUAUUGAAUUUUAAAAAAGUUUAAGAAUAAUUAAUAAACAUUGAAUUUUACAAAAAAUUAAAAUUAAGUGUAACAUUAAAUGAAUUUAAAUCUAAUAGUUAUUAAUUUAGUUUUAUUUUAAUCAAGAAAAUAAAAUACUCAUAAGUUAUACAACUAUAAAUGAUAAUUUAUUUGAUGUACAUAAAAAAAUAAAAAAUGAUUAAAUAAUAAAAUAAUCUUAACGCUAUUGUACUAUUUUUCAUUAUUUUUAACAGGUUCUCUUUCAUUAAUGUUGCUAAAAAUAAAAAUUUAAUUAAACAUAAGAAAACCUAAAUUAACAUAGAAAGAAAAAAAAAACAGUAUAUGAAAUAUAAAUUAAUAACUGUUAAACGUCUAAACAUUUUAUUAAAAAAUUAAAACAUGAAUUUAUAUUAUUUUAAGACUUAAUUAAGUUUAAUAUUUAAAAAAAAUUGAAAACUUUGAAUUGAUUGUCUAAUAAAAUUUUAUGAUCUAUUGAGUACUCGAAAAAUUUAUUUAGGUUUUGACUGUUAAACUUUUUUUGUUAUUUGUUUAUGUUCUCAUCACAUAUUAUUUUAUAAACUUAUUAAAAUACAAUAAUAUAAUAUUAUUAUAAGAAUACAAAAUGAUAAAGUUAUAAGAUUGUGAAAUAGUAAGAUUUUAAGAUAAUAAAAUCAUAAUAUUUUAAGAUUUUAAAUUAAAAAAUUUGACAGUUGAAAAAGUUAAAAGAUUAAAAUACUAUCAAAUUAAAUAUAAAAAAUAAAAUUAUAAAAUAAAAAAAUUGUAAAAUUAUAAUUAAAUAAUAAUAAUUUUUGAAUAAUGUUAAAUUUGUACACUAUAAAUAAGUAAAAAUAUCAUUGUAAUAUAAAUUCAUAGCUUUUAUUUAUUUGAAUUCUCUGAUAUUUUUUAUUUUCAAAAUAAAAAUUUUCCUAAAUAUAAUAAAUCAAUACACAGUAGCUAAUAAAUAAAUUGAUACACAAAUUCAAAGACUAGGUAAUAACAUUAUUAAAACUCAUGGUCCUUAUACACUCCCCCAGUAUUUAACUUUUGUAAUUUUGUUUUUCAUUUAUACUAUUAUUUAAGUCUACUGAAACAUUAACAUUUUUAAUAUAUUACAUUAAAUAAUAUUUUGGUCAACAAAUAAUUAAUGUUUUCACAUUAAACACGCUUCAAGAUUAAACAACUAUAAUUUUAGAAAGGAUAAGGUUUAUAAAUUGUGUAUACCCUUUGUAAUAAAUGCCGAUGCAAUUCAUUAAAUAAAUGAUAAAUAUAGUUAAUGCAAUUUAUUGGGUAUUCUUAUUUUAAUUGUGUAUCUAAACUUUCCUAUUAUCUAUUUUAUAAAAUUAGGUUUAUUUAUACAAAGGAUCACCCAAUAAUCACUGUUUUUAUACAUUUUAGUAUAUAAAUUCGAUUUAUCUUUUUUUUUUAUGGUCAAAUUUUUACUGUUUACAGAAUUUUCAUGCUGAUUCACCAAAUUAUUUACUAUUUCACGAUUUAGUGGUAUAAUUUGAAUAAAAAUUAGAAAAUGUUUUUUUAACAACUUUUUUUAUAACUUUUUUACACUUAGUAAUUUAUGAUUGGUUUUUUUAAAAUAUAGGAUAUAAUAUGUUAAUAAUUUUUUAACAAUUUUUUUGAGAAUAAAUUAUAUGUUAUUAUUUUAUUAAUCUGUAUAUUUAAAGAAUUUUUAUUUUUAGUAAUUUUUUAUAACUACUUAUAUGAUAAUUUAUUAUUGGUCCGUUUCUAAUAUAUGGAUCAAUAAAAUAGUGAUACAUAAUUUAUUGUCAAAAAAUUAUUAAAAAAUAUUGCUAACUCAUAGUCCAUAGAAAUUAUGAGUAUAUCCUUUACAAGAGUCUGUCUUAAUUCAAUUUUUAUUAAUUUUAGUGUAUACAUCACUUUUUAUAUUAUUUUACAAUUUUUAUCUAGGCAAGUCUUAUAAGAACUAGAUUCCUAUUAACAUUUUAUUUAGUUAUUGCUUAGUAUAUAUGUUUUCUAAGAUAGAAAAAUAUAUUUUUUAUUUUUAUAAUCCAAAAUCUCAUCUAAAAUUAUGGAUCUUAAUUUUUAUGUCAUAUGAACAUAUUUUAAUGGUAAAUUUUAACUCAGAUUUUAUAAGAUUUUUAUCUUAAUUUUAUAACCAUGACCAUCCAAUAAUUAUGAUGUUAGUUUAAUUUUAGGAGAUUUUUUUUUAUUAAAUUGGAUUAUUUUUACUACGCAGAUAAUCAUUCUAUAUUAAAAAAACAUAUUUAAAUGUAUUUUUAAUUUAUAAAUAUAUAAAAAUAUUGUUGGUUUUGGAAUCUAUAAUUGUUACAAUUUUUUUUUUGAAAAAAAUUAUUUGAUCUACUUAAACUUUUAUAUUUAUUUCACACAAUUCUUACUUAUUCUUUUGUUUUUUUAAAAUACAAAAAUUUACAAUUUUUAUUAUUAUUUUAUUUUUAUACUCUAUAUCAAAUAAAUGUAAGUAAAAAUGUGUAUAAUACUAUUAUACUUUAUUUUUAAAAGAUGUAUUAGAAAUUUGAAGAAAAAAAAUAUUUAAAUUUUUGUUGAAGUGGAUAGAGAAUUAUUACUGAAUGCAAAGGAAUACUUACAAAAUAAAUGAACCUUAAAUCACCUCAUUUUAGUAGUUGUUGAAGCAAAAGAUUUAUGAAAACAAAAAACAACAAACAAAUAUAGGAUAAGGAAUCAAUGUGUCUGUCUCUCUGUCUUCCUAACUGAAUAAUCAGAAUCACAAACUGUCAACUCACAAACAAGCGGUUUAAUUUUAUUUUAUUAUACUAUUAGACAGAUCUUAUAUAUAUAUAUAUAUAUAAUACAUUAAAAUUCAAGACAGAGCAACAGGAACAAGGUAAGCUGAGAUAUGAUAUAUGAUAUAAUAUUGUAAUUAUCUGUUGCCUUUCAUUUUUUUCACCUAUUUUCAAACAUUCUAUCUCUCUCUUCCACAUUUUAGGGAACACCCGCGCAUCUUUCUGGAAGGAUUACCGUUGUUUUUAUUUUUUAAUUUUUUAACUUUGAUUUUUGGGGUUGUUUAUUUGGCUGUUUCUUUUGCUUUUUCCCGUGGCUUUGCCCUUCAAAAUCGCUCCUCUAACAAAGUUUGAGCGAUGGAUUGUUGGGAUUGGGUUCCUGUUGGCAUCUCAGAAUUGGUGAUGACAACUUCCGCAAUGCUCAUUGCAUCAAAACCCAAAAGCCUUUGAUUCUUACAAAAGCUAAAAGGGUAUCCACACGCUCUGCGGUAUUUUUGGGGCCAUAAAAAAAGGUCAAAUUUUUUGUCACAUUUAGCGUAAUUCUUAAUCUGAUUUUUUCUUGUUUCCUUUGAUGCUUCAGCUGGCCGCUCGUUUCUUGCUGACUUCUGUCAAGGUUUGUGCUUUGGUAGAUACCUCUUCUUUUGUUUUAAUUUUUCACCCAAAAUAAUUAUUUUUAUUUUUCUGGUUCAUUGGUCUUAGUCGCCGAAUAGUGCGAAUUGGGUCGUUUUCUGAUAGCUAUUAUUUUCUUUAUUCUGGUACUAUUUUCUCAAGGGAACUAGUCAAUAAAACAAUUGUUUGGCAAGAGAAAAAUGGGUUUGAAUAACGAAAAGUCAAUUUUCUAAACAUGAUAUAAUAUACAGAGAAAGGCAUGCUCUUUUUGAGGAUGCUCCUUGCUCCUUAAUUUUUAUUACACAUACGUAAAUUUCGAAACUUUUUUUGGUUUGUUAAAGUUUUAUGCGAGCGUUUUUCUUAUAAAUUAUUUUGACAUCUUGGGGGUUGUACAUAUUGGUUUUGGAAUUUGAAGUGGUGAGUGGUGAAGAUGGAUUCAGAAAGCGAGGCUGUUAAGACACCAAAGAGGGAAUUGGAAGCAGAAGGGGCUCUGAAUUCAAAGAUGAAGGGUGCUGGAAACAUAAGCAGUAAGGAUAUGAUAUUCAGAGCUGAUAAGAUUGAUCUCAAGAGUUUGGAUGCCCAGCUGGAAAAGCACUUGAGCAGGGUUUGGUCAAGGAGCACCACUGAGGCAAAACGGCCCAAAGAAGACUGGGAGGUCGAUUUGGCCAAAUUGGAUCUACGAUAUGUUGUGGCUCAGGGAGCCUAUGGUACUGUAUACAGGGGCACCUAUGAUUCUCAAGACGUUGCUGGUAUUUCCACUUCUUUUAUUUAUUUAUUUUAUAUGUUAUUCUGGAUGAUUUUUCUUUUCAUAAAAUGUGAGGGAAAGAGAUUGGAUAUGUUAUUCAUUAUUUCUAUUUAGAUGCUUAAUCGUUCUGCAUAGACUGCAUUCUUUCUAGCUUUUGACAAAAUUGGCUGGUUUUCUCAUAUUCUGGAUGAUUUUUUAUUUUUUUUUUAAAUCAACGUUAUAGUCAUUGCAAUAUGGUAUGAUUGUUCAAAUCUAUGCCUGGAUUUGAUGAUGCUGUGGGUAAGAGAACAUGGCUUCAGCAGUGUUGAAUGAAAAUAACCAAUGAGAGACAAUGUUUUUUUCUCCAUUCUGUUAGAUUCUGGUCUAGGGACAUAUUCAGUUUUUUUAGCAAUGAAGUUAAAUGCUGAGAUGGUGUUUGAAACUUACUAUACUAUCAAACUUAAAGAUUUACUCCUCAUUUCCAAGUCUACUAUCCUUUUGGAUUGUCGUGUUGAAUAUUUACAGUGAAAGUAUUGGACUGGGGUGAGGAUGGUGUAGCUACCCCAGCUGAAGCUGCUGCUUUACGGGCAUCUUUUAGACAGGAGGUUGCUGUCUGGCACAAACUUGACCAUCCUAAUGUGACAAAAGUAAGAACUCAUAGUAUUCAGUCUUAUUUAUUGAAAUGAAUGACGACUACUUGAUACUUGACAAAGUUGAAGAAAGAAGUGAUUGCUACUGAUAGCACACGCUUUUAGUAAUGAUAUUUUUUUUUUACUUUGUUCUGCUCUCUUAGCAUGCUUAGAUCUCUGUUCUUGUUGCCUGCUCAGGAGGAGAUACGGAUUAAAUCCAUAUCUCUGCACAACAAUUUUGUUUUGAUGUAUAAAUUUUCAGAUUAGUAAUUGUGUUGUAUUGAUAUGUGCAACAGUUUGUUGGAGCUUCGAUGGGCACUUCAAAUCUCAAGAUUCCCUCAAAAAAUUCGAAUGGAGAGGAAGAGACUCUUCCUUCUAGGGCAUGCUGUGUCAUUGUUGAGUUUAUCUCUGGUGGGACACUGAAGCAAUACUUGAUCAAAAAUAGGAGGAAGAAACUAGCUUACAAGGUUGUGGUUCAGCUGGCUUUGGACCUUGCAAGAGGGUAUGUCCUAUUUGAGCAUCUCGACAGUAACAAAACUGCAUACAUUUUACUAAUACAAAUUCACUGUUUUCCCAAAAAUGCAGUCUUCAUUAUCUACACUCGAAGAAAAUCGUUCACCGAGAUGUUAAAUCAGAGAAUAUGUUACUAAGUCCUAGUCGUAAUCUGAAAAUAGCUGAUUUUGGAGUUGCUCGGGUUGAAGCUAUGAAUCCAAGCGACAUGACUGGUGAAACUGGAACCCUUGGAUACAUGGCCCCAGAGGUAGGUGUUUUUAACAAGGUUGUCUGUCAAACAAAAUCACUUGCGGUUAUUAGCUUUAAUCAUAGGAUUACACCAAAUAUAGGUUCUGGACGGGAAGCCUUACAACAGGAGAUGUGAUGUCUAUAGCUUUGGCAUUUGCUUGUGGGAAAUUUACUGCUGUGAUAUGCCUUAUCCAGAUCUAAGUUUUGCUGAUGUGUCAUCUGCAGUUGUUCGGCAAGUAAGUUAACACGACAAACUAUGAUUUAUUCAAACACUCUUUAUGUAAUGUCGGGCAUCAUUGAUAUUGCUUGUAUUCUUGCACAGAAUUUACGACCAGACAUACCAAGGUGUUGUCCAAGUGCCUUAUCAAACAUCAUGCGGAGAUGUUGGGAUGCAAAUCCGAACAAGCGCCCAGAAAUGGACGAGGUGGUGAGAAUGCUGGAAGCACUUGAUACCAGCAAAGGUGGUGGAAUGAUACCAGAAGAUCAGAAUUCAGGGUGCUUCUGUUUUGCUCCAACCCGUGGCCCCUGAUUCUUGAAUCCAACGUUGUUAUGUGUUUUUGUUCAACAGAUGAACUGAAGCACUGUAACUGGCAAUUGGUAUUUAUAUUUUUGCCAGUUCACAGAUCACACCCUUUCCUUUGGCCAGAUUGAUUGUGAGAAAGAAAGGAAGGGCAUUGUAUUUUAUUUUUUAAAAUUUUGGCUAUAAAGGGGCGAUUUCACAGCUUCUUAAUAUUGUAUUUAGUACUGCAAACUGGAUUCUUUUGAGCAUCAAAACGGAAAAUAAUCCUUAAUCAAAGUUUACCCUUCUAAUACUACUACUACUUCUGUUCACAAUUUCUGUUGUUUGUCAAUUCUGAUGUGGAGAACUAAGAUUUUCUGGCCAAAAAUUGUAAUCCAUCAUGAAUAAGUUAUUCAAUUAUAUAUAAAUUUGCUGAUAUUUUAUAAAUUUAGAUCUUAAUUCUCUUAGCCUAAAUUACUUACUGUCACCUUCAACGACCUAGACUUCUGUUUGUGCAAUCAUUCUCGACCAUUAAAACUUCAAUGGAUAUGCUUCCCAUAUAGAAAUAGAAACAUCUUAACCACUCUUUCUCUCAUGUAUAUACAUUGCCACUCUUAUCUUUAUCUUUUCUUCUUCUUGUCUUUCACUAUAUAAUGUAGAAAAAUUAGCAUUCAACAACAUGGAAAAGAUUUUUGGAAAAAACUUCCAUAAAUAUUUUAAAAAUAAAAAUAAAAAUAUGAAAUUCUUUAGGGGUUCUCAUGAGAAAUGAAGUUCAAACAGGACAAGAUAUUUGUAAUGUGUGGAUAUGCUAUCUCAAUUUUUUUGAUAAAUAAGAUAAAGACAGAAAUUGGUUUAUGCCAUGCUGUCAUAUCUACACAGAUUGGACUCAGAAGAUCAUCAUCAAAGAUAAAACUGUUUGUAUUCAGAAAAAAAAAAAGGAGGAGAAAUUGAACCAAAAUCUUUUUCCUACACAAAAUGAACCAAGAUUAAUGGAAAGAUAUAUUUAGUAUCAGUUGUAUAAACCAUAACAGUGUUUUUGUUUUCAAUAUUUUUCUGAAUUUUAAGCUAUACUGUAACAAACAUGGAUUUCUAACUUAUAAAAUUGUUGAAUAUAUGUUAGUUGCUGUUGCAUCAUCGCAGAGGGGCAAUGGCUACAACCCUUCAACCAUCUUUGAUUGUUUCAGUUCCCACAAGCGUCAAGGAAGCUAAACCCAUAACCACGAAAUCAUCCCAAAAGUUACUUUCAAACUGCAAAACCCUGAAUGAACUGAAGCAGUUGCACUGUGACAUGAUGAAGAAAGGGCUGUGUCACAAGCCUGGUGGUCACUUUAACAAGCUCGUUGCUGCUUGUGUCCAGAUAGGUACCCUUGAGAGUUUGGACUACGCUCGAGAUGCUGUUCAGGAUGAUGGUGUAAGCAUGCCCUCUUUGUAUGUGUAUAACUGUCUCAUUAGAGGUUAUGCCUCGGCAGGGUUAGGUGAAGAAGCAAUCUUGCUUUACAUUCAGAUGGUGGUGAUGGGCAUGGUGCCUGACAACUACACUUUUCCAUUUUUGCUGAGUGCGUGCUCUAAGACUAUGGCGCUUUCUGAGGGUGUUCAAGUUCAUGGGGCGGCUGUUAAAAUGGGUUUGGACGGAGAUACCUUUGUCGACAACUCUUUGAUACAUUUUUAUGCUGAAUGCGGGAAGGUUGAAUUAGGGCGAAAGGUGUUUGACAAAAUGCUUGAAAGAAACGUGGUGUCUUGGACUAGUUUGAUAAAUGGUUAUGCUGGGAGAGACUUGGCAAAGGAGGCUGUUUCUUUGUUCUUUCAGAUGGUUGAGGCUGGUGUGGAACCCAAUCCGGUGACCAUGGUCUGUGUUAUAUCUGCUUGUGCCAAGUUGAAGAAUCUUGAAUUGGGUAAAAAAGUGUGCGCUUAUGUAGGUGAGUCGGGUGUGGAACUUAAUGCACUCAUGGUGAAUGCAUUAGUUGAUAUGUACAUGAAAUGUGGGGAUGUAUGUUCGGCUAGGCGGAUUUUUUAUGAAUGUACUGAUAAGAAUUUGGUUAUGUACAAUACUAUCAUGUCAAAUUGUGUGUACCAUGGGUGGGCCGGUGAUGCGCUCGGGAUUUUGGAUGAAAUGCUGCGAAAAGGACCACGACCGGAUAAGGUAACCAUGUUAUCUACGAUUGCAGCCUGUGCACAUUUGGGUGAUCUUUCUGUUGGGAAGUCAUCCCAUGCUUAUGUCUUACGGAAUGGCCUUGAAUGUUGGGAUAACAUUCUCAAUGCCAUCGUUGACAUGUACAUGAAAUGUGGCGAAAGAGGAGCAGCUUGCAAAGUUUUUGAGCAUAUGCCAAACAAGACGGUGGUGACAUGGAAUUCGCUAAUAGCAGGUUUGGUUAGAGAUGGUGAUGUGGAAUUAGCUUGGAGAAUCUUUGAUGACAUGCAGGAGAGGGAUCUUGUAUCUUGGAACACAAUGAUCAAUGCGUUGGUUCAAGCAAGCAUGUUCGAGGAAGCAAUUGAGCUAUUUAGAGAGAUGCAAAACCAAGGGAUAGAAGGAGAUAGACUGACGAUGAUGGGUAUUGUUUCUGCCUGUGGAUAUUUAGGAGCUCUCGAUCUUGCCAAGUGGGUAUGUACUUACAUCGAGAAAAAUGGCAUUCACAUGGACUUGCAGCUCGGCACAGCUUUGGUUGACAUGUUUUCUAGAUGUGGUGAUCCCUCAAGUGCUAUGCAUGUUUUCAGAAUAAUGGAGAAACGGGAUGUGUCUGCCUGGACAGCUGCCAUUGGAGUUAUGGCAAUGGAGGGAAAUACAGAAGGGGCUAUUGAGCUUUUCAACGAGAUGCUCAAACACAAGGUGAAACCAGAUGACGUUGUUUUUGUGGCACUACUGUCAGCAUGUAACCAUGGUGGUUCUGUGGACCAAGGAAGGCAAGUUUUUUGGUCAAUGGAAAAAACCCACGGAACAAGUCCUCAGAUUGUCCACUAUGGAUGCAUGGUUGAUUUGCUUGGCCGAGCUGGGCUGUUGGAAGAAGCUCUCCAUCUCAUACAAAGCAUGCCAAUGGAACCUAACGAUGUUAUGUGGGGAUCUCUGCUGGCAGCUUGUCGGAAACACAAAAACGUUGAAUUGGCACAUUAUGCAGCCGAAAAGUUAACACAAUUGGCCCCUGAAAGAGCUGGAACUCAUGUUCUGUUAUCCAACAUAUAUGCAUCAGCUGGGAAAUGGACGGAUGUAGCGAGAGUGAGGUUGCAAAUGAAGGAGAAGGGGGUCCAGAAAGUGCCUGGAUCAAGCUCCAUUGAGGUACACGGAUUGAUUCACGAGUUUACCUCGGGGGAUGAAUCACACGCAGAGAACACCCAGAUUGAAUUAAUGCUACAGGAAAUAAACUGCAGGCUAAGUGGGGUAGGAUAUGUUCCUGAUACAACCAACGUCUUACUUGAUGUUGAUGAGCAGGAAAAAGAGCACUUACUCAGCAGACAUAGUGAGAAGCUAGCCAUAGCUUAUGGACUGAUCACUACUGCUCAAGGUAUACCCAUACGGGUAGUAAAAAAUCUUCGAAUCUGUUCUGAUUGUCAUUCAUUUACAAAAUUAGUGUCAAAACUAUACAGUAGGGAAAUCACAGUUAGAGACAAUAAUAGGUAUCAUUUUUUCAAAGAAGGAUUUUGUUCUUGUGGAGAUUACUGGUAAUGGAUUCUCUAAGAGGGAACCUCUUCCCUCUGGUUUACAAAUCAACUUUGCUGUCCACAAUUAGGUCAAAACAUCUACUGUUGGCUUCUAUUUUUUUCUUCAAAGACACUUGAACCACUCAGGGAAAAAAUAUUCCCAAACAUAAGCAGAAAUUAAAUGAAUCAGGAUGUAUUUAGAUAAACUUAUCCUUAAAUGCUUUAAGAAAAAAAAUGAAAAUAGGUUUUGACAUAAAUUAAAUUUAGAUACUUUUCACUAGUAAGUUAAUUUUGUUUUCGUAUAAAAUAUAGUUCAUUUUUCUUUCUUUCCGUGGUGAAGAAAUCUUUCCCAAGUUAAAUUGUGUUAGAAGGAAGUAUGGAUUUGUUCACUCCUACUGUAAAUGAAAACUUGUAAAAAUUAGUUGGAUAUGUAAUUUAAUUUUAAUAUCCUUCAUAUGCAACAUAUUGUCAUCUUUAUAAUUGAAGAGUUGACAAUUCAUUAAAGACAAAGAAUGUAAUGAAGAAGUAGAAGAAAAACUUGCAUAAUGACUUAUCUUUUCUCAUACAUCACAUCAUUGAGGCAUAUUUCUUCAACAUGUGCUUCUCUAUAUAAUGAGAUUUAUGGUUAUCAAUAAUAAGACUCUCAAUUACUAAAUGGAUGAGAUGAAUGUUAUGUCAAUGUAAUAUUACUUGUAUAGUUUAUAUAAAAAAAUUUCUAUUUACUAAACCCUAAACCUUAUAAAACAAGAUUUUAUAACACUUUUUCAACAUUUACGUAAUUUAUCAAAUUAUUUAAAAAUUUAUUCCACUAUACAUUAUCAUGAUAAAAUAAUAUAAAUAGUUUAACUAAGAGAAAUAUAUUUCGUACUUGGGAAAAAAUUAUAUGAUGUACAAUUAUUAUUCAAAUAUACCAAAUUUAAAAACUAAGUUUAUAAUAUGAGUUCUAGUGUUGUAAAAUAAAAGAAGUUCUAAUUAAUUAUCUUUUAAUUUUAGUUCAUACUUAUAUUUAUUAGAAUUAAAUUUAAAUAAAAACAUUUUAAUAUUUCAUAAUCUUAUCCAAUUAAUUUUUUCCUUAUAUUAACCAAAUCUACCUCAUUUGUUCAUUGAUUUCCACCCUAUUCAAAUCAUAUCACUUUCAUCUUUUUUUUUUUCUAUUUUCUUUAUUUUCUAUUUAAAGCAUUACAUUUGAUGAAGGAUAAUGAUAUUUUGAAAUCUAAAAUCUAUUUUUUUAAAAUUUAUUUAACACUUUUUUUAUUAUAUAUAUUUUUAUAUAAUUUUAGUAUAAUAAUUUUAAUUUUACAUGUGUUGUGAGAUGAUAGUUAUGUGUGAAACCUUUUUCCUUUGAUGAAUCCUGCUUUUGGGUUAAAUCUUCCUUCUCUGAGUAAUCAUAGCCUAAAAAAAUGUUUUUCAAGUUCGGAAUGCGGAACCUCUUGGCUCACCGCUUCUCUCCCAGAAUCACCGCCGCCAAUGCCUCACACCGUUACCUUUACCGGAAUCCUCUCUGCACCACCGUGGAGUCACCUGACCUCCCACCGUGGCUCAAGUUCUCCGACACCCCGACCCCUUCCCACGCUGAGUUAGACGACGACUUCGUUAUCCCUUCACUAGCCAAUUGGGUCGACUCCCACAUCCUCACCUCCAAGCCCAAACUUCCCGCACAAACCUCCAAGCAAAACAGCCUCGACCAAGUGGACGCAGUAUCCACACUUCUCAAAAAACCCUAUUCUUCCCCCGAGCUAGUAGGUGAAGCACUUAAUGGACGCGGUUUUCAGCCAUCAAGCGAUUUGGUUUCGCAGGUUCUCAAGAGAUUCAGUAACUGUUGGGUCUCUGCUUUGGGGUUUUUCAAAUGGGCAAAAGCUCAAACAGGUUAUCGGCAUUCUCCCGAAGUGUACAACUUGAUGGUUGACAUACUGGGAAAGUGCAGAACCUUUGAUUUAAUGUGGGACUUGGUGAAGGAAAUGUCACAACUCGAAGGGUACGUCACAUUGGAUACAAUGAGUAAGGUAAUGAGAAGGCUUGCCAAGGCUCGCAAGCAUGAAGAUGCAAUAGAAGCAUUUCGUAGAAUGGGGUUGUUUGGUGUUAAGCAGGAUACUGCAGCGUUGAAUGUUCUCAUGGAUGCGUUGGUGAAAGGAGACAGUGUUGAACAUGCCCACAAGGUUGUUUUGGAGUUUAAGAGUAGGAUUCCUUUGAGUUCUCAUUCUUUCAAUAUUUUGAUCCAUGGGUGGUGCAAAGCAAGGAACUUUGACAAUGCCAGGAAAGCAAUGGAGGACAUGAAGGGGCAGGGGUUUGAGCCUGAUGUAUUCUCGUACACUAAUUUUAUUGAAGCUUAUUGCCACGAGAAAGAUUUCCGCAAGGUGGAUCAAGUUUUGGAGGAGAUGAGAGCAAACGGGUGCACCCCUAAUGCUGUGACUUACACUACUGUGAUGAUUAAUCUGGGGAAAGCAGGGCAAGUGAGUGAAGCUUUGGAGGUUUACGAGAAAAUGAAGAGUGAUGGAUGUUUGGCUGACACUCCAUUUUACAGCUGUUUGAUAUUCAUCCUCGGCAGAGCUGGAAGGCUAAAGGAUGCUCGCGAUGUGUUUGAAGAUAUGCCUAAGCAAGGGGUUGUGAGAGAUGUGGUGACAUACAAUACUAUGAUUUCUACUGCUUGUGCACACUCGCGGGAAGAGACUGCUCUCAGGUUGCUUAAGGAAAUGGAAGACGGAUCGUGCAAGCCGAAUGUUGAGACUUACCAUCGGUUGCUCAAGAUGUGCUGCAGAAAGAAGAGAAUGAAGGUGCUCAAGUUUUUGUUGGAUCACAUGUUGAAGAACGAUAUAAGCCUUGAUUUGGCUACUUACUCGCUCUUGGUGAGUGGUCUGUGUAAAAGUGGAAGAGUUGAGGAUGCUUACUCGUUUUUAGAGGAAAUGGUCUCGCAGGGAAUGACUCCAAAGCCCAACACUCUCAAGCUAUUGAUUGGAGAGCUUGAGUCCAAGAGCAUGUCAGAGGAGAAAGAGCGUGUUGAGAAAUUGAUGGAUCGUUUUUCUCAGAAAGGAAAUGUUUAGUGGUUUUGGCAUAAGAUGAAGUAAUUUCCAACUCAGCGAUAUCUGCUGCUCAUUUGAUCCCAUGCCAUGAUAGAAAAUGGAAACGACCUUUGCUAAUGAAUCCUAGUGUUAUUUUCACAAUAUUAUAUCUUGUGACGAUUUUGUUUUUGUUUUUCUCUUCUUAAAUGCUAGCAUAUUUUAGCAAAACUCCACAUUUUGUACAAUUAAGAAGAGGCGGAUUGACACAAUUUUAGAUAAAGUUUAUGUACUCUAUGAAUGUGAUUUAUGGAUGUCUUCUUCGUACUCUAAUAGACAUGAUUACUGAUUAAAGAGAAACAAAUGAGUGUAAUUCUUAUUUUGCAAUAGUUGCAUCGUAUAUGAAGUUUUGCGAGAGUUUUUACAUUGCACAAGAACAUCUUUUUAGUGUUGGGUUAUUAUCACUCUUUCUGUGGAUCCUUUAUUACAACCUAAUAUUUAUGAAUGCGUUCUGUUUUAUUUCAAUAGUAAAAUUAAUUUUGAGUUCUUAUCUUAAAUUCUGUGGGACUUAUUUUAACAGCUUCCCUGUUCUGUUCUCCGUAGUCAAGAUCCCAGUUUCAAACACUUAAUUAGCAAGAUGUGUUACUUAUAAGAUCCUCCUCCACCCUUUAAAUGUGAAAACUUGAAUUUGACACUCCUUUUUCAAACAGUUUGGAUUUGGACAUUCAUCUGGGUUAUUGAUUUCACUCCAAAAUUGGUUGGUUAUUAUCACGAGAGCAUUACUAAAUAGUUAAAGAAAUGGCUAAAUAAGUCAACAACAAUCAAAAACUAAGUUGUGAAAUAUGCACUGUUAAUUUUGUGUUAUUCUUAAGCUUUAUAUAAUUUACUUUCAUACAGUUUCUUGUUAUUUUGACACCCUAAACCCUAAAAGGGUGAACCAAAGCAUGUGCCAUUUACCAAUCCAAUUUCAAGAUCAUUGAUAUCAAUUAGGGUCCCGUAGAUUUCGUCGACUGUGUAUGUUUUCUCUAAUCUUUCUAUUUUCAAAAUUGCGAUUAUAUUAAAAAUAGUGAUUGUUUGAAAUUGCGAUUAUAUUAAAAAUCACUUUUUAUAUUUUUUCGGAUAUAAUUUGUUUGUUUAUGGCAUUGUUUUUUUGGAGACCGAAUAGUAUGGUAGUAUGGUUAAUAUGAUGGAGUAUUUAGUUUUUAACGUUGUAACCAAAAAGUUUGUAAACAGUCUACAAGUUUGUAACCUCUGUGCUUCAACAGCAAUGUUACAAGUUGAUCGCUUAAUAUAAGAAAACAACCUCGUAUAAAACAGGCUUGCGUAAGAUUGAGAAUGAACAGAGAUAAAUUUGGGGAAAAAAUAUAAUCAAAUAAUCAUUAGAUGAAUCAAUAUGAAUGUGUAAGAGGUAGAAAACAACCUAGUAUAUGUACAGCAUAUUUGACGUUGUUAGUGAAAGUUGUAAAAUGCUGAACAGAGAUUUUGGCACUGCUACUGGUACCAGCAAGGCAAGGGAAUAACCUACUGUGUUUUUUGGAUACUUUCUGAACUCAGUUCUUUUGUUAUUUUCACGUCAAAUUGAGAAAAGAUGCAAGUAGCUUCUGGCCAGAUGGGAUCAGUUGUUUGAAAAUGCAUAUCCAAACAUAGCAUCAAAGGUAUUGCCUCACAUCUCGGGAUAACAGAGAACUUGACAUUUUAGGCGAAGAUAAUCUUCUUCUAGCCACUGGCCUCUGCCACCCAAGUCUUUCUAGGAAUUCCUCAAUCAACCUAUGAAUUCAAAAUGAUAAAUAUAUAGUUUUGUAGAUUUUAAAUGGAUAAAAGUACAAAAACACAUAAAGCCUUGUAACACGUACAUGCUGCAAAUGGCCUUUUGGGAUGCAGCCAGCUCACGGUCUGGGAAAGAUUCUUCCAGCCGAAAGCUCAACCAUACGUAAAGAUCCAAGACCUGCAGUUUUAGUACCAAUCAGAAAUCGUUAAAAUUGAAGUUAAGUGGUUAAAAAUCAGUUAAAAAUGGUUUUAUGAACAUUUUCUGUCAAAAUCAGUGAAGGAAAAAUAUAGUCAACACUGUACAACAAGAAACCUUAUGGAUGGAUUCCAGCUCCUUAAGAGCACCCGCAGUCUUGGGCACUUUGAGUGAGCCUGGCGUAAAUAUUUCUCGAAGCCGGACAAGGCCUUUCUUUGCAUAAUUCUCUGCAAACUGAUUUAUCAUAAGCUGUGUCAAUUUUAUGAUCAUUCAAACUAAUCUCAAUAAGUCAUACUAACAAUGUGAUAAUUACCUGUGUUAGGCCUUGAGAUAAAAUCUCGUCAUCCAUGUCAGCUGGACUGAAUAUUAUUGCAACUAUCAGUUAAAAUUUAACUGAAAAGAUGAACAGACUGAACUACAGACACCGUGAUUUAUUAAUUGACUGGGUUUUCAAUUCAUAGAAUUGUCCUACAUUACAUGGAUAUUGCAUUCUGAAAUUGUGUUAUUUUCUGAAAAUAUAAGAAUGCACCUGAUACAGAAAAGGUAUUUCUCAUGUAAUCCGAGGGGAAGCUCAUCAAUGACAGCAGCAACUUUCUAGCAUCAGCAUGUACAAACAACACCCACAAAACAAAAGGGAACCCAGUGAAUAAUAAUAAACUGUUGAAGGUAUUCGACACUGAUAUUACAAAUGAAAAGACAAUAGCAUUGAUAUGAAAUAUCCACAAUUCAAUGGCAAGGCAGCUAUUAAAAGACAUACCAGUAAUUGAUCACAAUUAACAAUGAAAUAAUUUUCAGAUAAUUUCGCAUUGUCAAGAAAAUGUGCCUGCAAUAUUUAAAGAUAAAAGGUGAAUAAUGUAGUUUUGGGAUGUAAUAAUAUAAUAUGUUAAGACACCUAAGAAUUUUUAAAUUCAAUGAUUUAAAGAUGAAGUUGAGUGGAAUACAAUGCUUGGCCACUUCAUUAUAACUAGCAGUCACAAUUUUCUUUUCACUUGCAAUGGACAAUGACAAAUAAUACAAUUUGCAGAGUACUAUGGAUGACAGAAUGAAUUAUCAUGGAAACACAAAUAGACAGAUACAUUUUACCAGUAUUUGAUAGAAACCAUAUCUCGGGUGUAAUCGGGAAUACAUAUACAUCAAAUCGAAGGUAGGAAGUAAGCCAGCACGCUGUAUCACAAUUAGAAUACAUAAAUCAUCAAUAGUGGAUAAAGUAAACAGUUCGGAUAAAAGUGCAUAUCUACUAGAAGCUUUCUAGAUUUCAGGUUUCGCCUAGGUUGCAUACUUAGUAUAGGGUAAUUAAGUUUUUGGUUACCUCUAAAAUGGGUGAUGGAGAAUUCAAUGAUGAAUGGAGCAAGGGUAGAUCAUCUUCAUCCAAGCAUGUCACUUGUCCUUCCGGAAAAUUUGACCCAUAUCUCCCGGCUCUCCCUGCAAGUAGAAACGCAUUUAUUGCAACCAAGAAUAAUAUAUGAUCCAAAUAGACAGGACAUUAGCCCAAGGUUCAACAUUUCCACAUAUUAAUAAAAUAUAAAAAUAUCGAUUAGAACAGUAAAUCAUGGAUAUUUGAGAUAAGUUUUUUGUUCCCAAGUGGAUUCCUAAUCAGUUACUUAAAUAAACAUAAGGGGUUAAAUCACUUGGUAUCUCAAAAAUAAUUUUAAAAAAUCAACAUUAAUAAAGAUAUUCCUGUGUCUGAAGGAAAAACGAUAGCUUGAGUAGAGAUAAAGAGAGAUUUUAAGGGGGGCAUGUUAAAUCCACAAAAACUGGGAACAUUAACAAAAUUGACAGAAGUUUAAAUUCUGUAAAAUAAUGUAGCACUGAUUUUGCCAAAAAAUAUCCUUUGAUGUAACCCAGAAUCUUGACAUAUCUGAACUGUAUCCUAGUAGAUUUUUUGUCAAAAAAAUUAAUUUAUUAUAUACAUAAUGUUUAAGGCAAGUACCUACCCCAAAUUUUCCAGCAAAUUCAGCAUCCAACAAUGACAAUAUAUAAAUAAAAAGGAUGCUUUGACGUCUACUUAUCCAAACUAUCAAAUUCAAUACAUUGGAACAGCUGCAUAAAUCAUGACAAGAUAAAAUAAGAAAAAAUUAUCCAAAGCUAAUGCUCAAUAUUACACCGCUUGAAAUCUGAUGUAAGAUUUAUAGACUCUCCAGAAAAAAAAGUAAUACCGUUUUAUUGACAAAAAGUUAAAAACAACACAAAAACCUCAGUUUCAAUAUAUUCCAGAUACAAUCCUUUAAUCAAAUUCCAGAACAAGGUUCAAUUCAAUUAUAAGAAUUUCAUGCUACCUGCAAUCUGUUUGAUCUCAGGUACAGUUAGAUCCCGCACCUCAAAUCCGUCAAACUUCUUUGUACUGGAAAAUAUGAUUCUAGAGAUGUUUAGAUUAAGACCCAUUCCAAUGGCAUCACUGGCCACAAGAACAUCAAACUCACUACUUGCAUCAUUGAACAUGCUUGCCUGCAGUCCUAACAAAACUUUAAACUAAUCAAAUUCUCAGCAUGGAGGGGGACAAUGAGAUAGAAAUUGGAAACAUUUAUCAACAUAUGCCAAUAAAAAUAGCAGUAAACUAAAGGAAAACUAAAAACUAUGGACAAAAAACGAGAAGGAAUUUCCAAACAGAGCAAUGAAAUAACAUGGAAACUGCAUAAAAAGGUUAUGAUCAGCAGGAGCAUUUCUGCCAAUGAAUGAGAAAAGACAAAAAUCACAAAAGAACAAAAUAAAUGGCAGAAUGUGUGUAUGGGCGACGAAUGUUAAAUUCUAAAUAUUACAUUACCGUGAAACAAUUGUAAUUAAAAAGGAAAACUAAAAAUUACUUAGACAAAGGUUUGAGCUCACACCUGUCUUGUUCGUGUCUCUGGUGGUAGUGAGCCAUACACUACUGAACAAAGAUGAUUUCCUUCUUUCUCAAUUCUUUUCUGAGCAAUGAUAUUAACUCUUACUACUAGUUAGUUUGCAGUACAGAUACUAUAAAAAAACAUAAAUUGAAUUUGCAUAAUUCAUUAUCAGCUUACAUUAUGUUUGAUAAAAAAUCAUUACGAGUGUCAUUCUCUUCUUAUGCUAAUCAAGAUGAAGGGGUAUGUGUGUGUGUGGGUGGGGAGGCAGGUGUUGGGGAGCGGGAGGAUUGGAGCUGGGGGUGGAAUGUAAAGAGUAAAAGAGAAUUUAAUUGACUAAACCCUAACUUAGCUAACACUAACAUUGUAUCUACCCCAUUCCUAUAUAAUGUCAAUGAAAAUAGCACUAUGAACAUGGUUAAAAUGAUAGGAUACAAGUAAAGAGUCUGUGUAGGAGCUAAUAGAGGGCGGAAACAACUGCAAUUGGAUAGCUUGUAAUGAAAAACAAAAGGGAACAAUAACAGUGAAAAUGGAGGGCCAGGAAUUUUUGGGUAUAAAAUAUUUUGUUUAAAUACGAAAGCAUUCAAGUUAAAUUCAAGAAAAGUUAACACAUGUAAAAGCUCACCUUCAAACUGUAAAUCUCCUUACGUGAAAAGGCUACAAUGCAAUCACCGUUUCUUAUAUUAGAGAAAGACCCAAGAGGAACAUUCAGUGGGAUUAAAGGUGACAGUCUCUCAUAAAAUUGAACCUGCAGCACCCAUGAAGAAAACUUUGAGAAAAUUUAAAGAACAUUUUGAUGGAAACAAAAUGAAUAAGCAGAGGACCUUGACAACAGUUGUUAUUUACCACAACGGAAAAUUCGUGAGUGUAAAAUUAUGGUCUAAUGUAUAUGCACCCAUCCCAUCCCCGACAAAAAAAAAAAAGAAAAACUAAUGUUCGGAGAGUAUCAGUACCUCAACUUCAUCACCAGUAAUUUUCAAUAUUUCCUGAAUAAGGGGAACAGCAGCAGGAUCACCACAAAGGUGAAGUUCAUCAGCAGCAAUUCCUAAUAAAGCACGUGUAAAUGAAUAUCCCCUUGUAGUACAACCUAUCAUCUGGAUCCAUAAAGAGACAUAAGGUUAGACGGGAAAAAAAAUCACAAUGACAAGCAUACCGAGAUAUAGAAUAACAACUAUCAAGAUUAUGAUAAGACCGUAACCUUCUAUCCCUUUCUCAAUGUGAAUUUCAUUUAUGUCGGUUCACAUAAAACCAAAUAAUUAUUCUAGGAAAUACUUUAUAUAUAAUACAAAAAAAGGAAUCACCAAAUGGAAAUUUUACUUGCCUGAAUUUCAUCAAUAACAGCGCAUUGAUAAUCAGCUGAUACAUCAGCCAUUUCAACUGUAACAGCUUUAUGAUUUGCACCAUCAACCUCCUCUCUUUCCUGACCUGUUAUGAGAUCGCAAGGAACUUGUACCUUGUUCAAUCGUUUUGCAAUCUCCCAUGCCAACAAUCUUAAAGGACCACAAUAUAUGCCUGCAAGGUACAAAAAUACAUAAUCUCCCUGCUAAGUUUUCAUCCUCACGCAUUAUUGUUUACCUUUACCAUUGAAAAGAAGGAUAACUUACCAGAAGCACUUGACUCAAGCUGCUUCAGAGCAUGAUAUGUUUUACCGCUAUUUGUUGGACCAACAUGAAGGAUAACCCUACGAUGUUUUUCCCGGGCCUUUGGAUACCAUGAAUGAGGGCAGCUAAAACGACCAGUAAUUAAGCAUCAGCAUUCAGAAACAUGUAACUAAACUUGCAUAGUCAUAACCACUGUCGUAGAGAUUUAUAAUCAGAUAAAAGUUUGUUUAACAGAGUAAACAAACAACAUAUGGAGCAUGUUGAUACUUACGUCAAGUCAGUAAAAUCAUUUCUGAUGGAACCACUAGAGCUGCUAUAUGAAUGCACCAUGUUUGCAGCAGCACCUAAACUUUGAAACCUGAACUGAAAGUAUAGACGAAAAUGCUCCUUAUUACCUGAAUAGGUGAUGAGAUAUCAUCAACACCAUACAAACAUCCAAAGUCAGUCUAUAUUGGAAUUCAAACGUAGAAAAACAUAAGGGCAUGUUAAAUUUAGAGUUUUGAUAGUUCCAAGAUAAAGGGAAGAAAAAUCAGGAAAAUAACAGCCGAAAUUAAUUAAAUUAGUCCUGGUGGAGGUAGCUAACCGAACAGAGAGCAAGCAAAUAGGUUCCGAUUGUGACGAAGAAGAAAGGAAGCCAUUGUUGGGAAGAGAGUGUGAAUACGAAAUUGGAUAGAAAAAGGGUCAAAUUGAAUGAAAAUUGAAGAAGGAAAAAAGGUACGGCGGUGGAUGGAUCCAAGUCGUUCCUCCCUUUGACCACACAACCUGCGAACCUCACUCUCCGCCGCUUCCACCCCCAAACACCACUUUCAUAAAUUAAAAAAUAAAAAUAAUAAUAAUAAUAAAAAAUUACUGUUCUACUCUUCAAUAUACUAUGACAUAUAUAAACUUUUUAUAUUUAUUAAAUAUUUUUUUCUUUAUUUUUUAUUUUAUUUUGAUAAUAUGUGACAAAUAAAUAAAUAUAAAUGUGUGUUACCUGUGUUAUUAUAAAAAAAUUUAGAUCAUUCUUGAAAUAUCAAAUACUUCAUCUAUCAUUCUUAUUAUAGCAAGAAUUUCAUCCACACCAUAAUUAUCAUAUUUUAUACUCCACUGUUUUAAGAACAUGUUCUCACUCCCAAGUUGAGCUUAAAAUAAAAUUUAAAAAAUUGAAUAACAAUCAAACUUAAAUAUAUCUGUAUGUAUAUCUUUUUUAACAUGUUAUCCAUCUUCUUUACUUUUAUUGAAUUCCUAAUUUUCAUCUUAGACCUGACAUUGACAAAAAAAAUAUCCUGCAAAUAUAUAAAAAAAAAAAACACAGAGAUUAGUUUUAUUUUAUUUGUUAUUUUUAUAUAAUAAGAUUUAUGAUUAUUACUAGUAGUGUUUAUAAAAUGAGACAAUUUUUUUCUUUAAUAUAAAAUUUAAGAGAGCUAAAUAAAAUGUAUUACAUAUAUUUUUUUUUAAAUGUCAAAUAUUGAUAAUGUAUCAUAGACAUGGUUGGAAAUGGCCAAUUUGUCAUCGGUUCCAAAUAUGAAGCGUCGUUAUUAAAAAAAAAAAAAAACUUUAUCAUUUUAAAAAAUAAAUCAAUUGAAAUAAUGUGUAAUUUUAAGACUUUGUUACUUUUAAAAAGAAAAAGUUAAAAAUUAAUUGAAUUGACUGUGACAACUUCAAAUACUAAAAUGAAUUUAGUAAUUAAAACUGGUUGCGAGAACAAUAUUGGAUUUUGGAUUGUGUUUUAGUCUUCUUAAUUAUACUUCGUGUGACUUGAAUUUUUAGUUUAUUUUUUCUUUAGUUAUUUUAAUCUUAUUAUCAUUUAAAUAAAAUUCUUUGUCUGAAAAUUUAAUCUAACAAUUAAUAUAAAUAUGCAGUUAAACUGUAAUUAAAGUUGUGAAAAAAAUAUAUAAAAACCCAAAAUUACACAUGAAUUAAAAGUAUAAUUAAAUAUAAUAACAAGGGCUAGUGUAAUAGAAUGAUUAAUGCUGUGGUAGUGUGCCACACAGCCCAGCCCAAAUACUAUUGGGCAAGCUUAUUUUGGAUUUUUCAAGAAAAUAAAAAGCCCAAACACUAUUUUAAAUUGAAAUCAUAUUUAUGAAAUUGUAUUCAGUAUUUUUAAUUUCAUCUUUUUUGUAAUCAUUAUCGAAUAUAUAAUAUUUAAAUAUUUAAACACUGUAGCGACAACUGCAACAAGACAUCAAUGAAAAAGAUGAAUGAAUGUAGACGGCUUUUUGGGGAGACAGCUUUUCUAAAAGUCUUCUAAUCAAACAGCAAUUGGAUCAUUAUAGCAACACGAAUAAUUUAAUCAUUCUUUAUUAAAUUCCUUAAUAAAUAAAUAAAUAAAUAGUCAAAUUAAUAUUCUUUACCAAAAUAUAUGUGCAGAUACUCUUUAUUAAAUAUUUAUUAAUUAAAAAAAAUGAAAAACAAAAAAUGGGCCAUGUGAAUAUAGUGUUUGGGCCGCAUUGGGCUUCUGUUUUUGACUCUGUUUCCUCUUGCACACGUGCGAACUAAUAGGCUUGAGAUGUUGCUUUGGCUAACCACUUGCGUGGGUUCUGGUUCGGUGUGAUGUAAGAAUGUAUGAGAAAGUGGGACCCAUAUCUUAUGGUCAAACAAAGCCGACUCCCCUUUCGCAAUGGCACACGUCACCCUCGCUUCUCUGCGAUUCUUCUCACUCUCUCUAUAUAACUAAACCUCCGCCACCGUCCUCCUCCACUUCGCUUCCAAAACCACUCAAAUUCAACCCUCGCACCCUCCGCACAUGGCUGCUCCCGCCAAUUCCCACCAAUCAAAUCCUCUCAUCACUCCCUACAAGAUGGGAACUUUCAAUCUCUCUCAUAGGUANNNNNNNNNNNNNNNNNNNNNNNNNNNNNNNNNNNNNNNNNNNNNNNNNNNNNNNNNNNNNNNNNNNNNNNNNNNNNNNNNNNNNNNNNNNNNNNNNNNNNNNNNNNNNNNNNNNNNNNNNNNNNNNNNNNNNNNNNNNNNNNNNNNNNNNNNNNNNNNNNNNNNNNNNNNNNNNNNNNNNNNNNNNNNNNNNNNNNNNNNNNNNNNNNNNNNNNNNNNNNNNNNNNNNNNNNNNNNNNNNNNNNNNNNNNNNNNNNNNNNNNNNNNNNNNNNNNNNNNNNNNNNNNNNNNNNNNNNNNNNNNNNNNNNNNNNNNNNNNNNNNNNNNNNNNNNNNNNNNNNNNNNNNNNNNNNNNNNNNNNNNNNNNNNNNNNNNNNNNNNNNNNNNNNNNNNNNNNNNNNNNNNNNNNNNNNNNNNNNNNNNNNNNNNNNNNNNNNNNNNNNNNNNNNNNNNNNNNNNNNNNNNNNNNNNNNNNNNNNNNNNNNNNNNNNNNNNNNNNNNNNNNNNNNNNNNNNNNNNNNNNNNNNNNNNNNNNNNNNNNNNNNNNNNNNNNNNNNNNNNNNNNNNNNNNNNNNNNNNNNNNNNNNNNNNNNNNNNNNNNNNNNNNNNNNNNNNNNNNNNNNNNNNNNNNNNNNNNNNNNNNNNNNNNNNNNNNNNNNNNNNNNNNNNNNNNNNNNNNNNNNNNNNNNNNNNNNNNNNNNNNNNNNNNNNNNNNNNNNNNNNNNNNNNNNNNNNNNNNNNNNNNNNNNNNNNNNNNNNNNNNNNNNNNNNNNNNNNNNNNNNNNNNNNNNNNNNNNNNNNNNNNNNNNNNNNNNNNNNNNNNNNNNNNNNNNNNNNNNNNNNNNNNNNNNNNNNNNNNNNNNNNNNNNNNNNNNNNNNNNNNNNNNNNNNNNNNNNNNNNNNNNNNNNNNNNNNNNNNNNNNNNNNNNNNNNNNNNNNNNNNNNNNNNNNNNNNNNNNNNNNNNNNNNNNNNNNNNNNNNNNNNNNNNNNNNNNNNNNNNNNNNNNNNNNNNNNNNNNNNNNNNNNNNNNNNNNNNNNNNNNNNNNNNNNNNNNNNNNNNNNNNNNNNNNNNNNNNNNNNNNNNNNNNNNNNNNNNNNNNNNNNNNNNNNNNNNNNNNNNNNNNNNNNNNNNNNNNNNNNNNNNNNNNNNNNNNNNNNNNNNNNNNNNNNNNNNCCGACAGCCUGGUACCUAUGAGAAAGGCCUUCAAUGGUACUUUUAUAGCUGCUGGAGGUUAUGAACGGGAAGAUGGAAUGAAAGCCAUUGCUGAAAACAGAGCUGAUCUUGUUGCUUUUGGUCGUUGGUUCUUGGCUAAUCCAGAUUUGCCAAAGAGAUUUGCUCUCGAUGCUCCUCUCAACAAGUAUCACAGGGAAACAUUCUACACCAGUGAUCCGGUUCUCGGAUACAGUGACUACCCUUUUCUUGACGAGGACUCCAACGGUGUAGCAUCCUAGUAUUUGUAAUACUAAGCUUUAUACGAGGUAACAUUAUGUGAUCCUUGUGGACAAAUAAAAUAUAAAUUCUGUAACUGAAACAAUAUCCCUUCGGUUGCUAUUUGUAGCAUUUCUUAUUAAUGCAGUAACUAAAAGAAAUUCUGUUUUUGUAUUUACAUGUUUUCUUAUCUAAUAAUUGUAAGCAAACAAAAUAUUUGUUCCUAUGUGCAUUACACUAAUUAGACAGAAAUAAGAAGUGAAACAUGAAAAGCAAGAAAGAGGAAAAAUACAAAAAUCAAACACAUUCUGCAAUUUACUUUUUGAACUUGAGUGGUGUUGUUCAAUUUUAUUUACGCUUAUUUACUGUAAUUAAAAACGUUCUUUUCACGUUACUUACUUAUUUUAAAUUUGAAUAAUAAAAUCACAUUGUCUUAAACUUUAUCUAUCAUUUCGAUUUCUCCAACAAAAUUCGGGUGUUAUCAGUGGGACGGGACAGAAAUAACUAACUUAUGGAUAACUAUACUAUAUUGUAUUAAAAAGGUUCAUUAUAUUAUUUUAUGAUCAAGUUUUUAAAAAUUAAACUUGUAAAAAUUGUAUUUAUUUAUUUUUUUUUUCUAAUUUUUGUUUAACUGUUUCGUCUUGCCAUAAAAACAUUAUUUAAUAAUAAAAUAUUAAUAAAAAACCGUUCACAUAAAAAAAUUAAUAAUUAAUUUUUUAAAACAAAACUUUUUAUUACAAAUUUUUAUAUUUUUUAUCAAUAAACAUAUAUUAUUUUUUAAAUAAUAUUAUUUUAAGUAAUAAAAGUAAAAUAUUUUUUAAAUUUAAUAUUAUUAAAUGAUCAAGUAAUAGAAAUCAUAAAAGAAAAAAAACUAUAUAAAAAAAAUAAUACUUUAAAUAUAUUAUAUUCUUUAACAUAUUAUUAAAUGUGUAAAAAUAUGUUAAAAAAUACUUUUAAUGAUAUUAAAAUGUGUGUAAGUGUAAAACCUGAGAAAUACAGAUAGUGGGAAGUGACACAUGGCUGUGAGUGAGAGGUGGGAACCAUCUAAGACCAAACGUAUGUCAUGGGAAGAAAUCAAAAAUUUCUUAGUUCCUUUCUCCUAACUUGAAACCAGCAUUUUCUCUCCAAGCCUCUCUUCUCCUUCUUGCAUUCUCUUCCCAAAUUCUGUAAAUUUAACCACUUAAUUUCCUCACUGCAGCUGCCUAAAGCAAUAGGACACCAAGAAUUCCUUUUGCACCGAUCAAUCUCUGCUUUCGAAAAAGGGAUAAGUCGCUCUCUCCAUUUUUCCUCAUUCUUGAGUCUUAUAACAUGCAAUCUAAAGGUUGCAUGCGUUUUUGGAUUCUUCCUUUUCAAAUUUCUUUCCAAAUUUGACUUUGAAAACUGUCUUGAUCACUAAUUUCGUGAUCUAUAGGGUUGGGAUAAAAUCUAAAUUUUGUAAGGAAGCGUAGAAGAAAUUUUGAACAGUGUUGUACUAAAUUCCCAGGUAAGGGAAGCUAGAUUCUAAGUUCUUGAUUGGAAAAUAAUGACAUCAUUGUUUGAUUUUUUUUUUAGAACUAUUAUAUUUUUGAUGCAUGUAUGAAUAGAUUGAAGAAUUACUUUACUGUUGAACUGAAUGAAAAGUGCAUGUGUGAUAUAGAUGAUUAUGGUCUGUGUUUGGUAUGAACUAAUAGGUGAUUAAUUUUGAAUUGUAUGACUAUGUGUGUAAUGGGAAUUUUAUGGUUUAAGGGUGAGUAUUCAGUUUCUGUAGGUUGUAAGCAAAUGGCUAAGUUAACUUCAACAUCAAAGUCAAUUUAGGGAACUUGGGUAGUGAUUUCGUGAAUUUGGGGCUAGGAGUGGUUUUAGGCCAUCUAGAUCACUUAGAUGAAUCAUUUUUGACUUGUUAAGAACCUUAAACCAGCCAAAAACAGAUUACAAGUGGUAGAUUUGAGUUUGAGCUCUUAAGUAAUAGAAAGUGAGUUGUUUGAUUCAAAUUCUCUGCAUAAUUGUUAGAGAUUAGUGUUAGGACGAGAAUUGGACCUUUAGGCAAGUUAGAUUCAACCUAUACUUCGAAUUAGCAUCAUUAGAAUUCCAUCAAAGUGCCUAGAACAAGUUUGGAGUGGUGGAGUUCUGCAAAACUGCAGAAUUGGGAAUCUACAGAAGUGCAGAUUCACUGAGCGAGGGUUUUCGCACAGCGAGAACCCAAAAUUAAUUGGGUUUUCAGCAGAAAUUCGCACAGCGCAUCAAGAAGUGUGCGCUCAGCGAAUUUUCUGCGACAGAAUGAGUAUUUUUUAUGUUUUUGACGUUUUAGGAGUUUCGGACGUCCAUUUUGGACGUUCUGGGGGGUUUUUGACCCUUCCGGAGCCAUUGGUGAGGGUUUCCAAGUUAUUUGAAUUACUUAAGUAUUGGUAAUUAAAGAUUAUAAAGAUAUUUGUAUUAAUAAGUGAUGUUUUUCUGAAAAUAUGUAAUUCUUGUUUUCUCUUCCUUUCUUGUGUGAUGAUCUAGGUAUCUUUUCUUGUUUAUUUUGUAUGAAUUCUUCUAGUAUUAUGAGAUUGAUUCAUGCUUAAUUCUGUAAGAAACUAAACUAAUAUAAAACAUUCAUGGUAUGAGAUCAAAAGUAUGAAAGUAAGUAAAGUUAGUGUGAAAUGUAAUGUGAUUUAAGUACAUCUUUAGGUGAGAUCAAAUUAAGUUCUGGAAUGAAUAUAGAUAGCUCAGCCUUGGGGGUUUUCCUUAAUACUCUAAUGACUAUUCAAUCUCACUUAGGUUGUGUUCUCUUGGUAGGAUUUGGAGGAGAUGAUUUGAAUGGAUUUGAGUGGAUUUGAGGGUAAUUUUUUUUGUUGUUUUUUUGAGUGGAUUUGUAGGUAAUUGAGAGUGGAUUUGAAGGUAAAAUUUGUGAGAAUUAGUGUAGAAUUUGAUUGAUGUGACAGAUUUAAACAAUUUGUUUAAUGAAUAGAAAUUGAAUAUUACCAAAAUACCCCUAGUUAUUAAAAUAAUACAAAAUAAUAAUUGUUAAUGUUAUAUUUAAUUGUAAAAAUGUUUACAGUGAGAAAAAAUGGUAAUUUAAUAAAUUGAAUAUAAAAAAUACUUUAAAGUUUAUAAAUAUAAUUUUAAAGAAAAUUAAUAAAAUACUUUUUCAUAAAAAUAAUUUUAAAUAACAGAAUAAAAAAUUAAUAAAAUAAUUAAAAGAACAUUUUUUUAGAAAAUUAUCAUUUUUUCUUUAAAUACUAUUUUUGCUUAAAUAUUAUUUUUUAAAAAUAUAAUUUAACCGUGGUAUAGUUAUUAUUAUUUAUUAAUAAUUAAAGCAUAUUAGUUAUGCUUUUGGAUUACAGGAUUAAGUUUUCAAAUGAAAUAAAAUAUUUUUAAUUUGAAAUUGAUUAUAGUAUGAUGAAAUUAUGAAAUUAUAGGAGGGUAAAAAGGAUAUUUCGUGUGAAAUACCUUCAAAUCCGAGCACAUAAGUGAUGAUAAGAAAAAUGAUGUAUCCCGCAAAUCAGCUGUAUAUUUUACUUCCAAAUCUUCAAAAACGAACAUGAUUUAAUCCUCCAUCCGUCUGUGCAAUUCUCCGUUAACAGUGAAAUCAACCCAAAAGAACAUAGGCUUAGAGAAGAUUAGUUCAUGUGGUGAGAGUAGUAGGAGGUCCUAGUCUUGGUUGUCUCCAUUUUAUAUGGGUCAAGGUGAGUGAUAACGGACUAACCUUGUGGUGGUAGGGUGGAACCCAUAGCAAUUGGCUUUGCAAAGCAGUAGAGGCCACCACAAGUGCAUAACUCGCCAUAGCUCGAUAUUCAUUCCGGAUCCGGAUGAGUCUAAAUCUAACACCACUUAACAAAACUAUAACGUAUAACUUAAUAAAACUGUUAUUCUAUGAUUGCAUUGCUUGUAUGUUUCGUUUACUUUGGUUAGUUUUAAUUGACUUGUAUUCUUUUUGAAAUCUAGCUUACCCUUGCAUUGUUUGCUGUUUGUGUAUGUCUGUGUUUGAUUUACUUUGCAAUGAUCGUCCAAAUUGGAUGUGAGCAGAGGUAGGAGAGGCCCCUUUGGAGCAGGUAUUAGACGGAAUUGAUGCUGCUGAUGCUCCAGACACUGCAGAGUAGUUUAGACUAGAUAGAAUUAACUAUAUGUAUAUGACUUAGUAUCUUUCCUUUUCUUCCUUUUUGAAAGACUCUAUAACGAUAUGUAGAGCUUUUAAUUCCUUUUAUAUUUUGAAUGAUUGUAUCUUAUAAUACUUCAUCAUACUUCUACUCUUAACUGCUUUACUUUAUUAUGUAUGUUGCAUUCCACAUGAUAUAUAUAUAUAUAUAUAUAUAUAUAUAUAUAUAUAUAUAUAUAUAUAUAUAUAUAUAUAUAUAUAUAUUUGGGAUGUUACAGUAAGCAUACACACUAAAAUAACUAUUUAUUUUAAAAACCAACGUACUUUAAAGUAAAUAUCAAUAUUAUUAUUUUUAAAUGAUAGUAUUUUAUAGACUAAAACUAAAAUAUAUAUUUUAAUGUUAAAUUUUAUCAAAUGACUAUAUAAUGAAAUAUCAUAAAAUAUAAUAAUAUAGCAAAAAUAAUUAAUAUUAUAGAAAUAUCAAAUGAAAAAAAAAUUAACAAAUGUUUAUAGUAUUAUCUUUUAUUAUAUUAUAAUAAUUAACGAAUAUUAGUUUAAUAUUUACAUAAUAAAUAUAAAUAAUAAAUAAUUGAUUAAUAAAUUAUAAGACAAUAAAACAAAUAUAAAUAAAAAAUUAUUUUAAAAUAAAAUAAGUAAUAAAAAGAUAAAAUAAAUUAUAUAUACAUAUAAAAGAAAUAUAAAUAAAAGAUUAAAAAAAUAAGAAUAAAGUAAAAUAUUCAUGACAAAAUAAAUAUAAAUAAAAAAAUAAAAAAUAAAAUAAAAUAAAAUAAAUAAAAGUAAAAUAAUUUCCAUAUACAUAAUAAAAGAAACAUAAAUAAAAUAGAAAAUAAUAAUAUCAAAUAAUUAAAAAAUUAAUUUUUAAAAUACUUAUAAAUAAAAUAAAAUAAAUAAAUUCUAAUUAAAAAAAAAUAUAUUAUUAUAAUAUUCAGUUUAAAAAGUGAUAUAAUUCAGUUUAAAAUUAAUACAAUUUAAUUUAAAAUUAAUAUAAUUAAUAGUUUUUUUUAAUUUAUAUUAUAGUUUAAUAGUUCAAUUUAGUCUAGAUUAAUAAAUAAUUCAAAAGUCAGUUUGUCUAAACUCAGACAAAUUAAUUUUUUUAUCUAGUACAAAAGUAGGGUGGUGUACUUCAAUUCUAUUUGCCAAUACAUAGUUACGACGCAAUGGGACACGUCAGCCUAGCUUAUCUGCAAUUCUUCUCAUCUCUGUAUAACUACACACCCGCCACUAUCCUACGCCACUACCCUCCUCCACUUCAACCCUCACACCCUCCGCACAUGGCUGCUCCCGCCAAUUCCCACCAAUCAAAUCCUCUCAUCACUCCCUACAAGAUGGGAACUUUCAAUCUCUCUCAUAGGUAUUCACUCUCUCAAUCACCUUCUUCCGUUUCAUUUUCCGAUCAACUCCUUUAAUUUUCUCCUUUUUUUUUUUUUUUUUUUCAGGGUUGUCUUGGCACCGCUGACCAGACAGAGGUCCUACAACAACGUUCCACAACCGCACGCCGUCCUUUAUUAUUCUCAGAGAGCCUCCAGUGGAGGCCUUCUCAUUGCCGAAGCCACCGUAGUUUCCGAUACCGCUCAAGGGUAUUAUUCUUAUUCUCAUUCUUUCUCAUCUGCAUCUUCAUACCCAAAUGCAGACCCACACCCCUUUUCAUUCCAUAACACAUCUCAUUCCUAAAGGUAUCCCGACACGCCAGGCAUAUGGACGAAGGAGCAAGUGGAAGCAUGGAAACCUAUUGUCGAUGCUGUUCAUGCGAAAGGCGCUGUCUUCUUUUGUCAGAUUUGGCAUGUGGGAAGAGUUUCAAAUUCAGGUCUUUUAUCCUUCUCCUUCAUACUCAAUUCAAUUCUAAUUUCAAGUUCUAAUACUUUUGUAUAGUUGGAUUAUAGUUGAGCAAGAACUCUCUGCAUUUUUGUACAGAUUAUCAGCCAAAUGGACAAGCACCCGUAUCAUCUACGGACAAGCCACUCACACCACAAAUUCGAAGCAACGGCAUUGAUAAAGUGCAUUACACGACACCACGGCGCCUGAGGACCGAUGAAAUUCCUCANAUUGUGAACGAUUUCAGACUUGCUGCAAGGAAUGCCAUCGAAGCUGGUAAUUAAUAAUUAAUGUCCUUCACAUUUGAAAACAUUAUGUAUGAUUGUUUGAGAAGCUAACUAGAGUGAGGUGUGUGUGGUUGUGGAAAUUGUAGGUUUUGAUGGGGUUGAGAUCCACGGGGCACAUGGCUACAUACUGGAGCAAUUUAUGAAAGACCAGGUGAAUGACAGAACAGAUGAAUACGGUGGAUCCCUCGAGAACAGGUGUCGAUUUCCUUUGGAGGUUGUCGAAGCUGUUGUUAAUGAGAUNGGGUCGNAUAGAGUUGGAAUUAGGCUAUCACCUUUUGCANAGUAUGCAGAAUGUGNGGACUCAAAUCCCAAACAGCUGGGGCUUUACAUGGUUAANGCCCUGAAUAAGUAUGGUAUUCUGUACUGUCACAUGGUGGAACCGAGAAUGAAAACUGUUGCACAGAAAAUCGAAUGCCCCGACAGCCUGGUACCUAUGAGAAAGGCCUUCAAUGGUACUUUUAUAGCUGCUGGAGGUUAUGAACGGGAAGAUGGAAUGAAAGCCAUUGCUGAAGACAGAGCUGAUCUUGUUGCUUUUGGUCGCUGGUUUUUGGCUAAUCCAGAUUUGCCAAAGAGAUUUGCUCUCGAUGCUCCUCUCAACAAGUAUCACAGGGAAACAUUCUACACCAGUGAUCCCGUUCUUGGUUACACUGACUACCCUUUUCUUGAUGAGGACUCCAACGGUGUAGCAUCCUAGUAUUUGUAAUACUAAGCUUUGUACGACAUAACAUUAUGUGAUCCUUGUAAACAAAUAAAAUAUAAAUUCUGUAACUGAAAUAGUAACUAAAAGAAAUUCUGUUUUUUGUAUUUACAUGUUUUCGUAUUUAAUAAUUGUAAGCAAACAAAAUAUACUAAACUGUACCAAUCAUAAUUUAAACUCAAUUACGCUUGGAAAGAUACCAAAACACAAUAUAUGGCAAAAGAAGUGCAUAUCCGUACCUUAAAAAUGCCAACAACAAAGAAAAAGAAGUUCCAUGAGAGAAUUGAACUUUGAUGCAUUAAAUGCUUUAAGUGCAAUGAAGAUAAAUAUUGCAACAAAAUGUUGUUCGUGUUUUAAAUGCUACAUCAAAUUACUGACAGUAAUACUCAUUAAACUUCUUAAUGUAAAUUAAGAUAUAAUAACCCAUAACAAAUGUUCCAGUCUUCAUCCGUAGUCUGACCAAAAGACCCCAAAACAGAAUUAAUUUUUCUUUUACAAAAAUGUGAACAAGGCUUACAAACAUCAACUUUACUUUUUCAUCUGUAGCAUGGUAGAAUAUAUAUGUAUUUUUUUUAAAAUAACUCUUAGAACAAGCUGGGAAGUGAAUAACAGAAGUAUGUUUGACUCAAAAUGUGCAAUAAAAACACCUGUACUUUAAAAUUUUUAGUUUUAGUAAUAGCAGAAGAAGAGAAAAGAGAGAGAGAGAGAGAGAGAAAGACUAAAAGUCAAUCCAUCUAAUAAGAACGAGCUCUAGGAAGUGAAGAUUCUUGGUGUAAGUCAAAUGAAAUCUGUAUCAUUGUUGAUAGUUUAAUGUUUUCUUUAAUGAUGUUUUUAAUAUAAGAUGAACGAGUGCGCUAUUUUAUGUUGUUUAUUAUACCUAACUUUCAGGCAACGGUGUCGUAGAGCCUUAGGCGACUCCAGUGAAUUAAUGCAAUUUUGAAGUUAUAGAUAUAAGAGUGCUUCUCCCUCCACUUCACUCCCUUCUCCCUGCACCUCCCAAAUUACCAUUUCGUCCCUAAUUUAAUUUAGUCAAAGUUCAUUUAAUAAUUACUUAAUUAUCUUUGUUUCCUAACAACUAUUCUUAACUACCAACAACUCAACUCUGAUUAUAAACCCUAAUACCACUUAACAUGCACCUCCCUCACUUCCUUCGUGUGUACUGUUACUGUUCAUUGUGUCUGAAGCGGAGAGACUCUAAAUAUUGGUUUGGUGAUCGGUGGUGUUGAUCCGUGCUAGUAGUGGUGAUCAGUGCUGGUGGAUAUUUGGUGGUGGUGCUGCAGUAGAAGAUAAAGCGCGAGGAAGAAGACAAACAAAGGUUAGUUUCAGAACCAAACCAAAUAACCGCACUUCGAUCAGCGAUUAAGGCUUGCCGCCUUUCGAAAUGCGACUGCUACCAACCGCAAUGUGAGUUGCGGCUACUGUGAACCACAGUUUGAGUUGCGGCACUUGCCAACAGCAUUCUGAGUUGCGGCUUGUGCCAACCGCUCUAUGAGUUGCGGCUUGUAUCAAAUUUACGCAUAAACAUAAGGGAUAAUAAUAAUUAUUUAAUUAAUAAAUAAUUUAAUAAAACUUCUAAAUUCAUAAAAAAAAUAAAAAAAUCAACUAAAAUUAUAUAUUAAUAAAUAAUAUACAAAAAUUAUUUAAGAAUUAUAUACAUAAUAAUUUUACGAAAAUAUAAUUUUGUGAUAAUAAAAAUUAACUAAAAUUAUAUACAUAAUAAAUAAUAUAAUAAAAUUAUUUACGAAUAUAUAGUUUAGAUUAAUUAAAAUUAUUUCAUUCAAUAAAUUAAUUAAUAGUUAACCUAAAAUCAUAAUUAAUCCUUAAUCUAAGUUACAUUAAUAAUAAAUAAUAUAUAAAAUUUUAUAAACUUAAAAAAAUUAACAAACAACCUAAAAAUUAAAAAAACAAAAUUUUGAAAAAAAAAAAACGCAGCAACUGCAACCGCAGUCUCAGUUGCGUUUCACACAAACGCAGAAUGCACUUCGAGCAGUGUUUUCUGUCCUGCACCCCCAAAAAACAUCAACCGCAAAUCGAACGGCGGUUUCCGUUCCACCGCCCUUUGAACUGAGGCUCUCCUUAACCGCAGUUCCACUAGUGGUUUGCACCCCAAAAACCAUCAACCGCAAAUCGAACGGCGGUUCUCGUUCCACCGCCCUUCGAACUGCGGCUCCUCUUAACCACACUUCCAAUUGCGGUUCUGUAAAUUCGCACGAGCAACACACACCACUUGCAGCGAGAUCAAGCAACACACAGAUCAAGCAAAUGAUUUUUAACCCACAACAUAAACAGAUCUGAGAUCUCAAAAGUAAUAUACUAACUUGGAGAUAGGCAACAGGGAGAUAUCAGCAGUAGGGAGGUGCGAGCAUAUGAGAGCAAGAAGAAGAAAGGGGGGUGUAGGUUUUUGUGUGAGAUGCGACAGAGUUAUAGGGACAGACUUAUGAGGAAUAAGGUUAUAGGGAUACAAUAGGAAUUAAAAUAAAAUAGAGAGAUGCAAGACGAGACCUUGAAGGUGAAGGGAGAAAGACUCUAGAUAUAAUUAAUUAGUUCCGUGAUCCAAUGCUGCAUCUAAGACUUUACCCACCGC